CGAGUUAGAAUAAGGAUAGGUUAAGAGUUCAAUCUCUUCCAAUAUAAGAAAAGUAAAACACUUAAACUCAACAUUGCGAAUCAUAGUCCUAUUUUAAUUUAAAGUAGGAUUGGAUGUAGGCAGGUUUAAGUUGAACCAUCCAAAAACACCCAAAAAUAAAAUUUAAAAAACGAACACAAAACACAAAUAUUGGUGUUGUAGCUGGCCAAAAAGAAAAAUUAGGACUUGGACAGCUCGGAGUUAGAUAGCCACUUUUACUCAACACUCAAUACUUUGAGGCUGGCUGGCUGGCUGGCUGUGAUUGGUUGGCUUUUUAUAGGUCGGCUGGCAUGGAGGACCAUACCAAACCUCAUGUGAUAGGACAAUUAUUUGGUUGAUUAUUCUCCUUACAAAAUUGGUAGUUUCAUGAUUUCUUUCUUUCUUAAGGUGGACAGUGGGUAGCCACAAAUCAAUUUGGUUUGAUUUAUUAUGAUUAUUUGCUUCUAUAUAUGGGAUGGGAGGAAUGUGCAGCGUGUGGACCCCACAACAAUGAGAAGUGUGACAACGUUCAAAUGGAUGGCAACGUCUAUCAACAGCUCUUUUCUUCUGGGGUUAGUUUGAUUUUGGUUUGGCUUCACGACACACAUGCUGAUAUUAAACAUUCUUCAAUUUUACGUUGUUUCAUUGGCCAACUCGUGUCGGUGCCUCUCUUAGCACUUUCAUUAGUGACUAAGAGAGGAGGUCACUAAUUAUAUAUUUGAAUGUUAGUGACCAAUAUUGAAGGUGUACACAUGCAUUUUCAAUUUGUUGAACUUUUUAUAUCCUAACAAAAAAGUUAAUAGUUUUCUUAGAUACAAUUAAUAGUUUUUUUUUUUCUUUCUCUUAUCUAUUCCAACUACAUAAUUGUAUCAAUAGUUAGAGCAUUUUUAAUGAAGUUGUAUAAGCAGGUGUAUGUAAAAUGUACAUUUUUUAUUGUCGGAAUCACCUGUAAUAGACAGGUGUAAAUGAUUGUAAAUAUGCAUCACAGUCGUGGAGAUGCAAAAUGAGAUACACAAUUGUAAUUUUUUUUAUUUUUUUUACAUCUUUUUUAUGCGGAACCCACACGAAAAAUAAGUUUCAAGUAGUUUCGGGAAAGAAGAAAUAAUCAGUAUAUCUUUUUAUUGAAUCCGGGCAAACCAAUUAAUGAAUCAAAAGAUCCAACAAAAUCAAUCCUUCCAAGAAAACCCAACUACAUACACCAACUGUACUAAUAAUCAAAUAACAAAUUUCCAUGAAUCUGAAAUCUUUCAGCCAAACCAAUAUAUAAAACCCAAGCUUGGCAUCUCCUAAAAUUAAUUCAGGUAGCGUUUGAACAAGGCGCAAAAUGAGACCAGAAGCGAUGCUCCGACAACUACGCUGUUCACAGGCAAAGAGUAAGCCGCUCCAGCAUCCAUCGGGGACGGCGCCGGGGCGCUCUCCUGAGCCGACACCAUCGCAGCCAAGACCAGCAUCUGGACGAAGAAGAAGGCUCCGGAGAUGCUAACUUGCGCCAUUGGUGACUUGAACUCGGUAAAUGAUUUUUUCUAAAGUAAUGUAGGAGGCUUUGAGUUGAGAGUGUUUAUGCGUUGUGAGAAAAAUGGAGGAGCAGAGUGUUUCUUUAUAUACUGGAAGAUGGAGCGGCGUGUGGACCCCACAAUAUGAGAACGUUCAAAUGGAUGCUGGCAACGUCCAUUAACAGCUAGUGUGCGUGUUCACCCACUUCGACAACGCUGCUGGUGACUAGUGUGGCGUGUGAAAGUUCGUUUCGUCGUCAGUCGGCGCCGUAUAUGAUUUUCACGCGCUAAUUUUUUUUUAAUAUUGUGGUAACUUAUUUCUACUUAUGCAAGUAUUUUUUGAAUGUUACGAAUAACGGUUGUUAAAAAAAACAUGAAUGUUGACAUAAACUUCUAUAUAUGAUUCAUUUAUAUCUUAUAUUUUGUAAAUAUCAUGCCCCCAUUAUACGAAUAAACUGGAUUAUCUCUCCUCGUAUUUGUGGAGGGAUUUUCUCCCUAGUCGAUUUUGUGUUAGGUUUUUGCUUUCCUUGUGUUUUGCAAGGUUUGUCUCACCUCUAGUUGUUCUAGGGUCUUACUACUAGACUACCAACCUUUUGGGUUGGAUUUUUGUAGAUUUGUGCAGAUCUAUCUUUUUAUGGCAUUUGUUGUGUGUACUUGUAUAUUUGAGGUUGAUGAAGUGAAUCCUCAUAAGAUUUAUGUGUUAAGGAGUGAAGCUGUUUUAUUUUGUAAAUUUACUAUGAAUUGGCGCUUUAAAUUUAUGACUGUUUGGGAGACGAUGUGGCCAUGUGUUACAAUUACUAGAAAGACAAUAAUCAAAUAUUAGCCAUAAAAAAUUAUUGUUUAGCUGUUACCUACAAUAAUUAGUUUUAUAUUUAUUAUAUUUAAAUAAAAUGUCAUCAAAUUAUUAAAAUGUGAGAGAAUAAGUCACAAAUAAUAGUGCGGAGUAGACAAAAUCAUUAAUCAACCAUCAACUUGUCACCAAUACCAAUUUGGUUACUUUAAAAAAGGUGGCCUUUGCAUUUUUCUUUCUUUUUUUAUAAUGACAACUCUUAUAUAUUUAGCUUUAUUACAAUGCCCCUGGAGUAUAUACUGAAGUUCAGAUUGCACUCUAAAAUACAAAAUGUUGUGAGCAAUCAAUGUAACUUUAAAUUGUCUAUUAAUUUUAACUUAUUUUUAUGACGUGGCGUCGUAUAGAUCCACACAUUAUAGAUGUGACAUGAAUACAAAUUUGUACUUACGAACAAAUUAACAAAUUGAAAAAAGAAAGAAAACAACUUGUUUCUUUCUUUUUUUAAUUAUAAAUUUUAGUAGUUUGUUUAAUUCGCCAUAGGUGCAAAUUGUUGAUUUUUAUGAAUUUUUCUUUUAUAUCAAGAACAAUUAAUAGUUCCGGUAACAUUUGGGUAUGAUUUGUGCAACAUUGCAAUACAAAUUAGUGACAAAUUUGUUUCGGGAAAAAAAAAAUCACUUUUUAUUACAAUGUAAAGAAUCAAAUAUCCAACAAAAUCAACCCCUUAACAAAAUCCGCAUACACAUUAUCCCCAAAAACCAAUGCAUAACAAAUUUCCAAUGAAUCCAAGCUUGCCGUAUCUCAUUCUGAACAAAUUAAUUCAAGUAGUGCUUGAACAAGGCAAAAACUGAGACCAUAAGCGACGCUCCAACAGCUGCGCCGUUUACAGGCAAAGAGUAAGCCGCCCCGGCAUCCAUCUGUGCCGGUGCCGGUGCCGGCGCACUCUCCUGCGCCGAAACCGUUGCCGCCAAGACGACCAAGACCAGCAUUUGGACGAAGAAGAAGGCCCUGGACAUGCUGAUUUGUGCCAUUGCUAAGAAAGUUAUGAAGUUUUUGGUGGAGAAGCUUUGACUUGGAUGUGAGGUUUUGUUUUUCUUUGUGUUUUGGGGUUUUGAGUUGUUUUAGGGUUGGGGAGUGAGGGGUCGGGUUUAUAUAGGGGGGUCGAGGGGCGUGUGGAGCCCACAGCGACAACGUUCAAAUGGAUGGCAUUUGCCCCACACCUUUUAAUGAAAAUGUUGUCGAUAAAUUUACUCUUCUGCAAACGACCUCUAAGGAACCAAGUAAAUGAAAAAGAAAGUAAUUAUACCAUAUCCACCAACCACUCUAUAUCCAUCUUAAAAUUAUCAUCUCUCAUAUUCAAUUCUCUGAUUGUUUGCUUUUCGACAAUAGAUAAGAAAAUUGUUGUUUUGGAGUAAACUUCCCUAGUGAAAUAGGUAAGAAAAACAGUCACCUUUCAUCAUGUUUUCACAAUUUUUCAUGCACAAUAUUACUUAAUCUCAAAAUUAUGAAUUAGACGUACGAAACCUAAACGAAAUGCAUGAAUAAUCAAAUAGUGGCCUAGAUUGAUGGCACCGCCACACUAUCACCAUUAACACAUCUACCAACCACCACCACAUAUUUAUAGAUGAAAAUUAAGUUAUGUGUUUUAGUGGCAGUUCUAGAAUUUGAAAGCCGAUCGGGUAAAACUUAUAUAUAUUAAAUUCUACGGUACUAAUGAAUUUCAUUAAUAAAUCUAAAAAGAUACACAUAGUGAAGAGAGACGUAAUGAGCCUUAACCUCAAAUGCAUCUAUAUCUACAAAUGCAAAAACUAAAAUCCAAAUCAAAAGUAAAAUUAAAAGAAAAAAAGAAAAAAAAAUAUUUCACAUUUAAAAAAAAGGAGAAAACAUGGGACUACAUUAAUUUUAAAAAAAAAACAACAACAUCAUGGAGCGCUUCUUGAUUCCACAAUUGGAGAUUUCAGUUUAGCCUUCUGGAUCUCAUCUCUUGGGGUUUGUGUGAGACAAAAAAAAAUUAAUAAUCAUAAUUUUUAAUUUAAUUUGAAAAGAAGGGAAAAAAAGAGAGAGAGGAGAGAAGAGAAAAGGAAAAGAAAGAACAAAGAAAGAGAGAGAGAGGAGAGAAGAUAGAAGGAAAAAAACGAAGAAGAAAAAAGAGGAGAGAUGAAAGAAGGAAAAGAAAGAAAAAAAAAGAGAAGGAAAAUAACGAAAAGAGAGAGAGAGAGAGAGAGAGAGAGAGAGAGAGAGAGAGAGAGAGAGAGAGAAGAAGAGAAAAAAAAGGUUUGUAUAGGUUUAAUUUAAGUGGGCUGGACAUAUGUAGUGUAGGUAAUAUUUUUUUAAUAAACAUUUGGGUUGGGCAUGAGCCCAGCCUGCCAUAGGCUAGAACGCCCCUGAUGUGUUUAAUCCUAUUUUCUUUUAAGAUUAGUCAAACAAGAAACUUCACAAAUUUUGCAACAUUAACUCUUAUUUUCACAAAGCAAUCUUAGAUUUCCUCAUCCAAACGCAGUGUAAUGUUGUGCAUAAUGUUUUCCUUACUUUCUAUUAGUUCUUUAAUGUUUUUUGGGAUUCAUUUGUGCUUAUUUGAGUGUGUUUAGGUAUUGUUUAGUAUAUUUUAGGGUUUAUAGGUUUAAGAUUCAAAAUCUUAAACCUAUUUGUUUUAGUUGUAUGGGCUAUAUAGGCCAUGCCCUUUUUUUUUAGUUGUCAAUACCCAUGUAGUCUCUCUCUCCCUAGCCCAUGCAUUUUUUUUUUUAAUUUUCAAAUCCAUGUUCUCUCUUUUUCUUAUUUUCUUCAUUUCUCUCUCUCUCUCUCUCUCUCUCUCUCUCUCUUCUUUUCCUCCUUUCUCUCUUCUUCUUCCUAUUUCUUUUUUUUCCCCCUUUCUCUUGUUUUUUUUUCUUUCAUUUCUCCAUUUUUUAAUGGUCUGGAUCUACUACGAAUUGAGCUUUUUCCCACAGUUUCUUCUUCCUUUUUUUUUUAUUUUUUUUUGUUGCUUUUCUCUUGUUUUUUUUUUCCUUUGUUUCUCUUUUUCUUCUUAUGCGUUUCGCUUUUUUCUCUCACACGUGUUAUAAAGUCCAUUUUGGUGCGAUAUAGCCCUCAUUGUUGAAAUUUCCUACAUAUGUAAGGUAAAUUUAGCCCAUAGAGUUUUGAAAUCCUGAAUUCGUCCCUACUUUAAUUCAAAUUAUUUUUAUGUUGUGCAAAUCUCAAGAAUAAUAUGAAGUGAGUUUAAGUCGAUAGUAUUCUAGAAAAAAUUUGUUUUAAAUUCUUUUUGCACAAAGGAAGAGCGACAAAUUAGCCUUAAAGAAGCAAAUUCAUUCGUGCUUUGGCUCAAAAUUUUCAUUUUCAUCUUAGUUAUUGCCUUCAUAUAUCUUCAUAAUUUCCAACACAGUAUGAUCGCUCAAUGUUUAUAACGAUCAAUCUACACUGGCCAAGGACCUAUUCUUUCAAAAGAAAUAUGGUGCACAUUUUCCAAUAAAUUAAAAGGUGCAUGUCCUUAUUAGUGACAAGCACUUUAAUCUUCAAGUUUCUUUAACCUUUGGAUGUAAGUUAGGUAAAUUUCUUGUUCUCUUGCCAGACAUGUUAUAAUAUCCAGAGAUGUUCGUUUAAACGCAAAUAUAAUCAUUAAUUUAUUUUAUACUAACAAACAAACAACAAAAUAUAUAAAUUUGUCAUGUGUAAUCAAGCCAUAGAUAACUUGUAGAACUUUACAAUAUUAUUCAAAUUAGGUGAUGGUUAAUACCAAUUAACCAUCAAAUACAGAGAAAGUAGGAUAUCGCGAUGGUGUUCAUAUGCCUCAAAAUUCAAAAACAGUAUAUCUUUUUUCCGGAUAUUAAAGCAUAACACUCACCUUAUCAUUAUCAUAUAGUUUACAUUAAAAAAAAAAACAUCCCAAAACACACAUAAUAAGGAAAAUGUGUCAAAUCCAACAAUGUCCAUGUAUCACAACAGCUCCGCUGCACAUCCAAAACUCAGAACCCCACAUCCAUCCAUCCAUUCUAGCAAAAAGCAAAAGCAGCUGUAAGAGAGACCAACAUAGAAGAACAGAUCAACGCCACGGAAACCGGAGAAGCAAACCCGGCUCCGGUCACCGGUAACGGGGCAGGUGGUGUGGCGGUAUUCUGUGCCAUAGUUUUGGUCACAUAAAAUAAUGCAGCAACCAUGACCAUAAGAAUUCUAGCUGAAGAUGUGCCAAACCGUGCCAUUUCUCUGUAAAAAAAAUAGGCACAGAAACUGAAAGAUUUAGACAAAGGUAAAGAAAGGGAAUGAGGAAUUGAUUAAUUGAGUUUGUGUUUUUGUUGAGAGCAAUGUGGUGCAUGAAUUUAUAGGAGACUGGUUUGUAUGUGACCAAUUUCUUGGCCUGCCUUUUUGGACACGGCUAAUGGGACCAAUUAAAGCAAUGGCUGGCUGGCUUCACCACAACAUGGACAUGGGAACUACAGACAUUUCUUGAUGAAUGAUAAGAAAGUUGGUAUGCAAUCACCUUCAUGCACUCAAUCCUUUUUGCCGUGCCUUAAAUUAAUUUUAGUAGAGACUUGUGAGUGCACACACACAAGUUUAUUUUAUAUAUUAUCAAAUCAAAUCCCCUAUGAAUUUCAAAGAAAAUGGUACCAUGUAUUAAUACAAGUUUAGUGUUUAGUUGGGUCAGUCUUAAAUCAUUUUGUCCAUUUUUUUUUCUUUCAAACAAUCAUUUUAUACACUUGCAAUUAUUAGAAUUAGUUAACGCAAGCAGCAAUAAACUUGUAGCUCAAGUGAUUAGUUACCAUUUGCACUCGAGGUCCUGUGUUUAAAUACCCCUCCCUCGAUAUUGAUUGUAUUAUAAAAAUAAAAAUAAAAGUUAACAUAUAGCAUAUACUAUGCAAUGUUUUGCCAUCUGUUGGUAAAGUGAUGCUAUCAUAAAGAGCUGUGGUGAUUCGUGGUGUACAUCUAAAAAAGGUUAAGCUGUCCUUGUAAAAGAGCAAACUUGUGCAGAGAGAUAAUGAACCUAAAAAUAAUUUCAACCAGAUGAGACUUGGAAAAUAGAAAACUUGAAAUUAACUAAAGCAUGAUUUAUGAUUUGGGAUACGAUUAGUGAUUUUUCACUUUGCAAAUGUUACAUUAUUAAAAGUGAAAGAUAUAUGGGCUCAAGUGAAUGAGCAGCCGCUUAAGGGGAAGCUCUUGGGCUUGCAUUGCUAGGCCUAGACUUGUUUGUGGGUAGUUUUUGUUCAAAUUAAAACUAGGAUUCUGUGUUUAUAAAAUGCACCCUACUCUUUUGAACACCUUAAAACUAAGAAUUUGUACCUGGGAUGAUUUGGUAUUAUAAAAUGCUUUCUUUUUUUUUUUUAUUGAUAUGAGAUUUGAUAUAUUUGGACAUGAUAAGAUAACGAGUCGAAAAUAUGCUUGAAAUAAUUUCAUAUUAUAUGAAACUAAUGCACGCUAUAUAUUGAAACACGACAGGUUGCCACGUCUAUGGACACACCCAUUCUAAGAAUUCACAGUAUCCCAAAGCAAACCUUAAAAUUUUGUCCCGAAAAAACUAUUUGCCGAAAAGAAUUUUAAUUUUAUUAAUCUCAAAACUUGGAAAAAAGAAAAGUAAAACCUAACAAAAUUGAAGAAAUACAGACAUGAAUAAGAAUAUUUGUAUUCUCUCUUACAAUGAUGAUUUUGUGUUUUUUCCCCUUGAAAACACUAGGCUAUUGAGAUCUAAUCAAGAGAAGAUUGAGAAUCAAAAAGUAAAAAACACCAUUCAAAUUCCUAAUGUCAUGCAAAGCCAAACACGCAAGUACGUAGCUAGCUAUUCGUCAACUACAACACUUACUUGACCACAAGUGUUUCAUAUUCUAAUAAUAACCAAAAUCCUCCCUAUAAAAUUGUUCAUAAUUGAUUUGAUCAGUACUACUACUAAUCACCCUUAAUCAGUUGCUUGAACCAAAGCAAAACUAGCAAAGUGUUCUCAUUAUUUUCAUCUCAAAGCCAAUCAACUCAAAGCUCACAUUCAUCAAACACCAACCAUGGACAUGAAGAUCAAGAUCUCCCUUGCCAUCCUUCUAUUUGCUGCCUUGAUGAGUGUGGUCUUGGCUGAUAAUAAGGAAGCUCAUCCCCCGAAGCACUCAGGCGGCGCACAUGCCCCAAAGCACUCAGGCGGUGGCGCGCAUGCCCCGAAGGGCGCAGCUUCUGCCCCAGAGGGCACAGCUUCAGUCUCAGCUGAAGCUCCUGCCGCGGCCAAGGACUCCGCUUCGGCGCCGCAAGCAUCAAGCAGUACUACCCCCACUACAUUGUCCCUUGUUGGCUCUUUGGCUGGUGCCUUCCUUUCAUUUUUCUUUGUCUAUUACUUGCAGUACUAAUUAAGCUCAGAGAAUAGGAGAUUGUUUUUAGCUAUAUAUGAAGGAGAAUGAGGUAAUGACGAGAUUUUUAUGUACUUGGAAGAACAUGAUGGUCUAUAUCUUUGUUUUAGAUAUAUUCACCAUUAGAUAAUCAUGGAGUGAAGUUUGCACGACAAUCACCUUUUCAUUUUAGUUACAUUAAGCAAUUUACACUUUAUUUUCUUCAAAUGUUCUUUCCAUUUCAGAAUUAUUUUAUGGCUAAAUGUCACUUUUGGUCCCUGUAGUUUGGCACUUCAAUCACUUUUGACCAUAUAGUUUCAAUUUCGUCAAUUUUGACCCUGUAGUUUCGUAUAGUAUUCCUGUCAAUUUCUUUGACGGUGCAAGGGGCAGUUUCGUCAACCCAAAAUCCUUGAGCAUAAAAGCUCAUUUGAAACUCCCUUCAUUUCAUAUUAGGGCUUCAAAUCGGUCAUUUGGGUUUAUGGUUCUUUAAAAAUUGGGAUUAGUGGUAAAAUUUCGAGCCCUAAUAUGAAAUGAGGAGAAUUUCAUACAAGCUUUUACGCUAAAGGGUUUUGGGUUGACGAAAUUACCCCUUGCAUCGUUAAAAAAAUUGAUAAGAAUACUAACAUGUCCUUGAAUUGCUACAAAUAUGAAACUACAAUGGCAAAAUUGACGGAACUGAAACUACAAGGUCAAAAGUGGUUGAAGUGCUAAACUACAGGGAUCAAAAGUGAUUUUUGGCCUUAUUUUAUUAUAUUGUAUAUAUGUUGAAAGAUUGUACAAAUUAAUUUAAUGUUUAACGAAUUUAUAUGGGACCUUUGCAUCGAUGGGUUUCAAAAUUAAGUUUGAUCAAGGUUGAUCAUUAAGUAAACUUGAUACUAUCGCAAGUGAUAUUCAAUUUUGACAGUGGAUGAAAUAAUACGUGUAUCUACUUGGUGAUUCUUCAUCAUCUUGAUGAAUAGUAUGGGAAGUCUACUUGAUUGUUUUAUUUUUUUGCCAAAUGUUUGGCUGGUUUUUCUCUAGUAUGAAGGUCUCCUCUUUUGAAGAAGGAUCGAGUAUCUCUUAAUAUGAAGGAUUCAACACUGUUAGCUUCUAUUUAGCUAAUGUUUUUAGCUUUUUUUGACAAAUUUGUAAUCUUAUAUGUAAUCAAUUAAGCUCAAGGAAUUUAGGGUAGUUUAAGUUUGCAUUUCAAGAUGAUUACAGAAAUUGAUAUCAAUCUUGUCAUGGCUCAAAUGGAAUCAAGAUUCUUGAAGGUAAAAAUCAUACAUUAAUGCAUUGCAUGCGUUAUAGUGUUCUUAUGUAUGACUAGUCAAAUAUGCAUGUACAUUCAUCUUUAGUUGUCAUGUAUAUAAUUUCUCUUAGCUCAUCUUUAGAAAUUAGGAAUUGGGUAUUUGCCAGAAAGUUAACAUUGAAGAGCUUUCGAGGCUACAAAACAAAGAUAAUUUGUGCAUUCAUUUAUAAUGGGCAUCCUUAGGAAAAUUAGCAUCUAUAUCACAAUACUUUGUCUAGAUGACUAUAUAGGCCAAAUAUUUCCAGCACAAUAUUUUUAAUCAAGGCAUGUGAUUUUGCUUAUGAUAAGUCCAAUAAUUGGCUCCCAAGUGUCCUUUUGACCUACCAAAAAUGCUGAGGCUGGUCUGGACUCACCAAUUCUCUCAUUUUAUAUUUUGCAUAUGGGUUUUGAGAGAGAGAGAGAGAGAGAGAGAGUGUGUGUGUGUGUGUGUGUGAUUGUGCAUAAAUUAGGUUUUUCCUUUUGGAAGAAAAGUUCAUGGGUCCUUUUGGGGCUUUCAUUGUGUUGUGUUAGCUUUUGCUACUUGUUUAAUUUUUGGCUUCCUUAAACAACAUUAUAUUUGCUAUUGUAAAAUCACCAUGCUCAAGCUUAAUUAGUCCAGAACAGAUUAGGAUUGAAGAGGUCUACUAUGACUAUGACAAAUUAUGACUCAAUGCAAAUAAAGAGAAAAAAUAAAAAUCAUGCAUCGCAUAUUUCAGCUUAGUUGAGUAAAUGUGAUGAUUAGUCAUCCAUUUACUACCAGCUCAUUUAAAAUCUCGCGUGAGAUUCUCACGUGUUUCAUGAUUAGCCAAUUGUGGUCUUCCUAUCAUAACGAUUUCGUAUGUCUUAUUAUUAUGCCAAUCAUUAGUCGACAUCUGAUUUCCUUUUCUCACCUAGUUUUUGGGGAUAAAAUAUAUUUUUGGCUCCAGUAGCCGUCACAGACUCAGUGUAAAAUUGUGUGCUUCAUCGUUCUUCCUUUCUCCGAGGUCUGCAUAUUUUCGAAAAAAAUGAGGUUUUUGAAAAUCUAAUUUGGUUAUCUUAUAUCUACAUCUAGUCUGUAGGUUAUAUCAUAUCAUUCUAGUUAGAUCAGAUUCCUUGUUAGUUUCUUCAAGAGGAUUGUUUCUUGAAGAAAUCAACAAUUUCUUUUUGAAUUUAUAUCGGAUUCAUUCUCCGAGGUCUUCUUACAGCUAGAGCUGGCAAACAGGUCGUUUUUAUGGGUUACGGGUCGUGUUCGGGUCAACUCAUUUUCUUAACGGGUUGACACGAACAUGACCCGUUAAACUAACGAGUCAUAAAUACUAGACCCAAACACGACCCGCACAAAUUCGCGAAUAACACGACACGACCCGUUAUGGCUAAUGGGUCGUUUUUCACCCGUUUUCACCGAUUUAAAAAAUAAACAAUAUUUUUCAAAAAAUCAUUAAAUGAAAACACCUCAAAUUAAUAAAACAAAGAAAAUAGGAAAGUAGAAAAUGCUGAAGUUGGGAUUUUGGCUCAGCAUGUUUAUGGGUUUAAGCCAAUUCCUAGAGGAUCAUCAAAUUCUGUAGAGAUUGAAACAGAUAGAGAAAAUGCUGCAUCACUUGCCAGAGCUGGAAACAGAUUGUUCCAGAUUUUAGGAGAAGAAUACUCCGAAGUUCAUGUUUUAAAAUCAAAAGUGCUGAAUGGAAUCAGAAAAGCAAAAUUGACAUAGAAUAUGGAUUGGAGGAGAGCAUUGACUUGGAUGAUAAUGACAAGAAGUCCCUGCUUUCCCGUCAGAAAGCAAUCCUUCCAACUCACUUUGGUAUUAAUAUAAUGCAUAGAUAACAAUUAAAACUCUCAAAUGACUUGAGAUUUUCAUACCUUUUCGUUGGAGAAGAAGAAGAAAGGUAGUUGAUGCUUGAUAGUUUGGUUUGGAUCUAGAGAGAAAGAGAGAGGACAGAGUGAGUGGCCGCGUGCUCGGACUCGGACAGGAGGGCUCCAAUUCAAGGUAGGUUAAUUUUAGAAUUAAAAUUACAAAAAUGCCCUUACUCUUAACGGGUUAACGAGUGAUUCGCGAAUAAUACUGAUCCAACUCGUUAGCUUAACGGGUGACUAACAGGUCCACCUGUUUUCAACCCAACCCAUUAAGCUCAAUCUAAAUGUUGUUAUUUUCGUGCGAAUUCGUGUUGUGUUAACGGGUCGUGUUCGAUAUUGCCGGCUCUACUUACAACACUUGUUCUUUCAAUUUCAGUUGUAUUUCAAGGUUGCUGGUUUACAAACACAGGGUUUUUGCUCUGGGUUCCUAGGUUUGUUCCAAAGGGUUGUGUUGUCCAUUAUGUUUUUCAAGAUCGCUGGUUUACCAACAUGGGGUUUUUGCAAUUGUACACUUUUAUCGUACCUAUUAUGCAAAUGAAAUGUACUUGUUAGCUUUUAGUAAGUGGUAUAAAUAGUUGUUAUAUAUAUACUGUUCAUACCUUACAACUAAGUUGAUUUCUAUGACAUUGUAUUAACAAUGUGCUUCUAUGACAUAGUAUUAACAAAUUUUCAGUAACAAAACAUACUCUAUAUAUAGCUGUGCACUUGAAGUUUAUGAUAUGCAGAAUGUGAUUUUUACUAGAAAGAUAGUUCUAUAACAUAGUAUUAACAGUGUACUUUUAUGUUUAUUUUUUUGUAGAGGUAUUUCUUUUUGCCUUUGCGAUUGUUUCUGGUGAAACAAUGGACAAUUGGAGGUGAUUUUUGAAAAGGAUAUCGGAUGUCUUGCUAGUUUUUUUUUGAGUUUUUUUAAUGAUGGUAUGAACAAUGUUUUUCUAUGAAAUGAUAUUAACAUUGUACUUCUAUGACAUAAUAUUAACAAUGUAUUUCUAUGACUUGGAAUUAAUAAUGUACUUCUAUGACAUGGUAUUAACAAUGUACUUCGAGCUCGUUGAGCUUUUUUUGUGUGUCAAAUAUGGGCUGGGCUUACUGGGCUUUUUUUUUUUUUUUUUUUUUUUGGGUUGAGUUUUUUGUAUUGGGCUUGUUUUAAGUUAAUCAAUGGCAAAGAUGUAAUUUAUAGGAACUUCAACACUCAUUUUUUAGGUAGUAAAUGGUUUUUGGGUAUGUUUCUAAAGUGUAUUCCAUAUAGGUUUUUUUUAUAUUUUAAAAUAAUAAUAAUUUCAGGUCCUAUUUUAGAUAUAUUACUAAAUCUCCCUAAAAAAUAAUGUACCUACUUUUAAAAUAAUUUACUGAUACAAUCUAAUUAAAUUAGCAUACCUAUUUUUUUAAAAUAACAUAUAGGUAAAUUAGUAUGAUAUUUUUGAACUAGUAUACCUACAAAAUAUAAGUAAAAUAGUACGUGAAUUUUGUACUUAGUAUAGCUGCAAAAUAUAGGUAAGUAUACCUACAAAUUACUAUAGAUACAUUAGUGGGAUCUUUUGUACGCAGUAAGUGUAUUCUGAUCUUAUUUCUGUAGGUGUAUUGCUAUUGCUUGUAUAUGUAAUUAAUGCUUACGUCUUUUACAAAUUUCAUGGUUGGCAUUAGUAUUGAUUAGGGGUGGCAUUUUAGACCCAAAAACUAAAAGACCGCAAAAACCAACCGACAUUUAACCGUAAUCGCAGGAAAUCGAAUCACAUUUGCGGUACGAAGAAGUUAACCGCAUUUGCGGUUGCAGUUGUGGUAUUUGAUUUUCACAACUUGCAGUUACCGCAAACCGCGACUAUAGUUUUUAAAAAAUAAAAAUUGCAUUUUAAUGUUUAAUCGUAGCCGUUGUAUAACAAGACCACUUAUCUUGUAAGUAAUUAGUUUAUUUAUGUUUUUUCUUAUAAUAAAAUGUACUAAACUUAUGUUGUUUUAUUUGUAGAUAGCAUUGAUGCUCAAACAACACAAUGGGGUCCUUCAAAUCCACUCACCACCACCAACACUUGAGUUUGUAACAUUGGGGCAUUGCAUUUUCCUUUUAGUUUGUAACUUUAAUUAACUUUGAAUUGGAUUUUUCCUUUGGGUUGUAAAUUUAAUUCAUUUUGCAUUGCAUUUUCCUUUUGGUUUGUAACUUUAAAGGAUUUGGAAUUGGAAUGCUUGAGAAGUUUAACUUUAAUUGGAAUGCUUGGAAUUGUAACUUUAAUUUUCUUUAGGUUGUGAAUGCUUGAGAAGUUGAGGAGGUUGUGAAUUUAUAUAUGCUUGAGAAGUUGAGGUUAUGAAUUUAUAUUUUUGGGUUAAAGUAUGCUUGAACUCAAAAGGCUUCAAAAAAAAGCAUCAAAACUAGGCCUAAAAUGUGGAAGAUUGGAUUUUUAUGACACCAAAAAAACUUGCGGUUUUAAAUCGCUACUUCACGGUAACCGACGAUAAACCGCAAAAAAAGGUCGGUUUGCGGUUUCAAAAAUCAUCAUACCGCAAAUAGUUGGUCGGUUUGUGGUUUGAACAAAAAUUCGCAGUUAUCGAACCGCAACCACCCCUAGUAUUGAUUAAGUCCAUUACUUUUUUUUUUUUUUUUUUUGCAAUUGCUAAUAAUUUACAUUCAUUACUAAUUAAGAUGGUAAAAAUUUAGGUUUUAAUACCAUAUAUAGUUGGAUGGCAUCAAUUGUAAAAUAGUUAAAAAUAAUAGGAUAGCCUAUUUUAAAUUUGGGUUUUGGUUGGAGAUUAUAAAAUGGGUGGGUUAUUGUUUAGAAUAUAUGAGUUAUACGGGCUUUUCACCUAACAUCUCUUUAAAUUAUAAGACUAUUUGGUUAUUAAUUUUGUUUAAAACUUUUAGUCUUUUAAAAUUACACCUCUAUUGAAAAAUUCUUGAAUUUGUCAGUGCCUACGGCAGCAGCUCCGAUUCCAGGCAAGCGCUGCCUUUGCUACCUUUCCCACUGUGGGGUCUUUUGGUGGCUCCCUUUUGUCUUCCUUUGCCUAUUGCUUGCAAUACUAAGCUCUUUAUUACGUUGUACCGGGAAAUGUGAUUAUGGAAAUGAAGUAUAUGUGUACCUAGAAAGAAAAAUCAUGGACUGUAUCUUUAUUUUGGAUUCAAUCACACCAAUCACCCUUGACGGUAUCUUUAUUUUGCUUUUCAUAAUAUUUCUUGCUUUUACUCUUUAUUAAUAGAUUCAGCUGGCUGGUGGAAUUUAGACUUACUUUCUGCAGUUUUUUUUGGAAAGAAGAGGUUGUUGCUAUUCUGUCAAUUCCUUUGAUACCAAACUGAUCAGAUAAGCUAAUCUGGCAUUAUACUGUGACUGGGAAGUAUAGUGUUAAAAGUGGUUAUUGGUUAUCUCAAAGUAUAAUCUCGAGACAACAGGGAGAUGUAAGUAGGUCAGCUAAUUCAGUGAAUUUGUUAUGGUCGUCCAUCUGGUUAUUGCGAGUUCCUAAUAAAUUGAAUGUAUUUUUAUGAAGAGCGGUACAUGAUAUUAUUUCAUAUAAGGUGAACCUUUUUAAGCAUCAAAUUAUUCAUGAUUCAUUAUGUUUUAGAUGCUCUCAACAGUCUGAAACUAUAGUACAUGCUCUCUAGUUUUGUCGAUUGUCAAGGGAGGUUCGGCAGCAUUCACCUAUUCAUGACUUGACAGUUCCCCUGCAGGUUGGUACUUUUAAGGAGUUAUAUCGAUAUGUUUCCUCGGUUUUGACUAAUGACGAGCUAGUCUUCUUUGUUUUUUUGAGUUGGGGAUGUAAUGAUCUUUUACAUUCUGGUCAAAUUACUUCAUAUCUUAAUUUGUUGGCUCGUACCCGAAAGCUUGUUUUGAAAUAUCAACGGGCUAUUAUUUUAAUGUCUUCUCAUGUUCCGGCAACUAAUAUUGUGCGGUAUUGGUCUCCACCUAAUGAUAAUUUUGUGAAGAUAAAUGUUGAUGGUGCUGUCAAUUUGCUUAUUGGUUUUAGAGGUUUGGGGGUUUUCAUACGAGAUAGUAUGGGUGAUUUAAUGCUAGCCGCCUAUAAAGGUCUUCAUGGCAUGUUUUCUCCUAAAGCUACUGAACUUUACGCAGCAAUUAUGAGAUUACUGAUUGCAGGUCAAAUGGGACAUCGUUCUGUCAUUUUGGAAAUGGAUGCCAAAGAGAUUAUUAUGAAUCUUCAAACUUAUGAGCAAAGUUGGUCGGCGGAGGGUGCUUUAGUGUAUGAAGUCCGGAGCUUUUUUAAUAGUUUUGAUCAUAUUUCUUGUUACUUUGCUCCUCGGGACUUGGAAGUGUAACCAAGUUGCUCAUCUAUUGGCUAAGCAGGCGCUCCUGUCUCAGGACUUUCAAGUGUGGUUAGAGGAUGGUCCUUUAUGAAUUUAUAAUGUUUUGGCCAAUGACAAAUUAUUUACUUAAUUUAAUUUUAUACUAGAUGUGAUAUAGUGGUACUCUUUUUCCUUGACCGGAUUUUUCUCCAUUUGGGGGUUUUUAAAGGCAAGGUUUUAAUGAGGUCACACUUGUUACAUUACUAAAGUCCAGUGUUAUUUUUGUACUCUAACAUUGUUGUUUCAAUGAAAUUAUCUCACUUUGAUAAAUAUAAAAAUUAAAAUUAAAAUUAAAAUCCUAAAUGUGCAAAGUCCUAAAGUGACCCUAUUUCGAAACCUUUCAGUUUCAUGGUGAGGAUCAAAGUGUUGUCCUAAACUGACCCUAAUACAAGUAUCAAAUAUCGAGAACUUAAAAUGUAAUACAAAAAGAAAAGAACAACAUUGCUUUCGACCAAUUCCAAAAUAGUCAUCUUGCACUCCUUAACGGAAAAAAGAUAUCAGAGAAAGAUGAGUGAAUGAUGACUAUUUUGGAAUACUAAUAACAAUAAAUCCUUUAAUAUUUUCUAAGUCUUAAAAUAAAUCUCAUCGUAACCCAAUAUUAUCCAAAUAUGAUGAUUGUUUGAUAUGGUUCGAUACAAGUUCAAUUCAAUAAUUUGAAUAGGAUUAGAAUACGAUAAUCUGCUUAUAAUGGGAUUCAAAUUUGGAUAUAUAGGCUUAUUUGUUGAUAGUUGAGUCAUGACCAGUUUUGUGUUUCCCAAAUAUCAAGGAAUGCUUAGUUGCGUCAUAAAUCUUUAUCCCCUUCUCUCUCUCUCUCUCUCCCUCCCUCCUUCUUCUUCUUCUUUUUUUAUGAAUCCAUACAGUUGUUUAUGCUUGUGUCCAUAUACUAGCCUAAGUGUUACGAAACCAUACAACUGUUUCUACUUGUAUCCAUAUAGCAGCAGCAUGGUAGAUCUAACCAACCCCAUAAAACUAGAGAAAUUGUAAAAACGUUUGGCCCAAAAAGAAGUAAGAAUGUGUAAAAACGAGAUUGAUUUGGAUACGUUUCAUACCACACGAAUAAAAAAAAUAAAAAACAAGUGUUAACAAAAUUCCUGAUGACAUGCAAAACCAGACACGUAAAGACCUAUUCCUAAGUAAUAGCACAACUGAAGACAAGUGUUUCAUUCUAAAAAUAACCAAAGUGCUCCCUAUAAACCUCUCCAGUAUUUCCUCACUAUUCCUCACACUUACAACAACUAGAUCAAAGCAGAGCUGUAAACAAACAACUUCUUCCAUAUUCGUCUCCAGGAACUCUAGAUUUAUUUUCACUUCAAAGUUCACAGUCAACAAUUAUCAAUAUUCAACAUGGACAUGAAGAAGAUCUCAAUUGCCAUCAUCUUCAUUGCUGCCUUGAUGGGUGUUGUCUUGGCAGCUGAGAAGAAGGAAUCCCCCAAGGCCGCUGCCCCCAAGGCUGCUACCCCUGCCCCGGCAAGCGGCGCCACCGCCACCACCUUUUCGGUUGUUGGGUCUUUGGUUGGUGCCUUAAUUUUUGCUUUCUUUGGCUAUUACCUUCAGUAAUGGUUCAGAUCAGAGAAUAAGUCAUUCUUGUAAGGGAAAUUAGGAAAAUGAGAUUCAUGAGAUCGUGAUGGAUUAUUUACAAGAGAAGAAAGGAUCACGUUUAUUUCAUGUAUUUUGACUAGCUAUGCUAGUUUCGUUAAUUGAAUUGCCUCUAUUCUUUUAAUUGAAUUGCCAAUCUUAUUGAAAACAAAAGUGAUUAUUGUCCAAAAAGAAAUUCUAAUUUGGGUCAAGUGGUAUCAAAGCAUCAGGUGAUUUAUGGUCUUAACUCGUGGCCCAAAAACUUGUAGGUCCUUGGCCUUUGGAUACAUUUCAAUUGAAAAUAAAAAUAAAAAUUGAGGAUCAAGUCGUGAGAUCCUAAGGGCUCUAUCUUAUGGGAGUAUUUUUGCUCAUUUCUUUAACUAAAUAUGUACUUUCACCAUUUUUUUUAAAAAAUUGACAUAUGUCCAUGAGUUUAACUAUAAUUAACUCUUUAUUUUUUAUUUAUUUGAUGAUAUUAUUAUGAUGAGAGAGAAACAAUGCUUUAAUAAGAUUUUUCUUAAUUUACCCUUAUUCUAUUAAUUAACUCAACAAACUUUCCACUUUUCUUGAUUAAUUUAAUUUUUAAAAAAAAUCAAAACAAUGGAAACUAAAAAGGCAGAGCAUAAGUUCUUAUUCCCAAAAAAAAAAAAAAAAGAAGAGAAACACAGAAAUCCCUUCUUUCUUUUUUUAUGAAGGAAAGUUCAUGAGUUUAUACAUGCUCACCAGGAGCGGCCCUGGGGUGGUGCAAGUGGCGCCACCGCACAGGGCCCCCGAUUCUUAAGGGCCCCAAAAAAAAAUUCUUUAUAUUAUACAGUCCUGAUCUCUUGGACCCCUGUAGUCCAAGAGAUUUAUGGUCACCCACCGUUGGAUGUAAAUUCAACGGUUGACUUGAAUCGGGUAAUAAUCAUUUAUGUCAUAUUGCAUUUAUAUAUAUCAUUUUGAACCAUUGGAUUAAUAUCCAACGGUGGGUGACCACAAUCUCUUGGACUCCUGUGGUCCAAGAGAUUGGGACUGUUAUAUUAUAUAUAUAUUAAUAUUAUAUGAAUCGUAUGGAUAUUUACACAACAGCAUGUUUAGGGGAGUUGGAUGGAGCGCAUCUCUCUUUGGCAAAAGGGCCCGAGUUCGAUGCUCCUUGAGGUCGUUCCCAAACAUUCUUAAAAAUAAAAUAAAAAAGGUUUUCUCCUUCAAGAAAAGUACUUUCUUCAUUCAAAACACCAUGAAAAAAGCUUCAUGACUUCUUCUUUCUCUUAAACUCUGAUUUUCUGGUAAGUAAUCAUCAUUGUUCAUCAAUUUCUCUUUGGUUCUUUUUUCAAUCAUUUGACAAUUUUUGUUAUUCUUUCAAUUUCAGGAAUUUGAAUACCAAAAAAAGAAAACCCUAAUUCCUGAAUUCAUAAAGACCACUCAAAAUCAAAUAGUCAUAUUCAAAUCUCAAUUCAAAUUCAGGUAUGUAUCUAAAUUUCAAUCUAUUCUAUAUAUUACAUGACUUAUUUUAUUAAAUUAUUAUCAUGUUGAUGAUUGGUUGUAUAAGAAUAUAAUUUGUAGAAAUAUUUAUCUAUUUCUUGCUGGGGUUUUCUUCCAGUUAUAGGGUUUUAGAAUUUUUCUUUAUAAUCUAAACAUUGCUCACUAGAAGUUUUUCAUUUUUUUUCUUUUCUUUGUUUGUUCAAUCAGUUUUGUUUUUUUCGUUCAGUGAUCAAAAUAUUCUCUCUCAUUAUAAUGUCAUCAAACAAAUAAAAAAUACUAAAAACUUUCUGCAGCGUCUCUCCUCUCUUCUUCUUCAACGUUUCUCUUUUUUUUUUUUUUUUCCUUCUAAUUUUUCUUUUCAGUGUCUUCUAAUUACGCCCAAUAACUAAUUCUACCCCUUUAAUCAUAUAAUCUUUCCUUUUUCAUAUACUGAUUCUGAUAUGGGAUGAAAAGAAACUGUGAGGUGCUGUUUACAUACUGAGAGACUUGGUUUCCUUCCCCUUAUUGAACAAAAAACAAGAAGAUUUUGCAGAAAAGGGAGAUGAUUCUUGUGGAGUCGUGAAAAGAAAUUUUUUUUUUUUUAAAAAAAAGGGGAAGUUGCCUCUUCCAAAAUCUUUCCUUUCCAACACAUGAAUGAUCAAGAAAUUCCCAAUCAAUGGUUGUACGCUUUUUGAAAUCAACCCUUGUUUUCGCCUUGGGAUGAUUUCAGACCACCUUGUUUUUGCUCUGUAUCCCUGACAUAGCCAUGGUCUUUUGAACUGGGCUUUUGAACGCGAAAAAAGAAGACAUUGAAUUGCCUUCAAUUGUUUGUGGCCCCCUCACAAUAAGAAAGGAUGCGUUUCUCUUUUCUUUUUUUUAAUGAAAUAGGAAUUAAAAAGAAUAAGUGAUUUUGGGGCCACCAAUAUAUUAAUAAAAAAAAUAAAAACAGUCAAUCAAAUAAAAUUUCAAAAAAUCUCCUUUAUCAAAUAGGAAAUAGAAAUUUACCCAAAUAAAAAAGGAUUGAUAUUUUAAUUUUUAUUCCUAUAUAAAGCAACAUAAAUUUAGUUUGAAGCAGUCGCACACAUCAGAAGAAAAUAAUUGCAUUUGGUUGUUUGCUCUCCAAGCUCCUGCUUCAAAAUUUUUAAUUCCAGGUUAGAUAACUUUACAUAGUCAUAGUUUUUUUCCUUUGUUUAUUUAUUUUUUAUGAGAAUAUAUUUGUAUAUGUUUAUAUGAGUGAAAUUUUUUUGCAUAGAAUAUGAGAAUAUAGUUAUAUGUUUCGUAUCUUAUAUGUUCUAUGCAUAGAAUAUGAAUUUUUUGGGUGGUAUAAUUUAUGAAUCAUAUCCUUAAUAAAAUUUGUAAUUGAUUUGUAGAUGAAGAAACAACUAAGAAUUGAUGGAUUUUUCAUAAAAAAACAUACUGAAAUAUCUGAAGUUAUCUCAUCUAUACCUUAUUCUAAUAUCGAGACAGUAGCAUUUGAAAAUUGUUUUGAUUAUGUACAUUGAAAGGGAAAUUGCAGAAAAUUUUGAAAUCGAAAAAAUUAAAAUCAAAUAAACACAAGAAUCAAAUAAUAAAAUAACCAAAAACAAACAAACCCAGAUCACCUACCUCCCAAGCCCCCCCUCAUCCCAGCCACCACACCGUACCUCCCAACCUCCUCCGCCCCAUGCCCAGCCACAAACCCAGCCUCAUUGUAACUCUGUCUCUCAGCUCCCUGGCAUAGACGACGGCGAAUACAAACAAAAUUGAAACUUGUCAACUGUACGAUUCUUACAUGGUGGAAAAGCGAGGUCGGAGAGGGAGAGAGGGUGAGGGGGUAGGCGAAGCCACUUGGGGUUGCUGUGGGGAUGAUGGUUGGGUUUGUCGUCGUCGGAGAGUGGGUAUGGUGGUCCGGUUGCGUGGGUUAUGCUUUUCUCUAAUCCUAGCACCCAUUAAAAACACUAGCCUCGAAUUUAAGUCCAAAUGGUGUGAUUAAAACAAUGUAGCAAUUUUGUGUUUCAUAUUUUGCCUUUAAAUAACAAGGAAAAAAAAUAGUAAGAAGAAAGAAAAGUUAUGAUAAUAAAAGAUGACAGGUAAUGACUCUUUGUUUACACCGUUAAGGCCCUCUGGGCANNNNNNNNNNNNNNNNNNNNNNNNNNNNNNNNNNNNNNNNNNNNNNNNNNNNNNNNNNNNNNNNNNNNNNNNNNNNNNNNNNNNNNNNNNNNNNNNNNNNUACCCGUCGGUCCGGCCAUAGCGCAAAAAAUGAUGCUCUACCUUUAGACUUACGGAGAGGGUCUCUGCUACCUGGAUCUCUACUACCAGGCAAGGACGUGGAUAAAGGCCGAUCCGAUAUUUUACUCCUCCAUCUUUCUCAAGAUCCUCAAGGCAGCAAGGCUUCCCUCUCCCCGGAAGGCCAAGUCUCUGUGCAAAGAGACCCCGACCGGGCAUGACGUUGUACGCUCUGAGAGAGUCCGGCGUCAAGGGCCCCGUCGGUAUUUUCAAGAAAGCCUCGAGGCCUCGGAAAUUCCAGGCGACCCGCACCGUUUACCGUUCAGUGACAAUAGUGCGGGGGUGUUUGGGUAAUCUGGGUUUCUUAUUUUUGGGGUUACCUUUUAAAUUUUUUAUUUUUUAUUUUGGGUUUUAGUUAAUUUUUUGGUUACUUUUGUUUUUUUGACCGAAAUGUCCCUCAAUAACUAACAACAAGUUACUCUAUUUUGAUAGAAAUUAGAAUUUGUCCUUGAAUUGCUUAAAUUAAAAAUUAUAUGGAUAAAAUUGAUCAAAUUGAAACGACGAUAGAAAUUAGAAUUUGUCAUUGAAUUGCUUAAAUUAAAAAUUACAUGGAUAAAAUUGAUCAAAUUGAAACGACAACGAUCAAAGUAAUAGAAAUGGUAAACUACAAAGAUCAAAAAUAACUGUUUUGCCAUUUUUUAAUAUCUUGUUUGGUUUAUUUGUUAUUAAUAUGCAAAUAAUGUGAUACCAAGUUAAAAGUUUGAGCUAUAUUUAGGUGCCUCUGUCAUCUGUCAAUCUGCAAGUAGCAAGAUGACUACCGCAGUGGAAAGAAUGCAAUUUUCCGAUAGAGUCCUCAUCCGAUCCAUCAUUUUGAGGGCUGAUGGAGGGUCUGGGUUAGCCGGGCAGCAGGCCCGGGUUGGUGGGUGGGUGAAGACUGGCCGGAAGGCAGACAAGGAUGCAUUUGCAUUCCUAGAGCUGAAUGAUGGGUCAUGCACUAGCAAUCUUCAGGUCAUUGUGGAAGCAGACAAGGGUGACCUUGGGCAGCUUGUGCUGACGGGUACAUGCUUGCAAGUGGAUGGCGUGCUUAAGCUACCCCCAGAUGGGAAAAAGCAGAAGGUGGAGCUUCAAGUCGAGAAGGUGAUCCAUGUGAGUGUGGUUGACGCGUCGAAGUACCCGUUGCCGAAGACCAGGCUCCCCCUUGAGCUUCUGAGGGACUAUGUCCAUUUGCGUGCCAGAACCAACACGGUAAGUAACCCUGUUUGCAUUGUAGGACCUGUUGUGCUUUUGAUAACUAGUGUUUGAUUUAGUGUAUUUGCUUUCAGAUGGGCGGUUGCUAGAAUAAGAGAUGGACUGUCAUAUGCAACCAAGAGAUUUUUCCACGAGCAUGGAUUCUGUUACGUGAACACUCCAAAUAUCACCACCAGUGAUUGUGAGGGUGCUGGUGAGAUGUUUCAAGUCACUACCUUGAUUAGUGAAGCUGAAAAAUUGGAAAAGAAUCUGAUUAAGAACCCUCCUCCGUCAGAAAUAGACGUAGAAUCUGCCAAGCUUAUUAUCAAGCAGAGAGGAAAUGAUGUUGCUCAACUCAAAUCUGUUAAAGCAAGUAAGCAGGAAAUUGGCGCUGCUGUGGCUGAGCUUCAAAAGGCAAAGGAGAAUGUCUUGAAGAUGGAGGAGAGAUCUAAGCUUCAACCCGGUAUCCCUCAAAAGGAUGGGAAGAUUGAUUAUAGCCAAGAUUUCUUUGCCCGUCAAGCCUUUUUGACUGUUUCUGGCCAACUACAACUCGAAUCUUACGCAUGCGCUCUUAGUACAGUCUAUACAUUUGGGCCAACUUUUCGAGCUGAGAAGUCACAUACUUCAAGGCAUUUGGCAGAAUUCUGGAUGGUGGAGUCAGAAAUGGCAUUUGCAGAGCUUGAGGUACGUGAAGCUUAAAUUUAGUGUAGUUUUCUCAAUAUAUAUUCAUGAUUUUAACGUUUAGUUUUGUGCAUAUGCAGCAUGAUAUGGAUUGUGCAGAGGAUUAUGUGAAAUUUAUGUGUCAGUGGCUACUUGACCAUUGUAUGGAAGAUAUGCAAUUUUUUGCUGACAAGAUUGAUAAAAGUUGCAUCGACCGUAUAACAAUGUCCGCUAAAACACCAUUUGCACGGAUUACUUAUACAGAAGCAGUGGAGCUGCUAACUGAGGCUGUAAAAAAUGGUAAAAAGUUUGAGAACCAUGUAGAGUGGGGGAUUGAUUUGGCAUCUGAGCAUGAAAGGUAGUUUCAUAGCUUUAUUCUGUUGUUCUGUAUUGUUACAGUUUCUGAUUAAAUCAGCUUACCAAUUUAUCUUUUUGGUUUCGUGCAGAUACUUGACUGAGGUGAAGUUUCAGAAGCCUGUUAUUGUUUACAAUUACCCUAAAGAGAUCAAAGCAUUCUACAUGAGGCUCAAUGAUGACUCAAAGACAGUGGCUGCUAUGGAUGUCCUGGUACCAAAGGUGGGCAUUAUACUCUCAACAUUAAAUUUAUAUCGUUGACUUCAUUGCUCUGUUGUAUAUACUUGAGCAUUGUGUGUAAUCUGUGUAUUUUUUAUGCUUUUCUUGUAUUUCAGGUGGGUGAGUUGAUAGGGGGAAGCCAAAGGGAAGAACGUUAUGAUGUUAUGCUGAGCAGGUAUAUGAGUGUUUUGGUCUGUUUUAAGUGAUUUUUAUCCGCAUCUGUUUUUUUUUUCCUUUUUUGUUGGGAGUUCUCUUGUGCACAAUGUGUUUUCUAUUUUUAAUAUAUACAAGUGAUAUUAGGGGAGGGGGUUUUCUCACACAUACAAUGCUAAGGUACUAUGAGAGUUCGAAUCUAAGACCAUUGGCGUUUUCCACUGAGCUAGACCCGUUGGCUUGUGCACAACGUUUUUUUUUCCAUAGCAGCUGUUUUGCCCCUCCCCAUAAUUUGAGUAAUGGAUAGUUUGAACUGAGAAACGUAUGUAUUGUUUGAUGAAACUAUUAUUGCAGGAUGAAGGAGAUGGGGCUGCCAAUUGAGCCAUACGAGUGGUACCUUGACUUGCGGCGCUAUGGGACUGUAAAGCAUUGUGGUUUUGGUUUGGGUUUUGAACGAAUGGUUCAAUUUGCUACUGGGCUCGACAAUAUUAAGGAUUGCGUGCCAUUCCCUAGAUCUGCUGGAAGAGCAGAUCUUUGAAUUAAUUACUAGUCUAUAUGCAGCAAAUUUUUUAAAUUUUAUUUUAGGCGAAUUUUGUACCUAUAUUUUUGGUGUACUUAGGGCUAGUUUGGCAUUGCUGUGCUUUUAAAAAAAACUACUUCUGCUGUGCUGCGAGAAUAAUCAGCUGUGAAAAUAAUCAGUUAGGCGUUUGAUAAAUUAUAUCUGAAAAAGUGCUGUGAGUAAUCAAAGUGUUUGGUAAAUGACAAAAAAAAAGUGCUUUUAGCAUGUUCAAUGACCAAAAAGGACAUGAUGAUGGAACUAUUUGUUUUUCUUCUUCAUUCUUUUUCUACUUAAAAAAACUUCACUACAUAAUGUUUUUUCUUUUUUUAUUUAUACUAUACACGUGUUCCUCUCUUCUCAGAAAAGUAAAUGCCUUUUGUUAUAUAUUGAAUGCUAACCAUUCCGACCAAAAAAAAAAAAUGCUAACCCAACGACACCAAUUGGAAACCCAACACAGCCCAUCUCUCGACUUCAAUUUUUCUCUUUCUACCAUUUACAAGUUUUUUUUCUUCAUUCCUUCAUCUAACCAAAAAUAUCUCAUGUUUCCCCAGUUUUUUUUUUUCUUUUAAUAUGUUUCCCCCAAUUGUUUUUAGUACUUUUGGGUAGGUAAGACUGAAAAGGGGAAAAAUUGUAUGUAGGGUUUAUGUUUUGGUGUUCUUGCAAUGGGAGAUAACAUAGUGGAGAAAGUAGCCAUGGUUGAAAUACAGAUUUCUGGGUUGCAGCCAUGGAGAUUUGAGCUGGUUUACAGUGCUGUAGUGGGGGUAGUUGAAGCCCCCCCAAAGUUGGGACUACUGCAACAGGAUCUUUCCACCCAUAACCAAAAACAAGAACAACAAACUCAGGUGGAACAUGAAACUCAUCACUCUCUCUCUCCCUCUGACUCUGGCUUUCUCUAAAACCUGCAACAAAUAGAAAAACCCCCAAUUUGACAGAGAAAACUCUAGAUGCAGAAAGUUUGAGAAGUAGAAAACCGAAAAAUCAUAAUUGUAAUUCAGUUACUGAUGAGUGGGCAACCUUCUUAGCAAUUAAUUUUUUGAUGUCCACAAUGAGAGUUCCAGCAGCGUCAGAGAGUAGAGAAGGAAAUGAAGGAAAUGGAGUUCGCAGAAUGGAGAAGAAAAAAGGGGCAAGUGAGGGUAUUAUGGGAAGUUAAAAGUUCAUUAAAACAACCGGUUAAAUUUUUUUUGAAGCAGCUUUUAAAAGCUGGGUAGAGACGGCUUCGAAAAAACAGCGAUCAUUGACCGCGAUUUAAAAAAAAGCAAGAUUCCUGAUGUUUACCAAACACCCAAUCGAUGACAAAUUUUUAUUAAAGCUGCUUUAAAAAAAAAUUAAGCGCUGCCAAACGCCACCUUAAUCAAACCAAUUCUUUUUUCAUGUAACUAUGUAUGGAAGGCCUAUGCCAACUGUUUAGCUUCAGUUCUGAAUUUUUCAUAAGCGACUAUGAGUAUGCGCUUUUAAAGGUGAUAAAUGGUCAAAGAUAUGAUUCAAUCUGAAGAUUUAUAAGAAUUGUUGAUGAAACAGGUAAUCCCACAUUGGAUAAUUUAUUAUCCAAUCUAAAUAUAUGAUUAAGUUGUCAAUGGGAUCUAGCCAAGUGAAAAAGGAUAUUGACUUGCAGGUUAGUAGUCUCAUGUUCGAGCCCCCAUGAUACUGUGGUAGUGUGUGAGUGAACAAAAUUCGUGCGCAAAAAAUAAACUCGUAUAUGAUGAUACUAAAAAUAUGAAGGCAUAAACUCCUAUAGAAAUUCUCAGCCGUAAAUAGAUGAUUUGGAAAUUUUUGACAUGGUAGAAGAAAAGAAACAUUUGUUUACUUUGGAUACAUCAAAUUUGAACAAUCGAACAUCAUCACAUCACAUUAUAGGAUGUUCCAUGUUUAAUCCUUGAUAAGUAUAUAUGGAACAGAUAAUGUAGAAAUGCUUUUAGAAAAAUGCCCCAAGUGACAUUUUUUGUUGUGAAGAUUAAUAGGGUGCAGGGCCAACAUUGCACCAAACAAAUUAAAAUGGUUGUUUCUUAAUUUGGUUCCAUUUUUCUUGUUUAUUUCAUGCAAAUUAAGACAUUUGAAUUCGUUUCUGACCACUAAUAUGCAAAAAUACCGUUCAAUAAUUCCUUAUACCGUGCAAAACCAAGCAUUAACCAACAACUGUUUGAUUCUAAUAAUAACCCAAAAUGCUCCCUAUAUAUUGAACUCUCCAAUUCAUCUACAUUCAUCAGCACCUGCAGUAAACAAAGAAGAAAUAAGAAGUUACUUCAUAUUCAUCUCUAAGGCAGCUGUUGUUGAUCAACUUAUUCUCACUUCAAACAAUUCAUCAUGGAAAUGAAGAAGAUCUCCCUUGCCAUCAUCGUCGUCGCUGCCUUCGUGAGCGUCGUCUUGGCAGCUGACCUCCCCAAGGACCCACUAGCAGCUGCUGCUGCUGCUGUUGGUGCUGCUACCCCAAAGGCCUCAGCAGCCCCCGUGGGCUCAGCUGGUACCACCACAAGCUCAGCAGCCUCCCCAAUUCCUUCCUCUGCAACCGGCACACCAACCUCAGCUCAUGCCCCCAGCCCAUCAGGCGCCGCCUCUGCCAUGCCCGUUGUCAGCUCUUUGGCUGGUGCCUUCCUGAUGUCCUUCUUUGGCUAUUACCUGCAGUAAGCUCAGGGAAUACAAAAUUCUUGAUGAGACUAUGAGAGUUAAAUAAGUACUUGGAAGAUGGGAUUCCCAAGAGAAGUAAGGAUGUUUAUUCAUGUUAUCAAUGUUGUUGAAUCUUAAUGAUUUAUUUUGCUUAAAUUCAGUUGCCUGUUUUCUUUCAGGCCAAAACUAAAAGAAUAAAUGUAGCAUGCAAUUACAAUGUAUAUUUAGACAGCAGUAAAAGUUUUCACAUCCAAUUUCUAUUACGGCCAAUGUUCAGUUACAUUCAGCAAUAUGUUAUUUCCGACUCUAAUCUUCAAUGUUCAAACACCACUCUGGUUGACAAACAAAUUUAUGUCAAGAAGAUGAAACAAAUACCUUUUCUUUUUUUCUUUUUUUUAAAACAAGAUUGAAUAAAUUACAGACAAAUGUCCAUCAAAAAUUAGGAUCCUCCAUUAGAUUUUUGUGCAGACAUGAGACUCUUUGUCAACCAGAUGGCUGUUUCUCUAGACGAGACAGCGUCUUCUCCGAAUGGUCUUAGCACCCCAGCAAGCUCUUCAAGUUUGUCCUGCUUUAAUAGCCGCGCGCAUACCUCUAACAGAGACUCCAGGGCGUCAGCUCUUUGCUGACUUGGAUUUUCCCAGUCACUCUUGGAAUCAUCACCACCUAUUGCAGUUAGUGUGCUCAAGGAGAUGUCAAUUGGUGCCUGAUUAACCACAUGAGCAUUAUCUUUUUCUGUCUGCGUGGAGCAAUUAUUAUUGUCUGCCUUUGCUCCCACUUCAUCUUUUUCUUUCUGUAUGGAGCAAUCAUUUUUGCUUUCAGAUGACAAGUAGUCCAGGUGACCACCUACAGGAUAUCCAUUAGAACUUUCCUUCGGUAAACAGCUUCCGGGUUCCACCUCAGAUUUAGCUGAUGACGAGCAUUUAUCAUCAGGGGAUCCAACUUUGUUGGCACAGCCUACACUGGGCACCACCAAUUCCCUACAAUUCUCUUCUUUAGCACCCUCUCCUUCUGUUCUAGCUCCUUCAGGAACUUGUUGGUCUCUACAUGACUUUCCAUCUUCAUUGUUUGAAGUCUUGACAUCAACCUCUGGCAACUGUUUGGAAUUUGUAGCAGCAGGUUCUUCUCGUUCUUCAUUUUGAGAAUUUGGUGUGCUCUCUGAUGUAAUUUCAAUGUCAGACUCGGUAUUUUCCUUUUGGUGUAUACUGAUAGUGUCAGCUUGCUUAUCUCCAUUGCAAACAGAUGCUUCUGAAUCAGUUGGUCCAUCUUUUGAAGCAUCAGUGGCAUUGGAUAAUUCCAUAGAACAGCCAACCCUCUUCAUUUCAAGCUCUUCUGCACUAACUGUGAAUACAGGGUUAUCAAUGUUUGUUAUAUACCUAUGCGUCACAUCAGCACUGCUCUCAAAUGGAUGGACCUUUUCCAGGUGGUUCAGUGUUCCAGCCUCUUUGUCUCUGUUGUCUUUGCCACUGCUGGGUUUGCUAGGCGGUGAUUUUCUAGUAGUUUUAUCUUUCAAGUUGUUUACUGGCUUUACUGGAAGAAAAACAGAUGAUGCAUUGCGACAUUGAAGAAGGUAUGGUUGUAAGUGCGGAUGCCUUAAUAACUCUGCAGCCUAACGUAAUAGAUUAUGGGAGUAUUAGAAAAAAUAAAGGUCCUCAAAUUCUUUACAUCAUGCAAGUCAGGGGUUAGCUAACUCACUGUUGGUCUGUGUUCUGGACUCUUCCUGAGCAUGCUCUUUAUGAUUUGUUUCCUGUGAUCCGGAGGCCAUACCAUAUAAGUUGAUAAAUUAGAAAAGAAAAGACAUGAAAUAUGCAGUUAGAAUAUUCAUUUAAAAUAGCACCAUUAUGUCUGAUGAUUUUGAAGAUAUUACUCACAGUGUGGAAGAAUACACAAUUGGCAGAGGAGAAAUGGUGGAUCUGUUAAUUUUAUUGAUAAGCCCAGCCAUGUCCUGUUUAAUCAGGUAAUUUAUAGGAUUUAUUUACUCAAAAAUAUAUGCCAACAGGUUUAGACGCAUCUUUGGCAGCCAAUAAUAUCAAUGCAACAUCAAACGCUCAAGCUUAUACUUACAGGAGCUCUAAAUGCAGGCUGAUGUGCAGCAAUCUCAAACAUACAGCAACCUAAAAACCAACAGAAAAUAAAAAUUAUAUCUAUUCAAAAUCAUGGGCAUGAGCCUGUGAAAAAUAUAACUAUUAAGAUUCUAGAGUUCUUACCAAGCGACCAUAUAUCGGAUUUAUAGCCAUAAGGUAUAUCUGCGAGGAGCUCAGGACACAUGUAGUUUGGAGUUCCAACAACCUAUGUUGAAAAUAUAGCGAUUGAAAAUGAACAGACAUAAGUGGAUUUAGUGAAGUAGUUGCAGGUUUUAACAGACAUUCUAGAAGUUCAGCCACAAAUACUGAGGAACUAUCCUCUCUUAAGAUAAGGUGGCCUUGUCAAAUGUGGAAUGUUUGAAUAUAGUGCUUGGUGGAGGGGAAGCAAGAGAAGUUUGCAACUAUUCUAUGGAAGUUUUCAUGAAAGAAGAGACGUACAAAAUUUUAAGAGACAGUUCUGUAGGUGGGCAUAAAGACAAUCAAAUAAUGUAAAUGCAAGUUCAUACCGAAGAAGUAAGAUCUUCUGUGUUGAGUAGUUUUGCGAGUCCAAAGUCACCUACAAGGUCCAUGUAAGAAAUACAUAUCUUUAAAAACAUCAAUAUAUGGAAGCCAAACCUUAUGCAGCAAAACAUCGCUUCUCUUAGCAAUCAUUAUGUCUACAUACCAAGUCUGAUGUCAUUGUCCUUUGUAAGGAAUAUGUUGGAGCACUGCAAACAUUAUAUUUGUAUUAAAACAAACAUCAUUAGUAUUUAUCUUCACUGCAACUACAGGUACACUAUAUUACCUUAAGAUCCCUGUGAAGUACACGAUUGGAGUGCAAGUAGUCCACAGCUAGUAACAAUUGAGUCAGCCAUUUGCAGAGCUUCUGCAGGGCAAAACAGAAUGGCAACAGAGAGCAGUUGGUUUCUACCCUUUACAUAGGUACAUAUACAGGACGUGAAGUUUCACUGAUUACCUCCUCUGGAAAAAAUUGUCCUCUGGCUUUCUUUACCAUCUCAGCUCUGUUAAGAAAUGAGUUGUUUCUCAUUCAUUAAUCAUGGGAAGUAUUGUGAUUGAUUCUCUAAUUCUUAUGUAAUAUUGAAAAAGAAAAAUCAAUACUCUCUGAAGUUCCUUAAAUGAGAUCUUAAUUCUCAUCUAUUAGAUUAGAUAUGGACGGUUGAGACGCAUCAUGGCUGUCCAAUAUCUGGUCUAAGGACUGAGAAACAAGACUUCAUUGAAGGACCCUAUUUAUGGACUUUAGAAGAACAGGACUGAACAGUAUAUAUACGUAGUUUAACAUGUUGACUAUGAAAAAUAUGAUACUAAAUUUCCUCCUAUAUUUCGUCCAAAAAUCAUGUGGAUUAUCAAUGAGUUUCAAGCUAAUAUUUGGAUGAGAAUUAAGGACUGAAAUAAGUGUUUUAACUCUUUACAAAAGCAAAAGAUGUUUUAAAAAAUGGCUGUUUCAAAUCAAUUCCUCAUUUAAAGAAGAAAAAGGGCAUUCUAGCAUACCAGAGAAAACAUAUCUAGAACAGCAAUGAUCCACAUUGUGUUACUUACAUGUCACCUCCUUCGCAAUAGCCUGUAACAAUGCAUACGCAGUCUCCCUACAGAAAAUAUAAACGUUUAAGCAUGCGUGUAUGAAGUGAAAUAUUGUUACAACAGCUAAAGACUUCUCCAAAUUUAUACUCUCAAGCCGUAUUCAAAUAUAAAGAACUUUAUAAAAGAAUCACAGAUUUACCUUGUCAACCCAAGCAUCUUUAUAAUCCACAAUAUAUGGAUUGUUUAGCUUUGCAAUUAAAUUCAUCUGCAAAAGAAAUUGAGGGAACACAUCUUUCAGUCUCACUUCAAGGACAUUGACAAUUAAGGUUUUCUUCAAAUAUGGUGGGUGGAAAACUAGAUACAAUAUCAGAAACACAUUAAUGAAAAGAAAAAAAAACACUAGUGAUACAGUAUUGAGCUGGAGGACAAAACAAGUUUUAUCGUCUUUUCUAAGUGGAUAUAACAGGGGAUUAUCCAACCAGAAGGUUACAAUCCAGGAUCAUUGUAGUUAUGAGAUACAUAUUUCAAAUGUCUGUGCAAAAGCAUGCUUGUUUCUUCUGAUUUCAUAUGCAUAUCGUUUCAAGAACGCAACUUCCCAGUAGAUUGUUACAUAAACAGAUCUUGGUAUUUGUACAGAAUGAAUUGUAGCCCAAGAAGCAGAAAUGACAGUACUGAUAUGGACAAGCAAAGAAUGAAGUUGGAGCUUAUUGAUGCAGGACGCUUUUAUAUCCUAUUUUGACUGCCAAGAAAACAGGAAAGAUGGAUAUUUGAUGCUACAUUUGAUUCAUUCUCAGAGUACAGCUGAUAUGCAAAGAGGGAGAGAACAACAAAACAAAACCUAACCCUUUGAUUGGUAAUGUAUCAUGUUGAAAAAUGGAACAAUUUGAAAAAUAAAAAAUUGUAGCUGACAGCCAGUUCUACAUUUAACAAUAUGCAAACAGUUUUCGAGAAAGCAACCUCUUGGUGAGCUGUGCGUUUGAACUUAUCUGUUUGCUUAGCCAAACGAAUCUUUUUCAACACAUACCUAUCAAAAGAAAAACUCAAUAAUUAUUAAUUAAACGCAGUUGGCAAAACAUAGGUUUAAUCAAGUUGAGCUGAGUACCAAUUGUACUAUCAAUCAAAUACAGAAUUUUGGAUUCUCGAUUACCUUUCUUGUGAAAAUUCAUACCCUGAGAUGUAAACUUUGAUAAAGUGUAUAGAAAAAAUCAGACAGUUCCCAUUACCCCAUUAUUCAGUUUUCUUGCUAAAUUCUGUCUUUAAUUACAUAAUUGUCUAGCAGAUUACAAGAAUUACAUUAUUUAAGAAAAGAUCCCUUUAAAAGUACACAAAAUUAUAAUUAAAAAAGGUUCGUAGAAAAUACUCUUACUUCUUUUUCUGAGUCUUAUGAAGAACAAGAAAAGCAGCUCCAAAUGCCCCUCUCCCAAUCUGCUCUAUCACUUCAUAAUCCUCCAUCUUUGACUUCAUCUCACCAUCAUCAGUCUCCAUAGUCACCUAAUAAGACCUUCAAAACCCAGAAGAUACAGAGUUCAGUAAGUCAACCCAGCUUCGAUGGUCGAGUCAAAAUUGCUAUAUUCACCCAAUUUGGAUCAAUUUCAUAAACUUCAAUUCAUAUAGUACCAAGAAAAUUUGCUGCUUUAUAGCAAAAUUCGACCCAAAAUUUAAAAACCCAGAAAAGAAAAACUUGCAGAAUUACCAAUAAACAAAAAAAAAACGCAAUAAUCAGCUUGGAAAGCACCAACAGCUCUGUAAUGCUCCUCAAAGGGAGAGUCUUGAGACUUUGAGGCUACUAAAUUUCCCAAAAACUAGAGAGAUCUUAUAGGUAAGAGAGAGAGAGAGAGAGAGAGAGAGAGAGAGAGAGAGAGAGAGAGAGAGAGAGAGAGAGUAAAGCUAAAUUCCAGAAUAAUAAUGAGUAUCACAACAAUACAUGAGACUGAGACAAAGACAGAAGGAAAGAGAGGUGGAAGGACAAACUCAAGUAAAAGCAACAAGAGCACUGAAAUGAUGAUUAAGAGUGUGAUGACUUACCAAAAAAAACGAGUAGAGGGAGUUAGAGAUGAGAGGGUGGAAGGGCAGUCUCAAAGUAAAACCAAAUGAGGCAGCUAAUUGUGUAAUCUUUAAUAAAACUAUACUUAAUUGGAAGUUGAUUAUCUACCAAAUAGAAAGUUGGGUUUGUGGGGAAGAGAGAGAAAGGAGAGGGCUUGGGAAGCCAAAAGCUAAAGUGACAGGUACUGAAGAGAAUGAAGACUUAAAAGAGAAAAGCAAAGCAUUGCUUGCAUUUUCAGAUUCAUGGGAGAGAGAGAGAGAGAGAGAGAGAGAGAGUCUCACCAGGGAAUGUUUUUCCAGCGCGUAGUUAUGAUGUCACUGUCCUUGGAACUUAAAAAUCUAUUUGUUUUUUGUUUUUUGGGUUUCUAUUUUGGGUUUUCUACAAUUCGUGCUGGUCCACUUUAGUCGCUGUGCUUCCAUUUAAUACUCGGCCUCUAAAUUAUUUAUUACUGAAAUUAUUCUUUUAAUAUCUCAUGAGUUGUCGCUAUAAUUCUUUAAGAAAUUUGGAGAAGAAAAAUAAAAACUCACCAAGAUGUUUGAAGUUGACCAUGAUGGCUCGUGUCUUGCAAGAUAAAUAAAGGGAUUUAUAAUUCAAGUGAUUAAAAGUAUUUAUUCAUAUACCUAAAGUCCUAAAUUCGAUUCUCCAUUCCCUCAAUAUCGCUUGUUAAAAUAAAAAAUUAAUCAUGUAAACAUCCUCAAUUACAGUCCAAAAACUUAACUUUGGUGAUAUUUCACUUUGAUCUAUGACUCUAAUCUAGCAUUUUGAAAACCUUGUAUUGCGUUCAUUAGGUUGACUAUCAAGUCAAUUGACGUGAACGUAAAAUUUGUGAAAAAAGGAAAUGGGAAAGAUAGAAAUUUAUCUUAUCUUUAAAGAAUACUGAAAAAUAAAAUAAUGUUACCAAUAUUUUGGGUUCAAAGCUUCAAAGCUACACCUAAAACCCCUCUAAAAACUAAAGCUAUUGAGAGAUGUAUCGUUCAUCCCAAAUUGACGGGUGAUAGAUACUCCGUGGUUUACCAACUAACACAGAAAAGGAAUAAAUAUCUUCAAAAUUUUCAACUGGUUAAGAAAGACUUUCAAGGAGCAAUUGGCCAUGUAGAAAGUUGCAGCUACCCAACACCCGAAACUUUCAUUGUAACGCAAAAUUCCAACACCACCAAAAACCAUCAUUGAAAAAGAUAAAUUAACUGACUGGUCACAAGCACAUUAGCAUUGAGAAAAUGCAUCUAAAACCAUGAACAGAAGAAAAGUUCACAUACAAUUUCCAUGCGCAUUUAGAUAUCUAACAAAAGGGCAUUACAUUGUUUGCGAAAAGAAAUUUGUGCACGUUAUCAGAAGGUCAAGUUACUUGUGCUUUGAUUUUCUGGAGGACAUUUUCCUUUCAAGUUUUUUCUGUGUUGCCUCAAAUUCUUCUUCUGAGGGUUCUGAAGCAGCACUACACCCGCCAUAUUUGGAAAUUAGAGAAGAGAACAUAGAAUCAAACUGGUUUUUCCUCUCAUUUCGGCGCUGAGAUAUGAUUGCAUACAGAUCCUCUGACUGUUUCUUUGGUCUGUAAAAUAUUUAACCAUAAAGGUUUUUCAUUUCUUGAUUGAGCUAAACAUUAAAUUUAAGCAAUUAAAUAAACUUGAAGCAAAGUACUCACUUGUCCUUCCUCCUUAAAGGACUAGUAGGAGGUUUUGCUUCAGAUACUUUCUUUGCCCAUUUCGUGUAGGCUUUGGUUGAUUUCAGUUCUCCUGUGAGUGAGAGAGAGAGAGUUAGCAACAUGAAAGAUACUCCAGCACACCCUUAAAUCCAGGAAAAUUCAGUAUGCCAAGUACAUCAAUGUUGUUAACAUUACUUGCAUAGAAAGUUUGAUUUCUAUGACUAAGGAUGUGCCAAUAACCCCCAUUGGAGAUAAAAUGAGAGACCCAACCAUGACAGUUAGGCAUGUUCAACAAUGAUUCAUAGAUGCACCAAUCAGGAGUGACUUAAUCAAGAUAGAUGAUAGAGCUUAGAUGAGUAAAAGUAAUUAUUAAAUAUAUGACAGGAUGUGAAUUACAUGAAAUGAUUUGUCAUAGGACAAAAUGGAGGACCAAGAUUCAUGUAGCCGACUCAAAAUGAUUGGAACAAGACUCUUAUAAAGGUUCAUUCGUUGAACCCAAAAAAACUGAAGCACUGUCAAGAGGAAAGAAUCCAAAUGGCAAGACCACACUAAGGAGCUAACUAAAGGGGGAAUCUGAGUGUCUGCUCUUGUAUUGUGGACGUCUAUAAUUUGAAACAAUCAAACCAUGUCCAACCCCAGAUUAAAUGACUCUACACAAAGACUAUGCUGUAAGUUUUGUGGUAGGGCAUCUAAGCAAACCUGGUCUAAGACAUCAUUUAAAACAAUAAAUUAGGAUCUUGAGUUUGACAAUAAGCUUAUAUUCAGUAGAACCACAAAAAUACUAAAUACAAUGUACUAGAAAUGACUAGAUAUAAUGUAAUAUCAUGAAUUUGAAAUUACUAGGUUUGAUGAAUCAUUAAACCCAUGCACUCCUUCAAUCACAUAGAUAAAUUUGCAUUGUCAACAAUAUAUUCAAGUAAUUAAACUAGAAACAACUGAAAACCCUGUUUUGAGAUUUAGCUUAAAAGACAUCCACACCUGCAGCAAUUGCCUCAUCAAGAAUAUCCUUGAAACGGUGUGAAUCAAGUUUAGGGUCUGAACAAAGCAUUGAACAGAAGAGUCUGCAAGGGAAACAACUGUCAGCACCAAACAGGAAAACAAAAGGAAAAAAGGAUAAACACAAUGCUACUACUACCAAUACCUGUUCAUAUUACCCUUGUACUUGCUAUACAGAUCAAUCAAAUCUUUCUUCUCUGAAUCGGAUCCUCUAUAGUUUGCUUCAAACUCUUCAAUAUCAGCUUCAGUGACCUGCAAUUGAUGUAUAUGUUGUCACAAAUCUAAAGAAGGCAGAGAGUGUACAAACAACAUUAUUACAUCAAAAGACAGCAUGAAGAGGUGAAAACAUUGUGACCUUUUUAUAUAUGACUCGGAAAUAUUCACGCAGAUUUUGAACAACAUCACCAGCAAGGUCCUGCUCAUGAAAAAAGCACAACCAAAAUAAGCACCAUUUGAUUAGUAAGGCAACGCUGGAUUUCCCAAGUAUCUAAACCCCAAUUUGAUCUUCCAAAGUAGUUGAGUGAGUACGAAGUAGUUAUUCUAAUUUAAGAACACCAGGUUGACACAUUUACUUGUCAUUUCUAGUAAUGCAUCCAAUUCAUCACGCUGCACGCAGCAUUGUCUAGAAAUGAACGAGUUACAAAGGAUGGGUUUUUCUUUAAAUUGCAAAACAAAGAAAUUACACACUCACAUCAUCGUCAAUGCAACCAGUCUGGUCAUAGAGUGCUCGUUUCUCCUCAUCCCCAAGAAUUGAUAUCACUUUUUGCAAUUGCUGAAACUUCUCUUUAGCUUCCUAUAAAACAAAACUGACAAAUUAUACUUGCAAAAAAUCCACAGUUCACAGUUGAGAGAAAAUCAUCAAACAAAAACACGAUUUUUUUUCGACGUUCACCUCAUCGCCCGGAUUUUUAUCAGGAUGGAGUCGUAACGCUAACUUAUAAUACGCCUUCUUUAUUUCCUGUUGAGAGGCGCUUCUAUCGACGCCAAGAACCUACAAAACAAGAAUAACCUAAUGCCUUAAAAUCCCCAAUUUUCCAAAUUAGGGCAAUGAAAGCUCGAAAAAUCUAAUUUUUCUAGCUUAAAGAAAGAGAUCAAUAGGUUAAUCAAAAAAUCACAUCACGCAAAUUCUGAAUAUAAUUCUUAAUCACCUCGUAGAGGGUCUUCUCGUUGGUGGAAGUGGGGUUGUGAUCCACGUCGCUUUGUUGUUGUUCUUCUUCUUCUUCGACUUGUCGUGCUUGCUUUUGCUCAGAAACCCUAGCUCUCUUUCUUUUCCCCAUUUUCGAAUCAGAAGUUUUGAAAUUUGGAGAAAUGGUUUAUCAGAAGUAGGGGCUCUACUUAUAUGUGAACUUUCGGGGCUUCGAUUUGUUCCCGCCAAUUCGCUCUCCAAUUUACCCUUUUCCCGCCGCGAGAAUAUGGUAGAAGAAUUCCUUAACUCUACUGAAGUUAGUGGACCGAACCCAGCGCCCGUGGGCGGGCAAAAACCCGAUCCAACUGCCCACACCAACCAAACCAACUGAGUGGGGUCCGCUUGAUUUGUCAAAGAAAAUAAAUUGUUUCGAACUGGCUACACCAUUCAAACUGGCUAUUGGUUUAAGUUACGAUUUUACGCUAAAAGUACAAUAUUUGACUGAAUCAAGCCAAACUAUGAUUAGUUUAGUUUGUUUCAGUUUAGAAACUGCACAAACGAACCAAAACCACAUAUAUUAAUUUAGUAUCUCCUUUUUUUUUUUUUUUUUCCAGGAAAAAUUUAGUAUCUCUUAUUGGUUAUUAUAAUUUUCUAAUCCUCCACAUUGAUAACAACCAUUUAAUGCCAACUGAAAUCUCUAACCUAUUCAAAUUUUACAUAAUCUAUUUUACAUAAUUUGUCAAUCUUCAAGCAAAUGGGGUCUACCCUAAUGGAAAAUGACUUUGACUUGCAUAUUAGUGGUCUCAUGUUCGAACUCCUAUGGCAUCUUAGUAGUAUGUGUGUGAAAAACCCUCUUCCCCUUAGAGUUUAAAUUAUCGCUUGUAUUAAUUUAAAAAAAUUGCAAAUCUUCAAUAAUAAUAAGUUUUCUCACAUGUUCAGUUUAUGAGUCACUUUGGCAUAUGUAAGAGGACAUAAAAUAUUUGCUUUAAGGGAAAUACAUGAACCCAACCAAACACUAAAUGAUUUGGUUUUGCAUUAGUUAUGCUACUAACUUGGGGCCUAAACUAAAUCAGUUUGAAUUGUGAUAUUGUGUUGCUUUGAAGUUUAAACCGAACCCAACAAAACUAGGUCCACCACUAUUACAAGGCAAAAAGUUACUUUCGGUUCAUGUGGUUUUACCAAUUUUACCACUAAGGUCCCUUUGAUUUCAAUUUGGUCACUUUCACCAACGUGAUUUUCAAUUCCAAGCAAUUUUAGGACGAUGCCCAAUUUCUGUCAAAUUCUUCUAACUCUGUUACUUGUUGAAUAUGUGCCUCUCAAGUGGAGGGGGCAUUUCUAUCAAAGCUGACUCUCAUAAUUCACGAGAAAUAUUGCACUUAUCUCUUGGAAGUGAAUCAUGUGGGCUUCCUUUUGGAUUGAAAGUUGUGCAAGCCAUGAAAAGCGAUUGAACUGUAGGUUGCUUUGGGCAAUACACGUCUUCGGCAUGUUGGGGCCUUAAGGCUUGCUGUGGUUUCGACAACGAUGGUGUCUUUAGCAUCUUGGUGCCUAGAUGAUUCAUGAUUUCUUCAGCACGAGUAUUGCGAAUGGAAAAUUAGGAGGUGCUAAUCGGAGGAGUGCCGAAGGGCACUAAAGAAGGGGAGAACGAUUGAAGCAUUUUGUGUCGAUCCCCACAAACGACGUCAAACUGUUGAUAACUCCAUAUUUGUGUUUAUUUUCUAUACCCUAUUCUUAUGCUUUGCAUUAGUUUCUUCUGUAAAAUUGGUUAUUUUGAUGUAUUUAAUGUGAGUUUUGUAGGAAAUCAUCUCUAAAGUUGAGUUGGAGUUAAAAAAGAAAAAAAAAUAUUGUGAAAAAGAGCAAAGAAGGCAGAAAUUUGGAAUUAGAAACUUAGAACUCAAGAAAUUGCAUGUGCAGAUGGGUCAAACUUACGGAUUUAACUGUAUGUGCUCAAGAAGAAUCAGAUAACGUGUUGUAUAUUCUUGGAAAGCUCUGGAAGUCUAGUUUCUAGAGAAUUUUACGGUUCGUGAUUUCGAGUUUUAUGGAGAAAGUUACAUCAAUUUUAGUACAGUGGGUCAGUGCUAGAAUUUUGCGCGAGUUUUGACAACUUUGCAUCACAAAUUACCAUUCUUGGUAAGCAGGCUUUUGGACAUCCUUGGGAGUAUGUCCACCCCAAAAGGCUAAGGGUAAGGCUAAGGCAAGGCAAGGGCUGUCACUAUUCAUGUGAAUAGUGGCAGCCUUGCCUUUUUUGGUUCCACCCCAAAAGGCUAGGACAAUGGCAAAUACUAUUCACAUGAGAUAUGAAGAAAUGAAUUUGUAUAGAGUUUUUGGUGUGGGAAGUAAAGAAUAUGGUUAGGUAUUUAUAAAAAAAAAUAAAAAAAUUUGUAUUUUUUUCCCUUUUUUUUUGUUGCUGACGUCAUUAUGAUGUCAACAUUACAUCAUUCUGCCCAGGCAGCAGUUUGGGCUGAAUUUGCCUAUGGGCUUGCCUGGGCUCGUGGGACCUAGCUCUUGCCAGGGCUAAACCUUGUGCGCUAGAAGGGGUUUUGGAGCCUGGGGCUGCCUUUUACCCGGGCUGGGCCCAAGCGCUGGAGUUGCUCUUAGGAGGCACCUAAUCUUGUGUUAGGUCAAUUAUAAAUCACCUAUAAUUGCCUAGAUCAAUUGGCAUUUGGUCUGGUCAAAGAAGUGCAUCAAAAGUCAAAGACUAACUCAACUAGGAAAACAAACUCUCUAUUCUAAUUGGAUUUUAUUCGUAUUUUUCUCUCCUAUCCCACACUGACCUAUUCCCCAAUAUCCAUAAUGAUAUUUCUUUUGUUCUUGUUAGGCCAAUUGACCUCAACCAUGUUGGUGGGACAAUGAUUAUUGUUUACUGUCAUGCUUUCAGGCUUAUCCAUAAGGGUUUGCCAUCUACUAUCAAAUCUUGAAUUUGAUCUCUAAAUUGCACGCAAUUAACAAUGACAUGAGAGAAAGAGUUGUGUCACUUAUAGUAUGAUUUCCCCUUGACUUCCUCAGGCUUUGUGAAAACAUGCUUAUCAUCAAACUGAAUCAUCUUGGCUCUCAUUAGCUCAUCAAAAAUACUCUCUACCUUGGACAAGUCAAAAGAAUAUGACUUAUACUUCUGCUUAUAAGACAAUGGCCAUGUUAGUAUUUAUGUGCUCGAGCCCUUUUUCAACCAGUCCCUCUACGAUUUCCAUAUCAUGAAUUGGAUUCUGAGUCUUCAAGUAAGUAGAUUUGGAAGUGUUCUUCCUUUGAAUUUCUUCUUUUAGCAACAGUUCAUACGUCCCUGCCCUCUGAGCUAUAUCUUGAAGGUCCACAAACUUAGUAUCAUCAAACUUCUUCCUUAGAGAAAUUUUUAGGGCAUUUUGAGCAAUUUUAAUGAAAUGUUUUUCCUCCAUUGGAAUCUUACAUUUCAUCUUGAUCUUCUUGAAUCGGGCAAUAAAAUCAGGAUCCGUCUCAUGCUUAUGUUGCUUUAAAUAAGUAAGAUCAUUGAUAGUGAUUUCGGGCUCAGACCUAUAGUACUGGCUGGUCUAUGAAAACUGUCUCCAUUUCAUUCCAGUCUUGAAUAGAAUUUGGAGGCAAAUUUAAAUACCAAGUAAAAGCUUGGCCCGAUAAUGAACUUCCAACCAACCUUAACUUCACUAGGGGCUGAGUCUCAAUAGCAACACAAUGAGCUAAGAAACACCUAAUGUGUUCUAGAGCUGAAGCGUAGAGAUCUUCCCCAUUGAAUAAGUUGAAAUUUGGAACUUAAUUUGAAACCCCUUGGGAAAGGAAUAUCAUUAAUAUGAGCUGGAUAAGGUUUUUGGUAAAUAGACCUCAAGAAACUGGAGCUGCUACUGCAAAAACAGGUGGAUGAAUAGGUAUUUCUUCCAUCUCAUCAUCAGAAUCUUGGAUUGGUUCAGGUUGUUGCACGUUAUUCCCUCUACCUCUGUCAUUGCCUCUAAUAUUGCCAUUGUUGUUGGCAAUAUGAGUAUUAAAAGCAAGGGGUUGCCUCCAUCUCUCAGCAUUCACAUUUCUCCUUGAUGGCUCUGGUGGCAAAGCUGCUUCACCAUGUCUCUGAGCUUGAUACCUUGGUGGAGGAAUAAUAGCAGGCACCUCCACAGCCAUAGCUUGAUUAUUGUUGGUCUCAUCUUCAGCAGUUACCACAGGUGCAACUAGUAUUAUGAUCGGGGUCGUAAUUGCUAGUAUAAUUACUGGCAUAGGUACAUCAAAUGGACCUGUCACAUGAACCUAUGAAGAUGGAGAAUUGGCAUGAUCACUGGUUUGCCCUUCAGUAAGUCUCGUUAUCUAUAUACCAAAUGCUCUUGAAGCCAUUUCAUCACUUUGUGGGCUUCGACUACCUUGUGCUAUCUAUGUUGAUAGCUGAGGAAAUAUGAAAGAGUUUCACUUCUUGAAGCUUGGCAUGGUGUUUUGCUUAGGCGUGCCACUAUUGGAACUAGCUGCAGCGCAAUAUAAAUAUGGAUGUAGUGUAAGAUGAAUUUACACAGAUCUUGACUCCUAAUUAAGCCAUUGUGCUCCAAAGGUGUACUGGCUCGAAUUAGUUCUUUUAUACGCCUCAAUUAAGAGGACUUCAAUAUUCUUUUAUGUGUGCCCUGGCGAUGUAGUAGAUAUAUUGCGUAUCUUGUAAGAUGGUUUACUGUUUUAAACCACUAAAGUGAUCUUCUAAUCGAAUAAGGAUUCCUAAGAACUCAUGGUUUAUCAGAAAGUCUAUUCCUAUCUGAUAUGGCAGCCUAAUAUAAGUGUUCUAGAUAUAUAUUAACAGGCUUAAGGAUUCCUACUUUGAUAAGGAUUAAGAUUACCUAAUCCUAUAAGCAUUAAGGUUAUCUCUAAGAGUUCAUUGAUGGGCUAAACUCAUAGAGAUAUGCAUAUAAAUAAGAGGCUCCUUCUAGAGCCGAAACACACACAAAUAAGCAUACAAAUAUUCACCCCAAAAUCAGAUUUUUCACCUCAGCUCUCUCUCUCCUGGCGCGCUCAACUUUUCUCUCUCUCUCUCUCUCUCUCUCUCUCUCUCUCUCUCUCUCUCUCUCCUCCGUUUCUCUCUCCCCGACCCGAGCACUCUCUCUCUUCGGUUCUCUCAGCUCCGGCCACGGCAGAACGUGAGACCAGUCCCAUUAGCUGCAUUUCGACGCCCCGGUCAUGGCCUGCAGUUUUCCCCGCCAGAAAACUCGAGUAUCACCGACGAUAUCGACUGGUUUGAACCGGAGAUUUCUCGUCGUUGAGCCAUCGCCUCCGCCGCCCGAUUCUGGUGAAAAAUGUGAGGUUUCUUCCUCUUUUUAUUUGUUCUAGCUGUCUGUUGCUUGGGAUUAGAUCGAUUUUUAGUUUGGGAAAUCGAAUUUGAAAACCUAGGUUUUGGCCGAAUUUCAAAGUGAAAUUCCGGCCAGUUGCCGUCCUAUUUGGACCUCCCCGUAGUUGAAUAAAGUGAUCCUUGCUUCGAGUAGAACCUAGGGUAGGAAGGAGGAGCGGUGGUGUGGAGAAUUUCCGUCGUCAGAAUUUACUCUACACACCCACACACUGCCGCCGAUGUGGCGGCAUGUGGGCAAAGGUGGUGAAGCUAUAUUUUGUCCUGAUGAGAUCCUCAUGUUGUCACGAGUGUAUAGAAUUUCGCGGAUCUCAAUUCGAACGUCGUUUGUCUAUCUAACGAAUUUCGCAUAUUGUGCGUUAUCCGAGUUCGAUAGGUUCUGACCGUUGGAUCGUUUUCCAAUUAAAUAUGUUGAUCUAAGUACUCUUAGAAUCGUAUAGGAAUUUGCGGAUCGUGAAUCGGAGCCCCGGAUGUUCCAAUUCAAUAAUUCAAAGUUUGUGGGUUAGCGAUAACCGUCCAAUCGUGAGCGAUUCCUAAACCUGUAACUGGACCUUAGGAUACCUCGUUCAACGUACACGCACUGGGAACUUAGGAAUUUAAGUAAUUAAUUUGUGAUUUCCGUUUCGAAGUAAUUUUAUAUUGAUUAAGGGUUCGUAUCUCGAAACAGGUGCUCCGACCGCUCGUACCCAGCAGGCGAGACCCUCUCGUGGUCAGGCAGCGUGGGAAUACUUGUGAAUGGACUUUGUUUUUAAUCAUAUGCAUGGUUUUAUUGAUGAAAGAUUUAUGCAUAAUGUUUUAAAUGGUAUAUUGAAUAUAUUAUAUUUAAAUAUUGAAUUUGAUGUUUGUAUAGCGCUUUGGCAAUAUAUUGUGGGUUUGACAUAUUUAGGUAUCGAGAGUAUGUUUGUAUGGAUUUUGGGGAAGUUCUAUAUAUAUAGUCGAUAGGUAGGAUACUUAGGUUGUUGAGGUGAGAUUGUGGAAGGACUUAAGUAUGAGGGGUUGUUGAGAAAAGUUGUAUGAUUACACUAGGGGUGGAUACGGUUCGGUUUGGACCCAUUUUUGCCUCAAAUUAGAACCGAUCCGGUACUAUUUAUCUGGUUUGGUUCGGUUCGAUUUUAAUAAAAAAAAUUUCAAAAACUGUCCGGUUCGGUUUGAACCGAUUUCGGUCCACUUCCGGUUUCGAUUCGGUUUUGAACCAGAUUAUAAAAAUUAUUUUUUUAAAUUAUUUUUUAAUACAAUUCUCAACUGAAAUAUUAUUUUUUUUAAACUUGAAAAUUAACAAAUUAUUCAAUUUCAUAUAAAUAAAUAAAUAUUAAAGUUAGAAAAGAGAGAUAUUUUGAAAUUGAACUUGGAUAAAUAUUAGUUUUUUUUAUUAUAGUGAAAUUCAAAAUAUAGCAUUAAAUAUAAAUAUAUAUUGAAAUUAUAUAUAUUUUUAAUUUGACCGGUUCGAUUCGGCUCAGUCCGAUUUUUAAAGACAUGGAACCAGAUCCGGAACAGGUCCAAACCAGUUCGGUUUGAUUUUUGACUGUUGUUGACGUUUUGGUCAACUCGGUUUUUUUCGGUUUGGUUCGGUGCGAUUCGGCUCAGAUUUUCGGUUCGCCGGUUUGAGUGCCUACCUCUAGAUUACACUUGUAAGUAUCUUCCCUAGUAACUAGGCUUCCCACACAUGACGUUGGAUGUUCCGGCGUGUGAGACACUUCCCAUACGCGGCAUUGGAAUUUCCCGCGUAUGGGAAGAUUAUAUAUAUUGCUUGGGAUCAUCACACAUGGUGUUGGAUGUUCCGGUGUGUGAUGAUGUAGUCUGCGCGCAUAGGACUUAGUAUUUGAGCUACACGUGACGUUGGAUGUUCCGGUGUGUGAGCUAUGGAGUUUCGUCCCCCAGUUGGACCGGUCAUCCCUAAACGCAAGAUAGCACCUGAAAAUCUUACGGGCUAGUCAAACAAUCCCCUGAUUGGAUUGUUUCUCCGGUACCUAGGUAGUGUGACGGGUAUAUUAUAUAUUGUAUAUUUGUAUGUAUAUAUAUAUAUAUAUAUAGUAGUGGAAUUUUGGGGAUGAGGUUUAUGGAUUGAGUGAUUUGUGGUUUUAAAGGGUUUUAAAGAAUAAUGUUUUUGAGCAUCUAUUUAUGAAUUGUGAAUGUUCAUGAUGUGAGCAUUAUUUUUACACGGUGGGGUUGUUAUGUUGUUUUAAAUGCAAAUCUUGUUUUUGUCCACUCACAUAUUUUCUGUUUUGCGCCCCCCAGCCAUUAGUCGCUCCAGGAGGGUUGCAAGCGGUGUUCGAAGGCCGAAUCGUUUACAUCAGUAGAUUAGGCUUCGAGUAAUUUCCUUCUACUCAACUGUUGUUGUAAACUAAAUCUGUUAGACGCUCUGUUAUUGCCCAUAUUAGGUUUUUACUUGAGGCCGGAGGCCAUUUACUGUGAACUGUUGUAUGUUAAAAGCAUGCUGCUGGUCGGGAUCUUAUUAUGUAUUCUAUGCAGGUUGAAUUUUUUGUUGGGUUUGUUCAAUUUACAAGGGUGACUCUGCCAAAAUUUUGGUAGAAAGUCUCGAUUUUUAAUAAGUGGGCCCGGCAUCGGGGUGAUGUCGGUAAAAAGACAAAAUUCGCUCCAAUUUCUGAAAAAUUUCGAAGCGGGUCUCGUCAAACCAUGGUUCCUUGCAAUUUCAGAGAAGACUGAAGGAAGGUGCUGAAUUUUGUUGUAUACCUCCAAUCCUUCAACUCUUUCUAUAAAUUAAAUAGAUUACAGCUAGUCUACAGUACACACAAUACAUGAGAAAAGUAUAACCUCUCUUAUUCUACUCAACCUAACCUCCUCAAAACUCUAACCCCCCCUUACCUCCUACGUCGCCAUCCACCACCUAGUGCUCAGAACUUUUACACCACGAUUACUUGAGGUAAUAAUCCUGGAUCUGCCAGCACUAAAAUUACACACCCAUUUGUUUGGAGCAUCAUGGCAUCUACAUUUGUUUAUUCUUUUCUAAAUCAUCUAAGUCAUUGCCAACGGAUGCCCUUAAUUCCUUCACAUUUCUUACUCCAGAUUUAUAUUCUUUGCUAGUGGUGGAAUCUACCGGGCCUGAGGAAGGGCCUUAACCACUGGGCCAACAUGAUAUUUAAUUUUAGUUAUUUUGUCUUGUGCUGUGUCAUAGGUACGUUAGCAUUUGGAUUAUACUUGUGGCACAGUUAUGUAAUAUUUAUUUACAUAAUGAUAUUAAUAAUAUGUAUUUGUACCUUUUGAUUAAUUGAGUUUGUUUGUAUAUUAAUUAUGUGGUUUGAAGUUGCUAAUUAAUGACUCUCAUCUGAGUUGUAGGCUACUCUAUCUUAAUGAUGUUCAAAAACCUUUUUCUGCUUCGAUUAGCAACGCCUCUGCUCCGAAUACCAUCCCAUGAGCCCAGCACCCGUUCUACUGAUUUUGCCAGGCCUGCCGAAUUACUCUCGAAGCUCUCGAUUUUCUGGUUCAGCCUACUAUCCCCCAAGGACCAGCAAGACAAGAUUGAGCAAAUCUCCAACAAACUUGCUGCGGAAGAUGUUAAUGUCGGAAGCCUUGCAGCAGCAGCAGGGGAAACCAAGGAAGAUGUGAGAAGGAAGGCAUUCGAGAUGCUUUUUAAUAAAGCUCCCGUCGUUACACGAGUUGAUUUAUUCAAGGAGUUUACUUGAAAGACGCUUGUGUGAGGAGAUUCUUUUGUCCAGGCAACUGAGUUCCAAUGAGCAACAAAAAGAGAUAGAUGAAAUCAAGCAGUCCCGCUAUGCUGAAUUUUACUUGGGGCUGUCAAUUAUUUGGUUCUGAGCUUGAAACCUCAUUCAAGUAGUUGUUGGUAAAGCCGGAGUAGAUGAUGAUAUAUUUGAGAAACUCGUAAAUGAGACUGAGGAGGAUUUCAAGCUCAGGAGAUUUACAGAGUCGUUUAAACAACUUCAAUUCAGUUCCCAGGAGGAUGUUGUGGAAUUUAUUCAAGAUGCAGUAUUUCGUGAUCUAGUCGAUGAUGUGUCUUAACACUUUUGAAAUGAGCGAUGGUGUUAGACGUAAUAGAAUUUAUGGAACAGAGAGGGUGAGAGGUAAUGUUGGCAGGUAUUAGCCCCGUUUGGUAUUGCUCUUUUCGCCAAAAACCUGCUUCACUUUAAAGUUAAACAGUUUAAAGUAUUUGGUAAAAAUAAAAUAUCCUGAUUAUUUUAAAAGCAGUGGCGUUUUGACAGCAGCUUUUAAAAGUAGGCUAUGAGUUGCUUUUCAAAGCUGCUUUCAAAAGAAGCAUAGAUGAAUCUUUAAUGAAUUUUUUUAAUUCCCAAAAUACCAUUAUUCAUUUUAAAAAAUAACACCACCUCCACUUCCACAUCCAACUCCACCACACCACCACCACCACCACCACCACCACCACCACCACAGCCACACUGCCACCGCCACUGCCGCAGCCACCAUCGCCGCCGCCGCCAUCGCCACCACCACAACCGCCGCCACCGUCAUCGCCGCCACCACCACCACCUCCUCCACCACUUCCACAUCAAACUCCACCACUUACACCAGCACAUUCACUACCUCCACAACCACUGCCAUCGCCAUCGCCACCACCACCACCACCUCCUCCACCACUACCACCUCCACUUCCACAUCCAACUCCACCACUUACACCAUCACAUUCACUACCUCCACAACCACUACCAUGAGUCUUCCAAAUAAAGGUCCUAAAGUCGCUAUAAGCAAUUUCGGAAAUAAUAUUAUGCAUCCCUAUUGGGAACCUUCGCUAGAAUUCAUUAAGAUGAGUCUUCCAGAUCUAAGAGGUCCAAAAGGAGCAACAGCCACUCAAGGAGGGCAGGGGACGAGUGAGCAGUAGGAUGAUUUGCAGUCAUGCACUGAGGAUGAUUUGCAGUCAUGCACUGAGGAUGAUUUGCAGUCAUGCACUGAGGAAAUAAGCCUUCAAUGCAGAAGAUAAGGUCAACUCGUAUCAGCAGCACUACUCUUGUUUAUGAGUUUGACCUGUCUUGUGCCAGUACGUGCGUUUUAUUUGUAUGCAAUAUAGCAUUAUUCUUCUUGCUUUCUACUUAUCAUAAUUACCUAAUGUUGUUUGUUUCUUAAUCAAGGGAUUAACUUAUACCUCAAGUUGUUCUUUUGCUUUUAAGUUUGGCUUGUAUUUGGUCUUAGUUUAGAGAUUGUACUAAUGUUUGGCUUGAGUUGAGGGGCCUUACUAGCUUCAUCCUUGGUUAUUUUUCAUUUUUUUUCUGAGAGAUGCUCCAUCCUUGUUCUUAAAAUGGGAUAUGAGGUACUAUUAGGCCCAAAAGCCAUUGCAUAAAAAUUAUACAAAACCUGCUAAUUAAAGUAAAUAUAUGAAACCCAAUUCCCAUGCACCCACCGCAACAGAUCCUCCAAUCAAUAAAUAAUUAAGGCUGAGUUAUGGAGUCUACUUAGAGGGUUGCAAAUCGCAUAAAAUAAGGGUAUUAGGUCCCCUGAUGUUGAAUGUGACUCUAUUUGUUGUUUCUCUGAUGGCCAAGGUUUCUAACCAAUUCCACCCAUUUUUUUGUCUAAUUGAAGAUUGCAAGUUGCUGCUACACCGUGAUUGGAGCUGCAAGAUUUCUCAUAUUUACAUGGAGCAAAAAAGAGUUGCUGACCACCUUGCUAAUUUGGGGUAUGAAUUACCUUCGGGGCUUCAUAAUUUUGAGUAAGCUCCGAUUUCUAUUUGGAACAUCUUAUUGGAUGAUGUCCUAGGAAGGGCCCUUGAGAGGGCUAUGGUCUGUUAGUUUUUUCUUCUUGUUUCGUCUUGGCUUUGGCCUCUUUGUAACCAAAAAAACAAAAUAGUAACACAAAUCCGCUUGCUGGACCAAUGGAACCUCACCUCGUGUUGGCGAGAUCCUAGUUCGAUUAUGAGAUUUAUUUUCUAUUCUAUUAGAAUAUCUACUUUGGAUAUGUUGCAAAUUAAGAUCUAUAAGGUACAAACUAAUGCAACUAGGAAGGUCCUUUUUAUUAUUAUUAUUUUUUUAUUUAAUCGUAUAGCCGGGCGGCUAUACUACGAUUUACAAAUAUAAAAAUUAUUAUAGCCGGCCGGCUGUAUUUUUUUUUGACAUGUGGCUUUAAUCGAUAGAGGUUCUUCUUUAAUUAUUUUUUUUUAGAGAAAAAAAAAAAGAAGUACAGCCGGGCUGCUAUACUCCAGGUUUUUAAUUUUGUUAAAAAGACAUGUGUUGACACGUAGCUGUUAAUGAAUGUGGGAUCCUCUUUUUUACAUUAAAAAGUAGCAUAGACAGGCGGCUAUACUUAUUUUUGACACGUGGCUUUAAUCGAUAGAGGUUCUCCUUUAUUAAAACGAAACAAAGGAGUACAGCCGCACGGGUAUACGCCAUGUUUUUUAAUCUUGUGUAAAAAAAGACAUGUGUUGACACGUGGCGCUUAAUGGGUGGGGGUCCUCUUUUUUAUAUUAAAAAAUAUUUUAAAAUAGUAUAGCCGGACGGCUAUACUCAGUUAAAAAAAAAAUGGUAUUGCCAAACGGCUAUACUCAUUUAAAAAAAAAAUAAACAGUAUUGCCGAACGGCUAUACUAUUUUCAAAUAGCUCUGUUUUUUCUUUAGAAAAUAGUAUACCUGGGCUAUACUAGAUUUUUCUCUUAUUUAUUUUUUAAAAAAUAGUAUAGCCAGGCAGCGUUCCUGUUUUUUUUAAUAUAAAUUAUCUUUAUUAAUAAAUAGUAUAAACGAGCGGCUAUAGUCUUUUACAUAUGUAUAUAUAUGUACGCAUUUUUCAACAAUACAUUCGUGUAGUAUACACGUUUCACGUUUUCUUUAAAAAGCAAAUAUAUGAUAGUCGUAUUGUACAUGUACGUACAUAUUUCUAAAGUUUCAUACACAUAUUUUCUGUAAAAGUUUCAGUAAGACCCACAAAAUUCACAUAUUAUACAAAUAAUUCUCACAUAUUAUUGAAUAAGAAUAACACAUGUUAUAAAAAUUAUAUUAAAAAUCAUAUAGCGAAAGAUUAAUAUCUACUUUGGAUUUGUUGCAUAUUAAUAUCUAUAAGGUACAAACUAAUGCAACUAGGAGGGUCCUUUUUAAUUAUUAAUUUUUUAGUUAAAUAGUAUAGUCGGGCACCUAAUGGCUGACAAGCGGCUAUACUUAUUUUUGACACUUGGCUUUAAUCCAUGUUUUUUUUUUUUUUUUUUUAAAGACAUGUUUUGACACGUAGUGCCUAAUGGCAAGGCGUCCUCAUAUUAAAAAAAACUAUAGCCGCAUACUCAGUUUUUCAAAAUUUUCAAAAACAUAUAUAGCCGCGUGGCUAUAUCUUUUUCACACAUUUGGGCUGCUCUGUUUUUUUCUUUUGAAAAUAGUAUAGCAGGGUAGCUAUACUCGAUUUUCUUCUAUUUUUUUCAAAAAAAUAGUGUAGCAGGGCAGCAUUACUGGUUUUUUAUUUAUUUUUAAAAUUAUCUUUAAUAAAUAGUAUAGACGAACGUCUAUAGUCUUUUACAUAUAUAUGCAUAUACAUAUACGUAUUUUUCAACAAUACAUUCAUGUUGUAUACACGUCUCACAUUUUCUUUAAAAAGCAAACAUACAAUAGUCGUAUUGUACAUGUACAUAUGUAUUUCUAAUCUUUCAUACACGUAUUUUCUACAAAAUUUUCAGUAAGGCACAAAAUUCACGUAUUAUACAAAUAAUUCUCACAUAUUAUUGAAUAAGAGUAACAUAUGUUAUAAAAAUUAUAUUAAAAUAUCAUAUAGUGGAAGAUUAAUAUCUACUUUGGAUAUGUUGCAAAUUAAUAUCUAUAAGGUACAAACUAAUGCAACUAUGAGGGUCCUUUUUUAUUAUUAAUUUUUUUAAUUAAAUAGUAUAGCCGGGCCGCUAUGCUACGAUUUUUUUAUAAAUAAAAAUAGUAUAGCCGUAUUUUUGACACGUGGCUUUAAUUGAUAGAAGUUCUUCUUUAUUAUAUAUAUAUAAGGGGAGUACAGUCGCACAGAUAUACUCCAUGUUUUUAAUUUUUUUUUUAAAAGACAUCUGUUGACACGUGGCGUCUAAUGGCUGGGGGUUCUCUUUUUUAUAUUAAAAAAUAGUAUAGCCCAAUGACUAUACUCAGUUUUUAAAAUUUUAAAAAAAGUAUCGACACACAGCUAUACUAUUUUCACAUAGUGGGCUGCUCUAUUUUUUCUUUAGAAAAUAAUAUAGCCGUGGCUAUACUUGAUUUUUUUCUAAUUAAAAAAAAAGUAUAGCAGGGCAGCGUUACUGGGUUAUUUUUAUUUUUAUUUUUAUAAAUUGUCUUUAAUAAAUAGUAUAGACGAGUGGCUAUAGUCUUUUACAUAAGUAUGCAUAUAUAUAUAUGGAUUUUUCAACAAUACAUUUGUGUUCUAUACACAUCUCACGUUUUCUUUAAAAAGCAAACAUACAAUAGUCUUAUUGUACAUGUACGUACGUAUUUCUAAUGUUUCAUACACAUAUUUUCUAUAAAAUUUUCAGCAAGACACACAAAAUUCACGUAUUAUACAAAUAAUUCUCAUAUAUUAUUGAAUAAGAAUAACAUAUGUUAUAAAAAGAGUGCUACUAUUUCCAUCCGUCUGUCCUAUUUUCCCAACCACCAUAUAAAUUUUAAAAAACACAAUCCUAUUUUUCCACCCACCAAUAUUCCUAAAAUACCCUUUUAAUUAUUACCUCAUUUUCUCUCUCCUUUAUUCUCUCUGCUCAUGUCUUCUCUCUCUCUCUGACACCCACACAUCUCUAUCUAGCAACUUCACAUCACGAAAUUUGAUGACAAUGGCUGGUCAACAGGUAAAAGAUGACGAGCCCUUGAAACGAAAACCUGGCUCGCUCUCCCCAAUUCUGAACAUACCCAGCAACCUCUUUACCCACCUUCCAAACUUUCUGGUCUGCUGACAGAAACUUGUUCAUCCCCAAGUUUUCAUGUUUUUAAUUUGUAUAAGAAAAAAAAAUUAGAGUCCAAGAAAUACUCAUCUCCCAAUGCUUUAAGUAAUCGUAAAGAUCUUAUAAAUUAUGUUCAAAUAGGAUUCUUACCUUUUCGCCAAAGUCGUUUUCUUCAACAUCCAUUCUCUUGUUGUUUUCUUCUUCAUAAACAAUUUGAUUGAAUGAAUAGAAAAGAGAAGAAAAUUAUUUGAGAAUUGAGUUCUGAACAUUGAAAAGUCAUAAAAGGAAUCAUGAGCAAGAAGUCAUAGCUUUCUUGUGUUUUUUUCUUUCUGUCCAACAAUAGGGUUACGUGAGAACAGAAGUCUGUUUUUUUUUUUUCCUAUUUCUUUUUCCUAAAGUCAUUUUAAGUCAUUUUACAAUGAGGUUAAAUUUGUCUUUAAAAGUUUAAAGAUAAGGUGUGUAGGAAAAUAGGGCAUACAGGUGGAAAUAGCAGCACUCUAUAAAAAUUAUAUUAAAAUAUCAUAUAGUGAAAGAUUAAUAUCUACUUUGGAUAUGUUACAAAUUAAGAUCUAUAAGGUACAAACUAAUGCAACUAGGAGGGUCCUUUUUUGUUAUUAAUUUUUUAAUUAAAUGGUAUACCCGAGCGGCUAUACUUAUUUUUGACACGUGGCUUUAAUCGAUAGAGGCUCUUUUUAUUAUUUAAAGUGCAGCCGCACGGCUAUACUCCAUGUUUUUAAUUUUUUUUAAAAGAAAGACAUGUGUUAAUAUGUGGCGCCUAAUAGUUGGGGUGUCCUCUUUUUUAUAUUAAAAAAUAGUAUAGUCGGAUGGCUAUACUCAGUUUUUAAAUUUUUUUUAAAAAGGCUAUUUUUGACACGAGGCUUUAAUCAAUAGAGCUUCUUCUUUAUUUAUUUAUUUAUUUAUUUUAAAAAGUACAGCCGGACGGCUAUACUCCAUGUUUUUAAUUUUUUUAAAAAAGAAAUGUGUUGACACGUGACGCCUAAUGGCUGGGGGUCCUCUUUUUUAUAUUAAAAAAUAGUAUAGCCCGACGGCUAUACUCAGUUUUUUAAAUUUUUAUAUAGCCCCGUGGCGAUACUAUUUUCACAUAGUUAGACUGCUCUGUUUUUUCUGUAGAAAAUAGUAUAGCCGUCCGGCUAUACUUAUUUUUUCUAAUUUUUUUAAAAAAGAAAACAGGGAAGCAUUACUGUUUUUUUUUUUAAUUUUUUUUAUAAUAGUUAAAUUGUCUUUAAUAAAUAGUAUAGAUGAGUGGCUAUAGUCUUUUACAUAUAUAUAUAUAUAUGUAGGUACAUAUUUUUCAACAAUACAGUCGUGUUCUAUACACGUCUUACGUUUAUUUAAAAAACAAACAUACAAUAUUCGUAUUGUACAUGUACGUACGUACAGUGGCGGACUCACAGAAGCCCAAGUAGGCGCAGGUGCACCUCCCCUAGCUUGAAAAUACCAUAGAAGUCAAUCAUCUUAAGCUCUUGGGCGGCUGGGUGGCUGGGCAACAAUGCCCACAGCCUGUUUGUGGAAAGGCUGGAGUGAAGAGCAACAGUAGCAAGCACGAUCUAUUUUUCUUUUUAAUGAUCUGGCCAAAACGAAUCGUUUUGAGCUAGAACAAUUAAUAUGUUUUAAAAUCUCUGUGUGCAUUACACGUGUUUAAUUUUUGUUCUAUUCAAGACCACAUCAUGCUGCAACUUUAGUUUGAGGGUAGAGUAGUCAUUAGAGUUUGAUGGCUUAACCUAGAAACACUUCGAUAUAUAUAUAUAUAUAUUAUUUGUUAAUGUUAUUGAAUUAUUAAUGAAAUUAUUUGUUAAUUUAAUCUUCAACGCAAGGAAAUAAAUUGCAAGUUCUUCUUUUCUUUUUCUUCUUUUCUUUUUUUUUUCUUUUCCCUGAAUAUAUAAAUUGCACAUUUAUGACAAGCGAAUUUUGUUAAUUCAUAUAUACAUUACAAGAGUGCUGCUAUUUCCACCCCAUGUCCUAUUUUUUCGCCCACCUUUUCUUCCCACCCACCAUGUAAAUUUGAAAAAAUAAAAUCAUAUCUUUCCACCCAUCAUUAUUCCUAAAAUACCAUUUAAUUAUUAAUUCAAGAAAAUUCUCUUUGCUAAUCCAUUAGGGAUCCGGAUCCUUUGCUUUGGUUUUUCUCAUAAUUAAAACAUACAAAUAUAUUUUCCUUCAAACGUAAAUUAAUUCCCUCUCUCAUUCAUUAUUUGGCGUCUCUAUGUUUAAUUAAGGAGUUUUUUUCCUUUUUAAUUAUUAUGAAAUUGAGUUUUUAUUUUAGGGUUGAUGUUUUUUCCUUAAGUUCUUAAAAGUCAUUUUGCAAAUGGGUAAAUUUGUAUAUAAAAUUUUGAAGAUAAGGUGGGUGGGAAAAUAGGAUUGGUGGGUGGAAAUAACAGCACUCUAUUGUAAAUCCAAUUAAUCAAUAUAUACAAAUCAUGAAUGUGCGUCAUGCAAGUUUUUCAAAACAAAAAACAAAAAAUUCAUCAGUGAUUUUUUUUUAAUUAAUAAGAAAAUGUUAUUUCUUUCAUGAAUUAUGAAUAAUAAUAGUAUCAGUUCAGUUAUACAUGUUAUUUUUAUCUAAAGAACUGACAAUUUCCAAAGUAAAUUUUUUUGUUGUGUGGAACAGUAAGCCUUUGAAAUGUUGCACCUCCUCUUAAAAAUUCAUGGAUCUGCCAGUGUGUACGUAUUUCUAAUGUUUCAUACACGUAUUUUCCACAAAAAUUUCAGUAAGACGCACAAAAUUCACGUAUUAUACAAAUAAUUCUCACAUAUUAUUGAAUAAAAAUAACAUAUGUUAUAAAAAUUAUAUUGAAAUAUCAUAUAGUAGAAGAUUAAUAUAUACUUUGGAUAUGUUGCAAAUUAAUAUCUUUAAGGUACAAACUAAUGUAACUAGGAGGGUCCUCUUUUAUUAUUAAUUUUUUAAUUAAAUAGUAUCACCGGAUGACGAUACUAUGAUUUUUUUAUUAAAAAAAAAUAGUAUAGCUGCUUAUUUUUGACACUUAGCUUUAAUCGAUAAAGGUUCUUCUUUAUAAAUUUUUUUUCAAAAAAAAGGUACAGCCGCUCGGGUAUACUCCAUGUUUUUAAUUUUUGUGAAAAAUGCAUGUUGACACAUGGCGCCUAAUGGGUGGGAGGUCAUCUUUUUCUUUUUUAUAUUAAAAAAAUAGUAUAGCCGUCCGGCUAUACUCAGUUUUUAAAUUUUUAAAAAAAACGUAUAGCCGCACGGCUAUAUUAUUUGCACACAGUGCGGCUAUAUUAUUUGCACACAGUAGUGGGGGUGCUCUGUAAAAUAGUAUAGCCGUACGGCUAUACUCAGUUUUUAAAUUUUUAAAAAAAGCGUAUAGCCGCACGGCUGUAUUAUUUUCACACAGUAGUGGGGUGCUCUGUAAAAUAGUAUAGCCGUGCGGCUAUACUGUUUUUUUUUUCUUCUAAUUUUUUUAAAAAAAUAGUAUAGCAGGGCAUUGUUACUGGUUUUUUUUUUCUUCCUAAAAAUUGUCUUUAAUAAAUAGUAUAGAUGAGCGGCUAUAGUCUUUUACAUAAAAUUCUUAAGGACUGUCUGGACUUGGCUUGGCUUAAUUUAAGUUGGAUAACACUUAUCUUAUGUUUGGUGUAUGCUUAGACAGUCGUGUAACAAACGAGACCUAAAUAUUUUAAAGUCCUUUUCAUUAAACUCAUGGAACACACGAAGUGAUUUAAAAGUUCGAGGACACAAACAAUAACUUUUGAAAAAUUCAGAUACCAUUUAUGAUAAAAUACUGGGAAAAAAAAAGGUUAUUGUCAUUUGACACGAGUUUGGCAUUAUUGUGAUGUGAAAAUAAUUGCUGUCAGAUUUGCUAUGAGAGAAAGCAGUUUGGCGGUAAUUUUUUUUUUUCAAAGUGUUGUUGGUAUUGAUUUCCACAUAAUCAGAAAAUGAUUGCCGCAUAAUCAUUAAACCGAGCGCCUCUUUGAAACUGAUUCCUACAUAAUUAGAAAAUGAAAGCACCUCAUUAGCUGUUCUCCCUUAUAGCUUUCUCUCACAACAGUUUUUUAACAAUAAGCGAUUUUCUCACAGUUUACCAAUGGGCUUUCCAAAUUUGUAAAAAAUCACUUAUCACCCCAAAUAAGCAAUGUCAAACGGGCACUAAAUAGGUCGCGGUUUUUUCUUGAUAAAUUGGUACACGUGUCACAUUUAGGCUAAGCCCAACAUUUGUACGAGCAUGGGUCCAGCCCAGCCCAAUCUCAAGCCCGAACUCUGAGACAAUCCGAGUCAGAUAAUGAAAUGGCAACACCGCAAUUACGCGGUCCUCCAAGGGCGGUUAUCGCAGCACCACCGACUCAGUGGAGAGCGUUCGUUGGCAAAGCGGAAAGCUAAAGUUUUAAAUACCAACGGAGAGACCCCACGAGCCUCCAAAACCAAAACCCAAAGACCAACCUCCCUUUAUCUUCGUCUCUUUCCUUUUAUUUUUUAUGUAUUUAAAUUUUUUAUUUUUUUCUGUACAAUUAUCUCGCAAUAAUCUCCUCGAUUAGGGUAUCCAAAUAAUCCCCUCUCUGCGUAUUUGAUUUUUGUUGUUCCUGUAUAUUUAUUUGAUUUUGCUUUCUGCAGAGGUUAUUAAUUUAUUGGUUUUUGAAUUUUUGAAUUUUUUUUUUUUCCACGAGAAACAGGAAUCGCCUGGUUCGAUUGUGUGACUCGAGAUCGGCCAAACCAAGCAGGUGUGGAAUUUAUGUUCUCUAUGAAAUUUAUUAAUUAUUUAUUCGUUUUUCGGGGUUAAUUUUUUGCACUUGAAUAUGAAGCUGGUGAGUUGCAUAAAUUUAUUUUCAUUAUGUGUUGGUUGAUUACGUGUAUAGGGUUUCAAUCAUCGUGUUUGAUAAAAUUAUGUAAGCGUUCCUCUGCUGUUGAAAACGUUUCCGGUUGAAAGUUCAGAUUUUUCGUUGCAUGACUGAGCUUGUUCAGAUUUUAUGGGAUUUUUUUUUCAAGAUUUCGGUAUUUACAGAGCAAACUAUGGAAGUUUUGUGUGUUUCCUGCAUUUGAUAGAACUGAGCUUGUUCAGAUUUUGUCCCAUUUUUUUGAAGAUUGCGGCCUUAUAGGGAAAACUUUAGAAGUUUUGUGGGUUUUCUGCAUUUGUUAGAGUUAUGUGGUUGAAAUCGUAAUCUUUGGCCUGAAUUAAUCAACUGAGGGAUUUCGAUUUGCAUAACAGAGCAAGUGAAAUUGAUGUUUUACCCAGGUUGAAAAUCUCAAACUUUUCAGGGAAGGAGAUAAAUAUCUAGAAUUGAUGAGUUGAAGUGGAUAAGAGUUGUUUUCUUCUCUUUUCUUUGGUUAUGUAGUUGCUUUAUUCUCUUGAAUUGGUUAUAUGUGUUCACUAUGCUGGGCAUUUGGAGUUGCCCGAAUUUUAUAGUAUGUGUGUAUUUGUCGAAAUUUGUCCUUAAUUUGUAUGUGUAUAAUGGUUUGAUAUUUUUGCAAUGGGUGAAUGGAAACGAUGAGGUGCUUUUUCUUGUUCUUUUUUCUCUUGCAGAUAACUAAUAAACAUGGAAUCUCACGAUGAAACUGGAUGCCAAACUCCAGACCGCCCUAUCCUUUGCAUUAACAACUGUGGAUUCUUUGGAAGGGCCGCUACAAUGAACAUGUGUUCUAAAUGUUACAAGGACACACUCCUAAAGCAGGAGCAAGCCAAUUUUGCUGCUUCAUCCAUUGACAGCAUUGUGAAUGGCAGCAGUAGCAGCAUUGGCAUUGGCCCAGUCGUUGCAGGUGUUGUUGAUGUGCAAGCUGGACAAGUGGAGACAAGAGUUGUUUCAACAGAACCAUCCAUUGACUCAUCUUCGAGCAUGGUGUUUGAGGUGAAAGAAAAAGAGGGACCAAGCAGAUGCACUACUUGCCGAAAGCGUGUUGGUUUAACUGGCUUCAAUUGCAAAUGUGGAAACACCUUCUGUGCAAGUCAUCGUUAUUCUGACAAACAUGACUGUCCUUUUGAUUAUAGGACUGCUGGUCAAGAUGCUAUUGCAAAAGCCAAUCCUGUCGUCAAGGCAGAGAAACUUGAUAAGAUCUAGUACUCAUGGGCUGAACUGAAGAUUUGUGUAUUGAAAGAUGAUGGUACUCCUUCUUGGUUUCGUGUCUUGUUAGGUCUCCUAAUGGUAAAAAUGCUUAAGUCAUGAUAAUGAGGACAUGAUUUUAUGGGAACUCUAUUCCUAGUUGGUGAAGUAUUCCUUUGCUGGCUCCAGUGUGUAAGUCUUUAUUAUUGUUGGUUUGAUGGAUGUCUUUGGAGCAAUGUUUCAGUGUGGUCCUCUGCUUGGUAUGCAUUUCUUUAUUGCAGUACAUGGAAAUAUGAAAAUUUCAGCCUUCAGUACAAUUAUGUUGUGCAAUUAAAACUUCCUUAAGUUGUUUGUUUUGUAUUUUCAUUCUGUACAUGUGUGCCCGGCUUGUUUUGAAAUUUGAAAUCAUGUUGUUAAAACACUUUUGUUAUGCUUAUAUGAGUAUUCCUUGGCAAUCAAUUGUAUGUGGAAAUUUCCGUGUGACAUGGUUAGGGGCUUAUUGGGUGGGUAAAUGAAUUCUCGCUUAGGACUUGUUUGGUUGCUUUUAUCUUCUCAAUUUUGUUUAUGGUAGUGUUUCUGUACAUGUAUGACGCGGUGCCUCUUAUUGAUGUGUGUGAUUGCUAGGUGCAAGGUCCAGGUCAGGUUAUUCUAGUCCUAGAUAAGAGAAUUUUGGGCCGUGAUCUUCUUGUGUCAGUAUUAGAUGCCGCUGGGCUCCCCCAAAACAUGACUAGUGGGGAGUGCUGGUUUGAAGUUAUUUUCAUUCUAUUUUACCAUUAUACUUUUAUCUUGUGAGAGAGUCCCUCACAUAAACAGGGUGCAUUCUUGAGAUUUCGAACUUCUGGGAUUGGAACUUGAGUGAAUCAACGGAAGAGUGUGAGACAGAAAUAUAGUCAUUGCUUUAUACAUAUUAGUAUAGAUUUAGAAAAAGGAAAAAAGAAGAAAGGUGUGCAUAGAUAAUAUUGGCAGGUACUGAAUUUGAUUUUUUUUCCAUUUUAGCUUUUUAAUGAUUGAAUAAGGCUCCCACUUUUUCUUGUAGCUAAAGAGGGAAGGGAACACAACACCACCUGAAGUAUCUGCGACUGUAAUUCUUCCUCUGGUGUUGGAUGCUAAUGUUCUUUCUGAUGGUGGAAUAAACAGUCAUUAGGUAAGACCAUACUGAGCAAAUAAUACUCGGUGUUUCGGGUUGCAUCGAGGGAUGGUAUGUGUAUAUAUUAUUCAGUAAGUAAAACAGUUGGUAGUCCUAUGAAUCUAGUAAAUGUGUUACUGGGUUAGCUGUGUGUCAGGGUUUUUAAGCUUGGUGGGAAGUUGGGUGCACCUUUUGGCAAGAAGGUAAACGGAUUGCACCUGGAAACAACUAUUAGUAGCUGUUAUAUAGGAGGGGAACACAUGAAAUUCUGGCUUUUUGUUUCAUAUUUUUGUUGCUCUGCACUUUAGUCUUUCAGGAUACUGCUAUGUAACCAGAGGAGUGGUUAUUUAUCGAUGCCAGGUUGAGGGAACUUUUCUCUUCUUUUAUUUUCUUCAGCUGUUGUAGCUUAAACAGGUGGAGGUCUUGCUCAUUUCUCUUGAAGCAACCUGUUUGAGGUUCAUAAGAGUGGAUUAAGUUUAUAUUUGAUCAUUGGUAUGCCUUCGAAAACUGGCUUGAAGCAUUUUAGCAGUGAGUGAGAUAUGACAUUUGUUUGGACAAUCAAUUUAUGAUUUAAGAUGGUGUAAUGGCAUCAAAAUUCAACAAAGUUCUUAAGGUUAUUAUACGACCAAAUAAUUUAUGGUAUGAACUAAGCUUAAAAUACAAAAAGAAACAUUUAUGCACGCAUCUCAAACUGUUGCUUGUAGAAACUCACUCAGCUACGAUGGAAUGCAUAUUUCUUGACUUCUUAUGUGUUUACUAGCGUAUUGGUGUUAGAAUGAUUCCAAUUCAUGACUUCCGGUCUUCUCUUACAUCUACAAACACACAAGGAAUAAAGAAAUUAUGUGAAUUUUACAUUAACAUCUGUAAUCUAGUACUUGAAAAUCCGGAAUAAAUUUGACCAUGAGAAUCUAAAGAUAUGCGGAUUUUACAUUUAAAAUGGUAAUCUAAUACCUGCAAGACAAAAAAUUAGAUUGAUGAGUAGUUAAUGUCAUACUAAUUCCUCUCCCCAACUUUUGAUUUCUCCGAACUUUGACUUUCACACAUUCCAGAUAAGUAAAUCCAAGUAUGUUCUUCCAAAACCAAGCAAUCUCUGUGGAAGUCAUAAAAGGAUCACCAAAGGAGUGUCAAAACAUGGCAAGCAACAUGAACAACCAAGUGUCCCCACUCUCCACCGUCUGCUGAAAGCAAUGUCAUGUUGGUAGAGGCUAUGGAGUGUGGUGCAUUAUUGCAUACUGUGUUUACCCAUUACCAGCACCAUGGCUAUUAGCUACCUUUCUUUAUUGCAAUAAGUGGGUAUUUGAUAACAGCAACUUUCGACUCCCCCACCACCCCCAUGCUUGUUUUCUUCUUCAAAGACAAAAAGGGGCUCCCUUCAAAUUCUUUUUUGGGGACUUGGAGACAAGUUUUCUAGGGAACACAUUACAUGCAAAUACCCUCUCUCUCUCUCUCUCUCUCUCUCUCUCUGACAUGUAGGUGAUUAAACAAAUGAAAAAUUGCAAAUGAUGUGCAUUAUUUUUAUGUCAUUGGUCUUUGGAUGCUCUAAAAGCUAAGACUCCUUUGAGCUAAACCUUAUCUAGAUGCUACAUAGUCAAUUCAUAGGAUUAGAUUCACAUGUUUAUUUUAGGGUUGAAAACAGACAUCUUUCUAUUGGUUGACAUUCUCAGCUCUGAGUCACAAACCUUUUUUUUUUUUUUAAUUAAAAAAAAUUUUAAUAUGGUACAAUUUUGGUGAGUAAAAUAUGUUAUAAAAUAAGAUUUAAUUUCGAGGCAUGCAUAGCUCGAUGAGUUUGAACGCCAUGAUCGAUGUAUAGAUUACAAAAAUGCAUGGUUGACUGGUGAUACUCAUGGUUUUGGGGAGGAAAGAAAGAGAGAAUAAACAAAAUGGUAACAAGCCAAGCAGUAGAGUUUACAGUUGUAGUUUGCUUUUAACUAUUGUGGUUUUGGACUUGCAAUUUCUAGGUAUGAUUAGGGGUGGGGAUUGUUUGGAUUGGAUCAUUAGAAAUAGCCACCACUUUUUGGGAUCUCCUCGUGGCUUAUAUCAUGGCACAUUGACCUUUUAAAUGGAGAAUUAUUGAUAACAUCCACCUGAUGAUACUGUUGGUAUGAGGUAUGAACAUUGUAGCUUUCUCCGUCCUUAUUUUCAUCAUGUUUUACAAAUAACACGACUCAAAACUGACACGAACGUAACGAAUUUAGAUUUAUCGUUAUUUUAGACAAAUACAAAUAGUGUCAAACUUGGUAACCUAAUUUUGACACAAUAAACAAAUUUACUAUGUUAUUAAUUCAAUAGCUAAAAUUAUAGUGUUACGUUGAAAAACUAUGUGUUCAAGUAACGAGUUGUCUUAUUUAAACGAAAUAAGGGAAAACUAGGUAUCUUUUUCCUAUUGGCCAAAAUUUCUUGACUUGUGUUGAUGUGAUGAACAAGCUAUCAAGGGGAUUAACAAGAUAAAAUCAAAUUAACCAUGCAACACAUCCCACUAAUGGGAAACAAAAGGCCAAUUGAACUUUAAUGACUUGCUCCACCAAAUCAUUGACAUAAUGCACAAUUUAUGAGUAAUGCAUGAGCAUUUUCUUUUCCUAGUCAGUGUCAAAAGACAAUAUCAUGGAAAUGGGGAACUUUAUGCACAUCGAAAGGCAUCUUGCGAUGAUAGCAUCCUCCUCUGUAUUCAAAUCUUUCCUUGAAACUUAUCUUGCAAGCCGGCUAUGUUUGUUUGUGAAGCUAUGAUGAGAAAUGUGGCAUUGCGUUACUAUAGUUUUGGUCUUAACAGCUGUAUCUGCUCAGUUUAAUUGAUUGGACAUUGUUACUCAUUAGUGUUGUUUGAUUAGAAGGCAAUAUAGGGUGCCUGAAUAGAAACAGCACCACAGAAAGGGAUCGCGUAGGCCAGAUGACGAAUGAUUAUUUACCCUAAUUAAUUGAUUAUAUUAUUUUUUGUCGGUACAUUAAUCUCUUAAUCUUCCAUAUAAACUAUUGCCAGAAAUCUACUAUCUUUCGGUCUAAUGCUAUUUCUCUUUUCAUUAUUGGAAUAAGUCUCGGUUCAUUAUGUAGAAAACGCUUUCAUAUUGAUGACCAAAAAUAUGUAUCUGUGUCAUGCAAGGAGGAAUAUAAGUGAAUGCAAUUUUCAUUAAUGAACUAUUUCUAAUAGUUGUCUGAUAUGUGUUCAAUUAUGAUUAGUUUAUAAAAUUAAGCUUUGUUUUAUGUGGUUCCGACUGUAAACCCCUCUCUUUUUCCUUCUGCAUGAGUAUCGUUAAUAGGCCUCUCAUAGCCCUUAAAAGUGAAGGGGAGAGGACGCCUAAGCAGGAGUAAGUGAAUGACCUAAUGGGUAUUGUAAAGGGGGCUUGAAUGCCUUUUCAACAAAUGCACCUAUCCACAGUAUAGAUUUCAUCUUCUGGUGAGAGGGGAGUAUCGACCUUAAAUCAUACAAAAUUUAAGAAUUUGAAUGUGAGACAUUUUUUAAUAUUAAAAAAAACGUAUUAUUAUGAACGUGUAAGGAAAAAUGUACAAAUGUACGAUUUGACUCCACCAUUCUUCUUAGCAUGGGUGAAGUCAUAGUGUCGAGGCUGAGGUUCCUCACAUGUGAAAAAAAAGGUUCCAUUUCUUUCUUUUAUGUAUUUCUACAUGUCCUCUGUGAACAAUUUAGAAGUAGAAAAGGUGUCAUUUAAAUCUGCAAAAUGAGGCAUCAUUUUAACCAUUGAAUUGUUUUGAGCAGCCAGAAAUAACUCCUUUUUUUCUUCGUGGGUCUUAAAGUUGACAGAGAGAACAUUGUAAAAUUUUUUAAUUCCUCGUUAUGUUGUUAUUCAAAACCUUCAAACAUCAAAUCAAACUAAGGAGCAGAUAUCAUAUAACGUCACUUUUCUUCCCUUUGGUCUCUCCGAAACCAGAAAAGAAAAGAAAACAGUUGGCAAUGUCAACUGGGCUGCCUGCCUUCGGCAAAGCCUAUGGCUUUUAGGGUUUACUGGUACACACACAGAGAAGCCUUCCCUGACACGACAAUGAAAUUUCCACUAGAUUUUUUGGCCAGGCCACUGCAAUUAUAACACUUGUCCUUCAACCUUUCAUUUUAUUUAACUUGCACUCUGAAAAGUCAAAACCCUCUGAUAAAUUGUCAACUCGAGCAUCACCCUUUUGCAUAGCAGCCAAUUGAAAUUUACCAGGGACAGGACCCCAUUUGCUGUUGCUGCUGCUGUGUUUUACACUUUUACCUAAACCUUCGUCUUUUCAUCAACUUCUUUGAAUUUCACGCUUUUCCCAUCACCUAAUACGUUUAUGUUUUUCUUUUCCCUAAUACGUUUGAAUUUCACUCUUGCGUAAAUGCUAUAUUCAAAUUUGAGAUAUCUUUCAAAAUCGAGAAGAGAAAUACUAUUAGAUCAAUAACUAGUCAAUGAUAACUUUACAAUGUUAAUUAAAAAAGAUUUCAGAAAUCUAUUUUCUUUUUUCCAGUAAUUAUAUUUUGUAGAUAGAUAGAUCAUAGAACUGUGUGCGUGUGCUGUGCGGCAUCUAUGAUCUAAGAUCUCGGUUGUCACGUGAGAAGUGGACUUUUGUCUCAUCUUCUCAGUCCCUAUUUGUCGUCACUCCCAUAUUCCCUCUCUGCCUCUCACUCUCACUGACAGUCUUCCUUCACGAGGACACCAAUCUCUCUCCGCUGACCGCCUCCCUUUCUUUGUUCAGAUCGGUCUGACUCUGAACACCCUUUUACAGUUUACAGUUUACAGUUUACAGUUUCUAUUUUAAUGUAUUUUUCUUUCAACUACUUUUUUCUUGUCUCAUUUUACCUUUUUACCAUCUAAAAUUACAGCGACAGCGACCAAAUGGGCAGUGAGAGCUGCUUCACAUGGAAAUUUUUUGGCAGAAAAGGGUAAAAUGCAUGUGACAGUGAAUGUAGAUUUUCUUUCUAAACAAGGUUUUCUGUGUGGUUGGUAGAAGGUCAAAUCCUGUCCUCAUUCUGUAAAUUUUAUAUGGUUUUUUUUAUUUUUUAUUAUACAGAAUAUUAUAUGUUUCUUUGGAUUCUUUUUAUCUCAUGAUAAUAUUCAGAAGGGUAAAAAAAAAGUAAAAAACACAAACAACAAAGUGGAGUUUUGAUGGGUUCAUUUGAAUUUUUGUUUUGGGUGGGUGUGUGUGUUUCAUUUCCUUGCUAAAUCUCAACUUUACACCAAAUUAAAGGUUCUCACUUUUUGGGGACUUAUGUGUAGAAUAUUACAAAAUUUUUUUUGCUCUGUUGUGGAACAGUAAUCAAUUUAAAAUAUCUGUCAGUUCAUGACUAAGUUUGAUGCGGACAUGAUUAAUCGUGUUCCUUAUGAGCCUAAUUUGGUAGCUGACUAACCAAAUUAGGAUAUUAUUAAAUUUGCUCUGUAGACUCGUGAUGUUAAUUUUUAAUUUAACGUUUUUCCACUGCAAUGAAACAUGUUUUCUGAUUUGAAAUAAGAAAAUUUAAGAAUAUAAGAGAGAAAAGUUGCUUAUAGGAUUGACCAUGAUCUAUUUCAUAGUUUCAGGUAUUAGCUUGCGGAUUGUAACGUUGAAUAUCCGUACUUUUUGAUUCCGUUUGUGUUAAUAAACACACGAAAAGUCUAGAUUAUAAUACAUACUCUAGGUAAGAAAUAAUAUUGUACUAAAAUGGUUCGUUUGGUACACUUUAUUAGAUUCUGGAUAUGAGUAAAUAGUCCAUGUCAGUUGUUUGGUGUCAACUUAUAUUAAUAAUUACAUGCAUUAUUUUACUCAAUCUUUUGCAUUUGUGCAAAGCAGAAUAUGCAGUUUUCUUUUUUAUGAUUUUUUAAUUUCGAAUAUGUAUGCAUAAAAUUUGAGUUUUUCUAUUUAAACCCUGCACUUCUCUUUGUCCAAGUUCUAAGUUCGCCUCAACUUCUAAUUCAAAUUUUCACAAUUUUCUAAGAAAAUCCCACUAUCUUUUCAAACUACCCCUAAAUACACACUCAAUAGGAAAAAAAUAAAAAUAAAAAUAAAAAUAAAAACUCAUCAACCUCACACCCCACACCGCUAUCUUGCCUCUCACCACUAUAAGUUCACCUUGACCUCACAUUACUUAAAGAGAUAAAAACAUUGUUGUCAAAUAUGUAGCAGCAUUGAGAAUGAACUAGGAGGUUUUGUGAAGAGAAAAUAAGAGUAGUAGGUUUCUUGAAUUGAAAGAAAAAAGUAAUCUGAUAAUAGGGGUAGAGGAGUUUAUGUUUUUUUAAACUUAAUAUGAAGAGUGGUGGGUUGUGUGGGGGUGUGUGUAUAGAUGUAUUAAGGUUAAGUAUUUAGUUGGAUAAUCUUUUUUGUCUUUUUACACAAUAAUAAAACUUAAGAGUUUAAUAAUUUAAAUAUUAAGAUGAACAAAGAAAAAUGCAGAAUUUAAAUAGAAAAAUUCUAAAAUUUUCAGUCGUUUGCAUUACAUAUGUAUGAAGUAAUUUUUCAAUCUUUCUUUUUUUCUAUUUUUUUAUUAUAUAAAAUCUUUAUUUUUUUCUAUUAAAUAUUAGUUGGUGAAUUUACUUUACAUUAAUGCAUGCACUGUUUGUACUUGUACCUUUUGCAAUAAAUUUUGACAAUCCUCAAAAGUUAGGAUGACUUUUUUGCAUCUUUGCUGAUAUUUGCUGAUAUGCCCUUGAACCAACCAAACAUCCAGCAAUUCUUAACUCUUUUGUUCUGACUCAUUCACUCACACUUUCCCACUUCACUGAUAUAUAGAAAAAAUUGAGAGGAACACAACCAAGCUCUCUCUCUCUCAGAGUCACCUCCUCCAAUGGCUACCACCUGCACAUUUCCUUUGUUUCUCUCUCUAAUCUCCACAUUCCUCAUUCUCAGUUCAUCAUCUUCUGAGGCAGACAUUCUUCUCACCUUCAAGGCUUCCAUUAAAGACUCUAAAAACUCUCUCUCAAGCUGGUCCAACUCCUCUCUCACUCAUUUUUGUGAAUGGACUGGAAUUACCUGCACAACCACAGCUCCACUCUCUGUGACUUCUCUCAACCUCCAAAGCAUGAAUCUUUCAGGUGAAAUUCCAUCUUCAAUAUGCGAGCUUCCCAAUCUGUCUCAGCUCAACCUUGCUGAAAAUCUCUUCAACCAGCCCAUCCCUCUCCAUCUCUCUCAGUGCACUUCUUUGGAGACUUUGAAUCUCAGCAACAAUCUCAUCUGGGGUACAGUCCUAAACCAGAUUUCUCAGUUUGGUUCCUUAAAAGUGCUUGACUUGAGCAAGAACCAUCUUGAAGGAAACAUCCCACAAGGCAUAGGCUCACUCAGCAACCUCCAAGUUCUCAACUUGGGAAGCAACUUGCUUUCAGGUAGUGUGCCUUCUAUCUUUGGGAAUUUAACUGAGCUAGCUGUUCUUGAUCUGUCUCAAAAUUCAAACUUGGUGAGUGAGAUUCCUACUGAUAUUGGUAAGCUUGUGAAGCUUGAGAAGUUAUUCUUGCAAAGCUCUGGUUUUCAUGGUGAGCUUCCUGAAUCUUUGGUGGGUUUGCAAAGUUUGACUGUUUUAGACCUUUCCCAGAAUAACUUAACAGGUAGGGUUCCUCAGACACUUUGCUCUUCUCUCCAGAACUUGGUGUCUUUUGAUGUAUCUGAGAACAGGCUUUCUGGGCCAUUCCCAAAUGGCAUCUGUACUGGAAAAGGCCUUAUAAACCUCAGCCUUCAUACCAAUGUCUUCAAUGGUUCAGUACCCAACUCCAUUAGUGAAUGCUUAAAGCUAGAGAGGUUUGAAGUUCAGAACAAUUUAUUUUCUGGGGAUUUCCCAGUGGGGUUAUGGUCUUUACCCAAAAUUAAGCUUUUGAGAGCUGAAAAUAAUAGAUUUUCUGGAGAAAUACCUGAGUCAGUAUCAAUGGCUGCUCAAUUGGAGCAGGUUCAAAUAGAUAACAACAGCUUCAGUAGCAAAAUUCCUCAGGGUCUUGGGUUAGUCAAGAGCUUGUAUAGAUUCUCUGCUUCUCUGAAUGGUUUAUAUGGUGGACUUCCUCCAAAUUUCUGUGAUUCCCCUGUUAUGAGUAUAGUAAAUCUCUCCCAUAAUUCACUUUCGGGUCGAAUUCCGGAGGUUAAAAAAUGCAGAAAGCUAGUAUCAUUGUCUUUGGCUGGCAACAGUCUUAAUGGGAAUAUCCCAUCAUCUCUUGGUGAAUUACCAGUGCUAACUUACCUUGAUCUUUCUGAUAAUAAGCUUACCGGUCCAAUCCCUCAGGCGCUUCAAAACUUGAAGCUUGCACUCUUCAAUGUUUCUUCUAAUCAGCUAUCUGGUAGAGUCCCCUACUCUCUUAUUUCAGGCCUGCCAGCUUCAUUUCUUCAAGGAAACCCUGACCUUUGUGGUCCAGGAUUACUCAAUCCUUGUUCUGAUGACCAACCAAAACACCGUUCUUUUGAUCUCACAAUCUUGACAUGUGCCCUGAUCUCUAUAGCUUUUGCUGUUGGAACUUUCAUUGUUGCUGGCGGGUUUAUCGCAUAUCAUCGAUAUCGCAAGCAGAGAACCCAAGUUGGCAUUUGGCGGUCGGUGUUCUUUUAUCCUCUCAGAGUCACUGAGCAUGAUUUGGUGAUGGGAAUGGAUGAGAAAAGUGCUGCAGGAAGUGCUGGAGUAUUUGGUAGAGUUUAUAUUGUAAGUUUACCAAGUGGUGAACUUGUUGCUGUAAAGAAGCUUGUGAAUUUUGGGGUCCAGUCUUCGAAAGCUUUGAAGGCUGAGAUCAAGACCUUGGGCCAGAUCAGGCACAAAAAUGUUUGUGAAAGUUCUGGGUUCUGUCAUUCCGAUGAUUCGAUAUUUCUGAUAUAUGAGUUCUUACAGAAAGGGAGCUUGGGGGACUUGAUCUCCAGACCUGAUUUUAAUUUGCAGUGGAAUGUCAGAUUGAGAAUUGCCAUUGGUGUUGCCCAAGGAUUGGGAUACCUCCACAAGGAUUAUGUUCCUCAUUUACUGCAUAGAAAUGUCAAAUCGAAAAAUAUCCUUCUGGAUGCAGAUUUUCAACCAAAGCUCACAGAUUUUGCUCUUGACAGAAUUGUGGGAGAAGCUGCCUUUCAGUCAACUAUGGCUUCGGAAUCUGCUUUAUCCUGUUACAAUGCGCCAGGUAAGAGAAGUGGAAUUGCAAUGAAUUCUUAGAAUUUUUUUUUGUUUUGUUCCACUACUAAUAUUCUUAUAUGUUCCAAAGCAGUCUUUCUUAGAUAAUUAAAUUAACAUCAUAUCUGUAUCCUUAAAAUGUUCUGUUGGUAAUUGAAGAACAAAUUUUUUAUGACAUUUAUUUGUUGUUUGCAGAAUACAAGUACAGUAAGAAAGCAACUGAGCAAAUGGAUGUUUACAGCUUUGGUGUUGUAUUAUUGGAGCUAGUUACAGGCAGGCAAGCUGAACCAUCUGAGUCUCUCGACAUUGUAAAGUGGGUGCGACGAAAGGUCAACAUUACGAAAGGCGCGGUCCAAGUUAUCGAUCCAAAGAUCACGAAUUCUUCCCAGCAAGAGGUACUUGGAGCUCUAGAAAUCGCUCUCCGUUGCACUUCUGUGAUGCCGGAGAAAAGACCACCCAUGUCUGAAGUUGUGAGAUCACUUCAGUCCCUUGACUCAAGGACUGACAGUGCUGUUAUUGACUUCUCUACCUUUGAGGAACAUUCUGCUUCAGUCUGAACAUUGAAUUACAAGUGACUGCAUUUUUGGUUUCCUUGUAUGUAAAUUAAACUUGGUUUUACAUAUUUACUUCUGAUGGAGGAAAACGGAUAGGGUUGGGCAUGGUUUUUUUUGUCUGUUCAACAGAAAAUGAUUUGGGAUUUGGUUAACAGUAAUGAGAGUUUUACAGUAUGAUGUGAAUGCCAUUAAUUAUGCCCUUGUAAGAGGCUGAGCUUUGCUGCAAAUGCUAACCGAAUCCAGCCCAUUUAAAAUAGUUUAGACUAUUGUUUGUAUUAAAUAAGAAUAAAAAUAAUCGUGUUUGGUUCGAAUUGUGGAAGCACAAUCAGUUGAUCAACCUAUUAAUAAUGCAGAAUCCAGAUUGGUUGAUGGGGAGGGGAGGGGGGCCGUGAUGGUGGCUGAUGCAAAAUCAAGUUUAAGAGAUGGAGUCUUAUCUAAGAGCCUCGGAUAAGGCCUUCAUUAUAGAAUUCUUGAUUAUUGUGUGCGUGUUCUUGUAAUGGAGCCGCGCACUCUGCCUAGCCUGUACAUGCUAUAGGCCUGGCCUGAAUUUAGCAAUUGGUAGAGAUUCGAAUUGGGCCACCAACUCCCAAAUCUCCACUUCGCUGCACAAAACAACUUACAUGAACAUACACAAGAGACCAAAUCCUUAGCUUCGGAUUCGACAAUGAACCUGUUAAAAACCCAACUAGUAGCCAAAUUUUCAAAUUGGAAGCAUUGGAAAUUUUCAAACUGAAAUAAUUAUGAUGAGGAUGCAACAAAAGUAAGGACAUUUUCGUACUUCACUAAGUUACCAAGUUAGUUUUUCCUCUUCUUUUUCUUAAUGGAGAAGAAGGACAAAAGCUUUAAAAUGCAGGGUGGAAAAAUAGCUGCAGAACAAAAAAUGGCAAGCAGUUUUGUAUUUAUUACCACAACUGCUUACGCAAUAUAGAAUAUCGGUUCUUAAAUGUCUCAUUACAUUUUUUCAUGUCUAGAGCACUCCGGAAAAAUUAUAAUUUUCUUGAAUAUUAGUGAAUAAUACAAAUCUUCUGGGGUUAGAGAGCCUAUUACUGAUGCUCUUAGAGGGUAAAUUCCGAACAUUUUCAAUCCAACGGUCACAUUUCUUGCAUGCAUAUUCCGACAAUAUAAGCUCCUCGAAGUGAAACCCAGUGGCAUCGGUAACUCUAAAACCAGUGAUGAUUUGCAUACACAUUUAAGCAUGCACCAAAAAGAAUCAUACAUUUGUUGAUAUGAAAAGAGGGCAGUUUCUAAAUCACCUCAAGACCAAAUUAAUUAAUUUGCUAUCAAACCAAAACCGGAAGAAAAACAGCACCAAAAGUUCAAAUUGGAAGCAGUGGAUUGGUGAGCUUGUAUAUAUCUUGUUGACAUUUGACCAGAAACGUUUCAGAUAGCAAAACGUUGACAUGAUUGAAUGCAUGAAGCUAUCCACCUGUUAAUAUUGCCAAAACGACAUCAAAUGAAUAAAACCUGAGGAGGGAUUGCAAUUUACAGACCACCAAAUGAAUAAAACCUGUUGCGCAUGCACAACAAUUUGGCUUACACCUUGCACACACUGGGCUGGUAAUGCCUUCAAUUUUGCUUUACUUUCCUCUUUUCUCUUUCUUUUAUUGGUUUCACUUUCCCUUUUCCUUUUCUUGUUCAAAGUACACUACCGUUGCCUAUGUAACACAAUCGAAAUUUCUAGACCAAUUCCUCAAUUUUCAGUCGGUUUAUUUAUCUACUGUUUUGUGUUCUCAUUUCUCAGUUUGAUAGGAUUGUGAAGGUUUAGUUUGCUUUGAAGAGAGAGAGAGAGAGAGAGCCACAAAAGAAGAAAGGCAGGUAAUGCUCUAUCAAGAAUCAACUCACAUACAAAAUACAAAUAGUCUAAUAUUAUGAUGAGAUUUAUCUUUUUUCCUUUUGAUGAUGAAUUUCCUAUAUAUAAAUCACUACCGAUUAGGCAGAGGCUUAUGAGUUGGCUCUUCAGCAGGUAAACAAAUUUGUUCAGCACUGAGGUGAUUUACUAGAUCUAAGAAUUUCCAAAUCCUUGAAAGUCAUCAUUUCUUCAAAGAACCAAGGUGAUAGAGUACUAGUGUUUUCAUGAUUUGGUCAUGGUGCCCAUUUCACCUUAAUUAUAACCAGAUCUUGAACUUCUCAUGUAUUUUGCUACUACCCAUCCCCACUUUCCUCUCUGGUUACAAUAACGUCUGCAGUUAAGAGUUAAAGAUUUAGGAAUUGAAAACAAAUAGAUAUGAAAACACAAACUGAGAAGUGAAAUAUUGUUUUAAAUUUUAAGAUGUUUCGCGCCAAUCGAGUUCAAAUUUGUUUAUCCAUCUUAUAUAGGUAAUUAUAGAAUUUUGGCGCGCAAUAUGUUUAUUUUAUAUAUCUACAAUGUGGAAAAGAAACUCGUAAUCGUUAGCUUAAAGUGGUGUAAAAUGAGAUUUUUUUUUAAAUAUUUUAGUUUAUUAUUAUCUUACUUUUUGAAGUUAACGGUAUGGUGAUUAACCUAAUCCCACAUGUAUAUGUUAUAAUUUUCAUUUGUUUAGGUACCAAAUAUUCAAUACCCUUUCCUCGUAGUGUCGAACUUUAAUAAAUAAAUGAAAUGUGAUGAACCGUUAUUUAGUGGCCAGACCUCCUGGAAUUUUAUUAAAAUCUAACGUUGUGUGUUAGACAUAUGUAAGAAUUCCUCAUGACCAUAACACUUAGGGAUUGAAUCUAUUUGUUAAAAAAAAAGCAUUACUUUUUUAUAUUAUUUAUUUCGAAUGAAAAUUUCAUUCAAAGGCUGCUUGUAUUGGUGUAUGUAUUAUUUUUUAUUAUAAUAAAUAUUGUUAUAUAUAUCAAAAAUGCUAGUUAUAUCACAUUUAUAUAUCACUUUGUGUACCACCUCUUUAAUAAAAGUGGGUCCCAUUGUAUUGGUGGGUUCCACCUCUAUUAAAAAGGUGGUACACAAAGUUGUACCCAGAUAUGAUAUAACUAGCAUUGCUCAUAUAUAUAUACAUGUUUAAACAUAUAUGCAUAUAUAGAAAUUUUUAUAUAGUAAUACUUUUCAAUUCAAUGUUUUCCCUAAUUUGUUGCAUACCUUUGGAUAUAUUUCUAUUCUUGUUCAUUUCCUACCAACUGUUUGCUAAAUUGGUUUUGUUGAUUAAUUAUGUCACUUAAUGACUAUCCAUUACUAGAGCUUCAUGGCAUUAGAAGUAUAGAAAUGUGAAAAAUAUAUAUUAUCAAUUAUAUCACUUAAAGUUAAGAUGUAGUAGAAAAUACAUAGAAAAACAAAAGAGAGAAGAUUUCGCGUGUGUCACAGCCCUCGACUGCCCACGGUUAGUGCCAUUCGACUACCAGUGCAGUGUGGUAACAUUUUGGCUGUAUCACUACAGUGCAGAGAUAAUUGUUGGUGUGCUCUUUCUUUUAGUUUUUGAAAUUUUUUAGGUUCAUAAAAUCUAUUUGUGUAUUAGGUAUGAUGUUUUAGGGGACUUAUGAGUUUAAGAUAUAGAUAGAUAUUAUAAAUUAUGAGAUUGAGGUGUAUUACUUAAUUGUAUUGCAAUAUCGCAGUAACAUUUAGGUGUUAUUAUAAUGGAAUAACAAAUCGUGAAAUAGAUAGAGAUCGUUGUGUCGACCGUCCCAUUGUUUCAGAAAUUCUUUUUUAAUUUUUCAAAAGUGGUGGCCUAUUUGUUUUUGGAUAGAAAAAUAAGUUAUAAAUUAUUUUUUAUUACUCGAAAAACUAAAACGUGUGAUCAUUGGGUCUAAGAGGUGCAAAUUGAGACGCCUUUUGAGGGUGUGUUGGUAGCCUUUCCUUUAGUUCAUUUUGUUGUCAUAUUGUCCUUAAAGUUUUUUAGCCAUUGUAAUUAAUUUGGAUUUGUACUUUCAUGUUCAUGUGUUAAUUUGGAUUCUAAGAUGUAAAAUAUAUAUAUAUAUAUAUAUAAAGGCAUAAUCCACUAUUUUUUAAUGGGCCUCAUUCAAGGAAAAGGCCAUUAAAAGAUAAUUUAUAAUUAGUGGCAGUGAAAUCUCUUCACUUGUUUGGAGAAGAUCAAAUAACUUUAGCAUUAUGGUAAUGCUAUAUGAACUCAUGUACUAUCAUAAUGCAUUGUUUAUCGUUCAAUAUUGUUUGGAUAUGCUAAGCUAUUUCCCUAAUUAAUUCUUAAGUUUUUCUUCUUCUUUUUUGUCUGCAGGAAGUACUCUUAGCCCUUUCAACCAUGAACUCGAGUGACACCGUCUAUUUUUCUUCUCCUUUUUCGACUCAUUCAAUUAACUCUGAGUCUAGGAAUUACUCUCCAAUGUUCUUGAAUGAUUUUGUCAUUCAUCCAAACCAAAGUCAUGGUCUUUCAUUUCCGAUGCAAUCGAAAAACUUUGAUGCUAAUGAGCUGAAUGAUGGUUUUAAUAAUUUUCAUAACAAUAAUUCAGAAGUAAGGCAAAGUCACCCUAUGAAAUUCUAUCCUCCAUCCAUGCUUGAAAGUUCCUUGUUAGAAGCACCCAAUUACUACAAUAAUUUUCCCAUUUCCAACCAUCCAUUUUCAUCAUCAUUGCAUGAUAAUGGUUUUACUGGUGGAAACUACCAAAACUGUAAUUGUUUCAACAUGUAUGAGGAGCCACUUAUAAGGUAAUCCAAGCUUUCUUUUUUAUAAAUUUCAAUACUAUAUUUCAAAAUUUUAAUUAAUUAUGUUAACGUAUUAAUUUAAGUAUUGUUCCACAAUGAUUAGUGACAGUUGCAGCGAUGAAGAAGACAAUGGUGGAAAAAAGAAAUGUAAACGUCACAGUAAAAGCAAGCACACAUUUGGCCAGAGAAGCUCUAGUUUUCGUGGGGUUACAAAGUAUGUUUAUGUUUGUUUGUUUUGUAUUGUUAUAAUCAAUUACAUCUCCAUAAGGUAAUUUAAAUCAUCAUUAGCUAUUGCACACACACUUCCACAUGCUUGUCAAGGCACUUUUGCUACUACACUUUCAUGAAUAAUUGACUUUCUAUACACAUUAGCCAACGGGUUUAACCUAAUGAAAAAGGGUAUUGACUUGCACACCAGUGGUCUCAAGUUCGAACCCCCUUGUCAUCCUGGCAGUAUGUGUGAGAAACCCCCCUCCCCUUAUAGUUUAGACACAUUAACUUGCUAUAUGUACAGGUACGUAGGGGGACGUUUUGAAGCAUUUCUAUGGGAUAACACUAAACCAGGAAAGAAAGGCAAGACAGGUACCAAAAUUACUUAACUAUCUAUCUCCCAUCUUUUGUUUACAAAUCAUGCGUCAUCCAAAAUUAUCCGCUAACAUUUUUUUUUAAUGUUUCUUCUUGGUGCCCUCCAUUCACAAUAAGACAGUUUAUAUUGGUGAGUGAACUUCUUGCAAAUCAUGUCUUUAAUUAGACACAAACCAUAACUUAGAACCUUUGCAAGUUAACUUAAAGCAAUGAAAAAACAGAAGUAGAGUUUUCUUAAGAGUUUCUGCUUAAUUUGGCAGGUGGAUAUGAUACAGAAGAGGAGGCUGCCAUAGCUUAUGAUAUAGCUGCUCUAAAGUUAUGGGGAAAGUCUGCUACAUUAAAUUUUCCUGUAUGUUAAUUACUACAUUGGCAUUAAUAUAUAUUUGUGAUUUGGUUAUUGUUUAUUUUGGAUCAUAUUCCCCUUGUGACUCCUACAUAUAUCUAUUGUUGUAGUUGAGGAAAUACAGGAAAGAUUUGAAGAAGAUGAAGCGUAUGAGCAAAGAGGACUAUUUUAACCACAUUAGAAGGUAAUAGUGUUAAUUAAAAAGAAAAGAAGAAUACUUGGUAUUGCCCUAAUUAAUUCAGUUUUUGCUUGUUACCCUAGUUAAUUAUUCCUCAUUGCAUCUCAAUUAAUUAGCUGUAUCUUAAACUUGUCAAAUUACAGAACAAGUGCUAGCUUUUCCAAGGGCUUAUCUAGUUAUCGGGGAGUUUCAAGGUAUUAUAACUACUAAAUCCACCUCUCUCUCUCUCUCUCUCUCUCUCUCUCUCUCUCUCUCUCUCUGACAUGCUUGAAACAGGAACUCGGACAACAAGAGAUGGCAAGCUAAAGUAGGGAAAGGAAGAGGGUGCAAAGGCAUUUAUCUGGGCACAUUUGGUAACUCCUAUGACCCUUUAUGCCUUUAUCCAAUGACUAAUGAUUUGAAGAUCAAGAAUAGUAGACCACAUCCAAAGAUAUUAGAAUUGAGCUAAAAUUAAAAAUCAUAUCAGCAGUUCAUUUCAACUAUACUUGAACUUAAUUAAUUGUCUUACUUUGAAUUAAUGACAAUUAGAUACUGAAGAGGAAGCAGCCAGAGCCUAUGAUGUUGCUGUAAUAAGGAUGAAAGGCAUAACAUCGGUUACAAAUUUUGACCAAAGUGAGUAUGAUGUCAAAGGCAUUCUUGAGUGCGAAAUGCUUCCAAUCGGAAAGGGUGCUUCAAAGAGGGUACGGUGGUCUUCAGUUGAUGAUGUCCUUAAAAAGGGAAGAAACACUAAGAAGAAGAAACCCAUGUUACAACUAAAUAAUGGUGAAAGCUCAGGCAUCUCUAAGCUAAUCCCAACAAUUCCCCAAUCCUCUUCAUCAUUUGAACCAAUAACUCAUCAAAUCCUACCAACCCCCCAUAAUUCAAACCCCACUCAAUAUGUAGACCCCUUCCUCCGUUAUGCUUUCCAAGAUACUGAUAUCCUCCGGUACUCCAACGUUAACCCUAGCUCUCAAGUUCCUCUUCCUGGAUACCAAAACCUUAACUUUCAAACAAACCCUAAUUUCAAUAAUUGGGCUGGUACUUUUGGUGGAGGUGAUAAUUCAGAGGCAAACUUUCUGACAAACCCUAGUUUCAACAACUGGGUUGGUACCUUUGGUGGAGGUGAGAAUUCAGAGGGAAAUGGAAUCAAUGUUGGAGGGUCUCAAAUUUAUGGAACCUUGGAUCCAACAAUGGCACAAAUUGGUGAUGAUAAUUCAGGUUACAAUUUGGGCAGGGGAAUUGAGCUCAUGGAGCCAUUGAACCAGUUUGCACCCAUCAUACCACCACAAAACCAAGAGUUUGAUCAGCUAGAUCAGUAUAGCAGUGAUGCCUAUGGCCAAUGCAACAAUGAAAGCUCUAGCUCCUCAUACCUUCUUCAAGACUCCCUGCAGGUUCCAAAUUAUCCUCAAACAAUUGACCCUACUUUUCUUCCUGGGUUGACUAACGACCUUGAUCCAGGCCCUAGCUAUGUUGGAGAAUCUUACGAUAGUGUGGUUCCCGAGGCAAUUUUGGAGGCGAUGCUGGCGGAGACUAAUGAGAGUUGCUGCUGUGACAUCAUGCGUGAACCUCUUACUGUUUUUGAUUAUGAAGUACCUGAUAAUGUGGAGGGAAACUCAACAGUGCUACCAAGAAAUGCAGAAAAUAGAAAUAUUGUUGAAGACUUUGGGGUGGACGAAUCAGCUGCAUUGGACACUUACUUUCCUUCUAGCUGGCUGGAGAUGUUCUUGAUGACCAUAUAGACGGUUCUGAUUGCAAUGUCUAAGGUGCAUUGCACUUAUCUGUUGCAGGAGUAAAAAAAACCCAUCAAUUUCUCAAGUUGCCAAACUACUUUACUCCCUUCACAGAAAGACCCACAGUUUCAGUUAUAGACUUUUCUUAGAUUUGAGGAACAUUUAUUUUCGGUCUCAAGCUUGAAUUACAAAUGACUGCAUUUUUUUUGUCUUUUAAGCAAAUUGAACUUGAUUUUGCAUAUUCUCUUUUGAUUGGGAAGAAAAAGAUAGGGUUGUUGAAAUCCACAAUUUGGGUUUUAGCCCAAAAAAUCUCCCCUAAUGCAUGUAUUUUAAAGAGUGAAAAUUUGGCUUAGCAGUUGUUUGAGGCUAUAUUAUUUCACUCUAAUUUUUGCAUGGAUUGGAAGAGAAGUAGAGCCCAAACUGACAAAAAGUAGCCCACUAAGGCCAUCUCCAGCAAUGGGCUAAACCCACAAAUUUAGUCAUUUCAUACCCAAAAGCCAUCUCUAGUAAAUGGGCUAAAUGUGCCUUGUUAUUGGAUCAAAACCCAGUCGGAGGGCAAAGAAGCCAAUGUAGGGCCAAAUUGAUCCUUAGGUGGGCUAUAUCCUUUGUUUUUAUAAAAUUAAAAAAAAAAACUAAAAAUGGGUUUUUAAAAUAUUUUUUUGUUUAUAAAUACCAACCUCAUUUCUACAUAAUUUUCCGCGUUCUUUUCAUCCUUCUAUCUAAUUUCCCACCAUCUUUUCAUCAUUCUUUUUACAUACUAUCCUAUCCUUCCACGUAAUUUCCCACAAUUUUUGCAUCCUCUACAUUUUAUAUAUCCUUCCUCUUUUCCAUACAAAAAUUACCCCCUCAUUGUUACGAAAAAAAUGGCUGCCACUUCGAAAAAAGGCGUAAAUUGGACUCGAAAGGAAGAUGAAGCUCUUUGCAAGGGUUUCUUGAAAGUCAUUGAAGAUAAUAUACACGGUACUAGCCAAGCCUCAGACGGUUUUUGGACGCAUGUUUCUCACAAAUAUUACAAGCUUUAUGAAGGCACCAUUGAAGCGACCCUGAGAAAUCUUGAAAGUUGUGCAAGUUUAGGUGGUAGAAGCACAUAUAUCCAAGCUUGAACAAAUGGUAUCAAGCAUUGAGAAAAGAGAGGGGAGACAUGCUAGCAGAGUAGAACGCCUAUAGGAGGCAGCGAAGAAGAAGAGGAGGCACGAAGAUAUGGUCCAACAAAGGCAAGAGGAGAUGGACAAGAGGAACAUGGCUAGAAUAACCACAAACAUGACUCCAACUAAUAAGGAGUAUUUCAACGGAAAAAAGAGGGAAAUUCAGAACCGCUUCAGCUUACAUGAGUUGUUUCCGAAUGCAGUUUCAACGUCCAAUUAUCAUCCUACAAUGUCGGGAGAUAUGAUUAUCUUUUUAAUUUUUUAGUUGUUGUUUCUAAAUUAAUGUCUUGUUGUUUAUAAAUUCAUGUUUUAGUUUUAAUUUUUAAAUUAAUGUCAAAAAUCCUAUCAAAAAAUAUUUUUAUAUUCUAAAAUGAAUUUUAAAUAGGGUCUAAGUAGUACUUUAAUUAAAUUAAUCAAUAUAUUUAAAGAAUAUACUAAAAAUUAAUAAAAUAUUGAGGGGGCUAUGAUUUAGCCAUGUACUGUUGAAGACAGUAAAAAUAUAGCCCAUCACUAUUCCUUAGAAAACUAUAAAUGAUGGGCUAAAUUUAUGGGUGGGCUAUGUUUAGCCCUCCACUGUUGGAGACGGCCUAAGCAUACAUAUCGAUAAUGUUAUCUGUUCUAAGUGAAACAAAAUCAAGUGACAUGCAUUGUUCUGAACCCCCUAAUAAUUUGCAUACAUUUGUAAGAUGGAAUUUCUAAAUCUUAAAUAGCAAAGAUAAAGUCCUCAUUAUCUCUACUGACCAGAUUAAUUAACUUGCCAUUUAACCAAAACCGUAAUAAUGAAGAAAACCCGACCAGUAACCAAAAUUUCAAAUUGGAAGCAGUGGAUUGGUGAGCUUAUGUCCUCUUAUCAUUUGACCAUGGUAAAGUUGACAGGCUUUUCAAUGCAGGUAGAUUUCCACCUGUUAAAGAUGCCAAAACGACAUAAUUGUAGAAUUUAAUGCCGAAGGGCUAAAUAAGGUAGCAAAUAUCACCCUCUAUUCAACACUUGCAAUUUAGAGCACCUCCAAAUGUGGCUCAUUCUCACACAUAUCAUUUAAACUUGUUGAGCAUGCAAAACAAUUUGGGCACAAAUCGCUUACACUUGCUCACUGGUUUGCUUUACCUUUUCCUCUUUUCUUUAUUUCUUGCUUCACUUCCCCUUUUCCAUGUUGUUCCAGCCACUUCAUUAUCGUUCCCAUAUGUAACAUCAUCAAAAUUCUACACCUUUUUUGGAAUUGGGUUUACUCAUCUACUGUUUUCUGCUCUCAUUUCUCAAUUUUGCAGGGUUGUGAAGGUUUAAUUUGCUUUGAGGAGAGACAAUCACAGCAGAAGAAAGGCAGGUACUAUCCCAUCAAAUCUAUAUGUCCUAUACUGUUUUCUGAAUUGGUCACGGAGCUUAUGCCACACCUUAAUUAUGACCACAUCUUGAACUUCUUUUUGGCUUUUGUUGGAGACCACAUCUUGAACUACCCUUCGAGAUUUCAGUGUUCAUUGACAACCAUUUUUGCACAUAUAUACACUAUUAGUUAAGAGUUUAGGAUUUAGGGACUAAAAACAAAAAUACAGACCGAGAAUUGAACGGGAUUUGUAAUAUAAGAUGUUUGGCGCGAAACCUAUGUAUUCAUAUUUGUUUAUUCCUAUAUAGAGUUUUGGCGCGCAAUAUGUUUUUAUUAUCAAUUUUCCAUAUGUACAACUUUAAUGUCAUCUUAUUUUUUAAAGUUAACGGUAAGAUUCUAGAGUGCUUAACCUACUUCCACGUGUAUAAGUUAUCAUUUUUAUUUAUUUUAUCUAUCAUGUAUUCAGUGCACUUGACAACUUUGUCAAACUUAUAAGAAAAAGUGUGACAAACUAAUAUUUUUGGUGCAACCCUACAUAUAUAUUUUUUUAAGUGCAUAUUUAACAAUAAUUUAUAUAUAUUAUUCAUGUUAAAUGAAUGAAAAUUUUUCUGGUUGUUUAUAUUAGUGGUAGUGCUAUUUUUAUUAUUAAAAUAAUUGUUGCUAAUGCAUAUAUAUAUAUAUAUAUAUAUAAAUAUAUACACUUGUCAAUUGUACUCUCUUAUUUUUGGCAUUCAAUUAAUUCCCUAAUUUUUGGCAUUCCCUUGGAUAGAUUUCUUAUUUCGUUUAAAUCCUACCUACCUACUUUGUAUGUGCGCAUUGUGUCACCAAUAAUCUUCAAAGAGCUAAGGUGGUUUGCUAAAUUUGUUUUAGUGCUUAAUUAUUUCACUUAAUUACUAUCUAUGUCUAGAGUUUCAACGUGCACUUGAUACGCAAAUGUGAAUAUAAAAGUAUAAUCAAUCAUUCCCUACCCCCUAACAACAUCUCAAAAUACUUAGAAAAACAUUAAUGUAUCAAAGAAAGAAAAGGGAAAGAAUGUCAAGUGUUACGUUGAUGUUUUACUUAAGGAAGUUUGAGGUUUCACCCCAAAAUUAAUUGGCAAUGGGUGAAGUAGCCAAACUCUUUAUAAACCCAGGCUAGGUCCUUUAGGGCCAAUUUCAUAACUAUUUCAAUUUUAGUUUUUAGUUUUCAUUUUUUGUGCUAGAGUAAAGAGGAAAAUAAGAGUGAGAUAUGGGAGUGAGGGUGAGAUUGAGAGAGAGGAUGAGAGGGGAGGAUGAUAGGGAGGAGUAACAAAAGUGAAAACAAAAACUUGAAAGUGAAAACAAUUUCAAAUAAAUUUCAGUUUUUAGUUUUUGUUUUCACUUCUGUUACUUCUUCCUCUCAUCCUUCCCUCUCAUUUUUCCUCUCAUUCCAUCUUCACUCUCAUUCUCACUUCCAUUUUUCCUCUUUUCCCUCUGUUCCCUCUAUACUCUAGCACAAAAAAUGAAAACUAAUUGAAACGGUUAUUCAGGCCUUUAACCUUUCAAUGUGGGACAAACACUUUCAACAUGCCACCGCACGUGCGGCAAACUUUUAAGCCUAACAUGUGGACAACUCAUAUUGGAUGACAUGAGAGCAUGACCACACACGCCCCACAAAUAUGGUGAAUUUUUAAGCCUUAUACGUGGACAACACAUAUUGGGUAACGUGGAAGCACGUGUGACCUUUAGGCUUAACACAUGAAGCCUUGCUCUGAUACCAUGAAGGAAGUUGAGGUUCCACCCCAUAAUUAAUUGGCAAUAGUAGAGAGUAGCUCAACUCCUAAUAAACAUAGGCUAAAUCCUUUAACUUUUCAAUAUGAGACAAACACUCUUAACAUUUACAAACACACUUAACUUUUCUGUAACAAUUUGCGGGCUGAACUGCAGUCCAGUGACAAUUAUUGGUGUAGUAUUUGUGCUUUAUUUUUUAUUUUUUAAGGGGAUUUGUGGGUUUAGAAUAUAGGCCUUAUAGAAUGUAUAUGAAGAAGUAUAAAAAUAGUACUGUAAUAACAAUGUGUCAUUGGAGUGUAAUAUAACAACAACUAUAUGAAGGAAAAGCACAUUCGAAGACUAUUUAUAAUUAGUGGCAAAUGCUAUUUCUACACUUCGUGUAGAAGAGCAAAUAACUUUAGCAUUAUGGCAAUGUUAUUUGAACUCCUCAAGAUUUUUCCUUUAAAUGGUGCUUAGUUUAUACUUUUACUUAUAUGCAAUUGUCAGUCAACUUUUUUACCUAUGAUUUAGUAUUGUUGGGAUAUGCUAAGCUAAUUCCUUAAUUAAUUUUUAUGUUUUUUUUUAUGUUUUUGUUUUUGUUUUUGUUUUUUUGCAGGAGGUAGUCUUGGCCCAUUUUCCCAUCAAGUGUGUACUAUGAAUUCAAGUGGGAACUUCUGUUUUCCUUCUCCUUUGUCGGGUAAUUCAAUUAACUUUGAGCCUAGGAGCUCUUCUCUAGGGUUCUUGAAUAAUUUUGUCAUUGAUCCUAACCAAAUUCGUGUUCGGUCACUUCCCAUACAAUCACCUGUUUUAUUCUAAUGAGUUAUAAAAUGAGGGUUUUACUAAUUUUUCACAAUAAUAAUACUUCAGAAGUAGUGGAAAGUAACCAUAUGCAACACAAUUCUCCAUGGAUACUUGAAAGUUCCCCAGUUGAAGCGCCUUAUUGCAAUACUUUUCCUUCUGCGAACUACCCAUUUUCAUCAUCAAUGCAUGUGGAAAGUGAUCAGGAUUUUAUUGGUGAAAAGAACAGAAACGACAAUGGUAUCAACAUUUUUGAAGAUCCAUUUAUGAGGUAAUAAUCAAAACUUACUUUUUAAUUUACAAUCCAUAUUUCAAAAGUUCAAUUAGGUUAAUUAAUCUAUUUAUGUUUUGUUCCACAAUGGUUAGUUACAAUUGCAUCAAUGAAGAAGACAAUGGUAGAUGUGGAGAAAAACCGACGGAAAGGCAACGUAAACGUCACUAUAAAAAUUCGAAGAACAAAAUUGUCCCAAGGGGUUCUGCAUUUUAUGGAGUUUCAAGGUAUGCUUAUACUAGUUUGUUUUGUUUUGUUAUAAUCCAUAUGUAAAUUUGAAUAAUUAUAUAUAUUUUCUACCACCUGUUCAUUAAGAACAUCUCAUAAAUUUAACUAGAUACAUUUAUAAUAUUUUCCAAAGAAAAAUUGUUCAUACGUACUAUUUUUCUCAGUAAUAUUUAUUGGCUCCGAAGAUUUAGAGAGAGAUUUUAAUAAUGAUAAAGAGAACAAUCAUAUCGCAUUACUCAACUACACCAGUUAAGGGAGAACUACACCAAUACUACAUGAAUUAUAGGCCUUGAGACAAUUUGUCGUCUAAAUGUCCACCUCAACUAGAACUUUGUUGUAACUUACUUCAUCUAUUGAACCGUAUUUGGACGUGGGAAAAAUUGUUACUCGCCAUUUCUAAACAGUCAUAUGCGAACCUCGUGAAAUUUUAUGGCCAUAACCCCGUGCAAUUUUAUGGCUGAAAUAAAAGAACGGAGUUAGUUGCAGGUAGCACAUUGCAACAAAUUCUAAUUGGGAUGAAAAAUUGACUCAAUUAUAACAUAAGUGAUUUUGCUUUUAAAAACAAGUAGAGGAGAGAUCACUUCGUUGAGAAGUGUGUGUGCCUUUAGAUAAGUGAGUAGAUAGCCUUCUUCAUGUAUUCAACGAAUACCUUAGUUGCUUAAAUUUAUAUACAUUAUAAUGUGACGAAAAGCACUCUCCAAUGAAUUUUGCAAAUGUAUAUAUACAUAACAAUGAACUUGCUAUAUAUACAGGUACACAGGAGGUCGUUAUGAAGCAUUUCUGUGGGAUAACACUGAACCAAAAAGUAAAGGCAAGACAGGUAUACCAACAUUAUUUCAUUAUCCAUUUCCAUCUUUUGCUUGCUAAUCAAGCAAUAACAUCUAAUUUAUCAACUAACUUUUUUCUUCUUCUUCUUCAUGUUUCCUCCAUCGACGACACGAUACCGCAGUUUAUAUUGGUGAGUGAAUUUCUUGUAUAACUCUUUAGUUUUAAACUUGAAAAGUUGCUGGCUUGUCAAUAGUUUCUUCUUAAUUUGGCAGGUGGAUUUGAAACAGAAGAGGAGGCAGCUAGAGCUCAUGAUCUAGCUGCUCUAAAGUUAUGGGGCGACUUUGCUACAUUGAACUUCACUGUAUGUUAAAUACUACAUUUGACAUCAAUAUGUUUUUGAUUUGCUUAUUGUUUAUUUUGAAUCAUAUUCCUCUUCUAAUGAUUUACCCUCCAUAUCUCUAUAUAUACUGUUGUAGCUGAAUGAAUACAAAAAAGAGUUGGGGGAGAUGCAGGGGAUGUCCAAACAAGACUAUUUUCUCCACAUUCGAAGGUAAACAGAAUAUGAGAGUAAGAUCUAUGUCUGAAUUUCUACAACUUAGUGGGGUUCUUCACUCGUGCUCUACUUUCUCGCUCUAAUUCGUCUUCAUAUGCCCGAAAAUUGCAUCCUUUUAUAGGCGAAAGACAUCCACAUCUUCCUUCUUGUUAGUAAUGGCCCCAAUUACUUGAAACUGAAUUGGUCUUCAUACACCAUUUAAUCCCAGUCGUAACUAGUAUAUGCUUUUAAAUGUUGCUUCUUCAUUUCUUUCUCUACUAAUUUAGCUGUAUCUUAAACUUGCCAUAUUUCAGAACAAGUGCUACUUUUGCCAAGGGUUUAUCUACAUAUCGUGGAGUGUCAAGGUAUUAUGACUAAUCCUCUCUCUCUCUCUCUCUCUCUCUCUCUCUCUCUGUGACAUAGUCAAGCCUUGAAACAGGAACUCGUACCAUAAGAAAUGGCAAGCCAGAUUAGGCAAAGGGGGAGGGCUCAAGGGAGUUUACCUGGGUACAUUUGGUAAGAUCCUAUAUGACCCUUUAUGCCUCAUUUUAUCUAAUGAUUGAUUUGAUGAUCAAGACCACAGCAAAAGAUGUUACAACUUAGCUACAAAAGAAUAUCCACAGUUGGCUUUAACUACUUGAGCUGAAUUAAUUAAUCAUUUUGCCAACCAACCAGCAACUGAAGAGGAAGCAGCAAGAGCUUAUGAUGUUGCCGCGAUAAGGAUGAAGGGCACAAAAGCAGCCACAAACUUUGAUCUAAGUCAAUAUGAUCUCAACAGCAUUUUUAACAGCGCAAAGCUUCCAAUUGGAAAGGGUGCUUCAAAGAAGUUAAGGUGGUCUUCAGUUGAUGAUGUCCUAGAAAACAGAAGAAGCAGUGGUGCUAAUGAGAAAAUUCCCAUUUUGCAACGAGAUGAGGAUUAUAGCACAGGCAUCUCUAGGCUGAGCUCAACAACUCAACCAUCAUCCUCAUUUGAGCCAACAAUUCAUCAAAACCAACCAACCCCCAAUAGUUCAAACCUCAAUCAAUAUAUAAGCCCUUUCUCCCAUCAUGCCCUCCAAAACACUGAUAUCCAAUAUAACCAACUUCCCCAGGACUUCAGUGUUAACCCUAGCUCUCAAGUUCAUGAUGUUUCUGGAUGUGAAAACCUUAACUUUCAGAGAAGCCCUAGUUUAAAUCAGUGGGUUGGUACUUAUGGAGGAGGUGAUAAUUCAGAGGGGAGCGGUUUCAGUGUUGGAGGGUCUCAAAUUUAUGGGAGUUUGGAUGGUGAUCCAACAAUGAGACAGUCUGUUGAUAGAAAUUCAUCAGGUUUCAGUUUUGGCAGGGAUGUUGAGAAUCAUGAGUUUGAUCAGUUACAUCAGUAUAACAGUGAUUCCUACAGCCAAUACCUCAACCAAAACCCUAGCUUCUCCUCCCUUCUUCAAGACUCCAUGCAGGUUCCUAAUUAUCCUCAAACAUUUUACCCCACUUUUCUUCCUGGGUUGACUAACCUUGAUCCAGGCGCUACCUAUGUCGGAGAAUCUUCCCGUAGCGUUAGUCAGGUUCCGGAGGUGAGUUUGGAGGCCAUGUUGGCGGAGACUAAUCAGAGUUGUGGCAAUGGCAUCAUCAAUGAAGUGUUUUCUCUUGAUCAUGAAGUACCUGUUAAUAUUAUGGAGGGAAACUCAACAGUACAACCAGGAUAUGCUGAAAAUGGAAAUUUUGUUGAAGACUUUGGGGUGGAGAAAUCGGCUGGCUUGGACCUUGAUGAUGACUUUCCUUCUAGCUGGGUGGAGAUGUUCUUGAUGACCUUAGAAGGUUCUGAUUGUCAUGUGUGAAAGGUAGCUUGGUAGGCAAGAGUAGAUGGUGUGACUUCAACUGGGAAGAUAAGUGGAAAGAGUAUAAGAAACCCAUUGAUGAUUGAACAACCCGCUGAUAUUUUUAAUUUGAUUAAGACUAGUUUUGUUUGAAUUUAUCUUAGUGGACCCGCUAUUUUGCAAUGUUUGAACUUUGAUGUUUUACUUUGGCUGCUCUUUUUUUAUCCUAUUGUAAAGCUCCCAUAAUUGUUUGGGCUAACCACAGUGCCUGAGAAUGAUAGUGAAUUUGCAUAUAUAUAUAUAUAUAUAUAUAUAUAUUAAGAUUAUACAAUAUUCUGGGAGUGGGUUGCAAAGGUUUUUUUUAAAGGAUUUUACAAUAUUAGAAUUUUUUUUAUUUUAUAGAAAACCAAUAUUAUAACAUUAUGCAAAUUCACUGUCAUUCUCAGGAACUCUCGUUAGCCCAAACAAUUAUGGUUGCUUUAUAUUGAAUUUUGAAUUUAUCCUUGAAAUUUCUCUUGUUUUCUCCUUUUUUGGGCAUGAAUUUUUGCUUGUUCGGGGUUCGGCAUUUCUUUUGGGCCUCUGCUUUCAACAAUAUCUGUUGGAUGCAAGAAUUCUAUAGCGAGCGCCGUAUAUAAGGCCCUCAUUAUAGAAUGACUCAUGUUAGAAGUUGAAAUGCAUUCUUCCUUUUUUGGGAGGAUUCUAUAAUGAGGGCCUUAUAUGUCGAGGGGGGGUGUGUUGAGACUCGAGAGGUUCAAUCUAACUGGAUAAAAUAGCUCUGCAAUUCAUCUGAUGGCAAGUAAGAACCCCUCAACUUUCCCUUGGGGGAGCAAACUGGUUGCUGAGACUAUUGUCCUGCAAUUAGCUCCCCUGCUUCGUUUCUAAUAACAGCAACCAUCCCCCUCUUAGUUACCUUGUCACCACAAGCUCCAUCGAAAUUCAACUGGAAGAAAGAAGCCAGUUUUGCAAUGUGAUAGUCUCCAUAGAAUAUGAUGCCAAUAUCUGAACUUGAAGAAACAAGCUCCAUCAAAAUACAAGAAGAAAAGGUAGAUAUUCUUACUACUCUUGUUCAUUUCAUUUCAUUUCACUUCACAAAAUUCUUCCUUAAAAACCAAAUCUGCAUCGCCAACCACGGCAUAAAAAAAGAUAUCUGUAGCUGGAAUGAAGCCUCCCAAUUUCAAUGCAAUUGGGUUGAGAAAACUAAACACUUGUGGCAUUUGACAAGUCUUGAGUGUCCUGAAGCCCUGAAGCUGAAGAUAGUUUUUAAAGAAAAACAUAGGGCGUGCUUCCUGUAUGAGUCCACAAGAAGAUGAUCCUAGAGUUUGAUCUCCAAUCUUGGUACAGGUAAUAAACAUGGAAUCUAUUUGCACAAUCCACAUUUGAAAAAUCAGGGCCACUAACAUGCAUUAUGACUAUUAUUAAUCUUGACAUCAGAUAAAUUUUUUGGCUCGCCAGUGACAUGUACAACAUGAAAAACUGUACUCAUAAACUUGAUAGCAGUUUCUUUAUUACAUACACUUAUUGAUUUAGAUAAUUACCAACACAAUCUAUAUAUGAUUUAGGCAUUUCUCUUGCUAGAGGCAUACAAAUUCUACGGUUGAAGGAACCUUUUCUAUAAGCUGCUGCCUAGCAAGAUUUCUUGCAUUUUCUUCCCUCUCCACUUCUUCAAUAGUCUUCUUUAUUCUGUGCUUAGGAAAACAAUAAUGUGGUUCGAUAGGAUCAGCAGGAUCAAUAACAAUUUUCUCCAGUUGAACAGCAUUCUCUAUCAAGUACUUGACAAUUUCAAAAUCACUUGCACGACCAUCAUACCCUCCAAUUUCCACUACCCUAAGGUACUCAUGGGAGCAUUUGGAUGCCUUCUUAAAUCUCGUUUCUCUUCUCUCGCAUAACGGGUACAACUGCACCAAGGAAACAAUACAACAAGAACCAAAAGUUCCAGGAAGUCUAUAGCCACCGAAUAGAACUAUCAUUAAACUCAAAAGUCUUUUGAGUAAAAGUGCACAACUUGGGAACUGGAAGCUACAUUACCAUAAUUAGCUACCAAAUAGAAUUACCAUUAAGGCAAGCUUGUAAAUCUUUAGAACCUCAAAUUCAAAACAUAUUCAGGGUUCUUUCAUCUAGGGAUCCCAAUUUUAAGAAAGGAAAUGGAUUGCAAGUGCACCAGCUCCUCAAUACGAUUACAUAAAAGGGAACAUAACACAUAAUAGUAAAACAUGACUAUGACCAUAAGUAACUAAUUCAUAAAUCUUCCAAAAUUCAGUUUCAUACUCAAUACCACAUAACAGCAAGGCCUAUAUCUUAAAAAAUUUAUGCCCAGAAAUCCCCUAAACUAGCUUUGUGGACUUGGAUUCUUAACUGCCCUGACUACUUGACCAGUACCUCAUAAACAAAAUCACCAAAGUGCAGAUACUAAUACUAAGUUUUACUGGUACAGGAAAUAGAACUAAAUAAAAAUAUGUACCUCCAACACAAGUCUCUGCAAGUACGGAGAUGCCUUAAUGAAAGAAGCCAACUGUAGAAGGAUGAAGCAAUCAUUUGCUUGAAAUUUUAGUUCCAAUUGCUUGAGAUUUGCUAGUACAGGAAAUACAUGAUUCCUUUCUUGGAACUGAAAACCAAACAAACAAGGACUAAGGCACUAACAGAAACCAACAAGAAGAAAGUAAAACCAACACUUAAAACUUAGAUAUACUAACCAGAAGUCCGUUCAGUUUGAGAAUCUCUAGCUGAGAAAGACAGCAUGAAAGUUGAGUGAAGGCAUCCCCUAUGCUCUUAUAGGAAAAAUCACAUACCUCAACAAGAUGUGGUAGAUUCCUAAGAAGCAUGUUUAUCUCACAUCCAACAUAAAUAAACGAGACUAGGUUUGUGUCACAUAUCUCAAUGCUUAUGAAGCUGGAACAUUGCUCUAUCACUAAGUACUUCAAUGAAAUCGAUGGACCAACAACUCUUAGAUUGCGUAAAUUUGGUGAAUCAUCCACUAAUAAUCGUUCAAGAACAGGACAGUUGGACAAGAAGUACUCAAGAACUUCUUCCUCCACAUCAACACUUUUGAAAUUAAGAACUGUGAGGGACUUAAAGCCAAUGCAUGCACAACGGUGGAGACUUGGAAUAUCAGAACACAAGUGCUUCAAAGUGGACUCUUUUUUUAUACCUAAAAGUUCAUGGGGAAAAAUGUAGCACGGAAAGAACUUCCGAGGAAAAACACCAUAUGAUAACAAGUCCAACUCAAGCAUUUGAACUCCCUUUUCCAUUGCAAAUUGAAUCCAUUUAUCAAGGGAACUUGAAAACUUAGGAUCAAGAUCGAAACAAAUCCUGAAUGUUUCAACCAUUGGGCCUCGAUGAUGUUCCACCACAUUAUUCACCCAAUCAACGUACCUACAGAUUAACAAGUCUCGUGCUCCUGCUCUGAGGUUAGACAAUCUGCAUAAAGUUUUCUCAGCAUCAAAGUCGAGAGUCCUAGUAGAUGCUAACACAUGCCGCCACAGAUGCUGCCAUCGCCUAGAAAGGACACUGGUAGCUUGUGCUUCCUUUAGUGACAAGAGAGACAGUAUACUAACAAGGACUUCAUUUGGCAAACUACUAAUUCUGUCCAAGCCCAAAAUGUUGUUGCAUUCAUGCUUAUUUUUCUUUCUAUCUCUCAAGUUGUAACCCCCCUAUGAAAUGAAUGGAACCACACAAAAAAAAAAGUCAAUUAGGAUUAAGGACAGUAACCAGGUACUCUUCUCUCUUUCAAAAUUCCCUUAAAUUAUGAAAUCUAUUUUACAAAAGAGACCCAAAUAAAAAUCAAAACGAUCGGAAAAACAAAAGCCAAACCAAAAAGAGGAAAUUAUACACUCUUUGAUAGAAAUUAAGGAGAGAAUUUAAACAAAAAGCUUCUUUUUUGUACUAGUUAGAUAUAUGGGAAGAAAAAAGAUGCAAACUUCAUAGUAUUUUUACCUGUUCUUGGGCAAAUUGAGAAGUUGGUCGACGCACCCUUUUCUUCAUUGAAUCUGACAGUGGUUUUUUCCUCUUUGAAAAUCUUAACCUGAAAAGGGUCUUCUUCUAACUCACUGCUACAGCAGGCAAGCGAGUCAGCGAGUGGAAGACGAGUUAGUGAUUUUGGGAAGAGGGUGGUAUUGGAUUUAGGUCUUACUGUUCUGUGUCGUCUUCAUCUCUCUCUCUCUCUCUCUCUCUCUCUCUCUCUCAAUGCUAUCAGCUCCGACACUCAUUUUCGGCUCUCAAUAAUAGCCAAGUCUUGUUGGACUUUCUCUGUGCUUUGUCUGGUUUCGAGGGAGGCCCUGUUGGGCCCUUUUUGCAUAUUCUUGUUUCCUUUUAUUUUUAUUUUUUGAGAGGCUUGUUUCCUUGUAUUAAUUGUUGUUGGAAAAAAAAAAAAAAAAAAAAACUUGGCUCUGGAGCUCCUCUUUACCAAUAUGGUUUUGACAAUUGUCAAAUUCGUUUAACCUUUUUUUUUUUCUUGGAAGUUUUUACUAGAAUUUGACAAUACGAUUGCUGAUUUGGGACGUCAAACACCCAAUUUGUGGCCAUAUAAACAUUGGAUCCCACCAAUUCUUCCAUUAAAUUUUUGUGAAAUAGACCGAACAUGGGAAUACAAUUAAUAUGCUUCAAAGUUGCAUCUUUUUAUAAGCGGAACAAAUUAUCGUUUUUCUUCUUAUGAAUUAAUACAACUUCCAACUACUUUAUACUGAAUUACAUCUUUUUAUAGGCGAAAUACAUUAUUAUCUUUCAUCUUCACACACUCUUUAGUCUUUGUUAUACCUAGUCUUUGUUAUCCUCUUUCAUCUUUUUAAUCAUUUGCAAUAAUUGUGGGCAUUCACAUUUAUAUUGCAACAGAAAUCAUGUUUUUUUUUUUUCACAUAUAUUUCCUAAUGAGUAAUGCUACACUUACCACAUUAUUAUCCUACAUUUCUGCACUAUAUGAUGUGACAUAUCCAUAUCAUAUGUCACAUCAAUUAAAUGAAUGAAGUGUAUUUUAAUAAAUAAAAUUAGAAAAACAUAAACUAGUUACAUGAUGUAGUAUGUACACAUCAGUUGCCACAUCAUGUAGUAUAAAAUUGUGGUAUAAAAAAUGUAGUAAGACUAGUAUUAUUCUUUCCUAAUUGGCUAAAAUGCCAACUUUUAAACAAUAAAUAAAUCAAAACUAUUCAUUUAUAGAUAAUAAAAUUCCAUAAAAUUCAACUGAAACCUACAUCAAUAAAAAAGAAAAACAAAUUAACAAAGACCAACACACAAAAUCACUCCAAGAAUAGGAAAGGUGUAUAAAUUCCACAUGUUGUGGACAACCGCAGUACAUUGCUGAGCCUAACAAGCCGAGGACUAAGAGCAAAAUUUAAUUAAUUAAGCCCCUCAAAUUCCAACUCCAAGUCCCCAAAAUAAAAAAAAUAAAAACCAUGAAUCUUGAUCCUUACUUUCAAAUCAACUAGUUAAACAACUUUCAAUCUGGGUGAUUUUUGGAGAGAUGAACUACAAUUAAGACAUGAAAAUUAGACAGUUACAUUAUUGAAAUAUAUUACAGAGUGAGACCUAUAGGAUGCCCCUCGAAUUAUUUAAGGAAUUCCUCAAUUAAAGCCCCUAAAUAUGCGUGUAUAUAUAUAUAUAUAUAUAUAUAUAUUCCUAUAGAAAAAGAAAAGAUGUCAAACCAAAAAGGAGUGUAUAGACAUAAGAGAAACAAUGAGAGAUGUUUUAGUACCCAGCCACUAUAUUAUGUGUACAAGAUACACAACUAACAUAUUAGCCCAACAGUUUAUCAAAACAACUCCUAAUAUAUUCACAUGAGUUAAAUGGGUACCUUGGCAUGCAUGUUCUUGGUUAGAAGCUCUCGAGAAUCAACACCCAUAUUCUAACAACUCCAGCUCAAAUAUAUAGCAUUUGAACUCUUCUUUUCUAUCAUUGAAAAUUGAAUCCAUUUAUUAAUGGAACUUGAAACUUAUCAUCUAGGUCAAAAACAACACCUAAAUUGCUCCAUGACUGGGCCUCUAUGCUGUUAACAUUCACCCCAUCCACGUAACAAGGCACUUCAAGCUCUUCUGCUUCUGGUUCUAGGUCAAGCAAACUGCACAAAGCUUUCUCAGCCUCAGCCUCGAAAGGACACCAGUAGCUUGUGCUUCCUUCAGCGGCAAGAGAGACAGUAUACUAACUAAAAUUGCAUCUGGCAACUCACUGAUUCUGUCCAACAACUUGUUGUGGCCAUGCUUACUUCUCUUUCUCUUUCUCAAGUUAUUGUAACCACCCUAUGAACAUGAAUUGAACCACAAACAAAAAGAAAAAAAAAGUUAGGUAAUCUUUGUUUCUUUCAUGAUAAAUAACGAGAGAAAAUAAAAAUAAAAAUUAACACUGUUUAAUUUUUCGUUACCUGGUAUUGGAGAAACUGAGAAGUUGGUCGAGGCCUCUUUUUUUCCAUUAAAUCUGAGAGUGGUACUUUUCAAGGUCUCACGGAUAUAGCGAUGGUGGCGAGUAACAAGCAUAUAGUUAGAGAUUUUGGAACUUGUUUAUUUUAUUUCCUUUUCUUUUUGGGUAUUCUCAAAAUUAUUAGCAUAACUGAUUGAGGAAACUAUAAAUUGAUUUGAGCGUGAUCAUUAAUUUGAUUCGAUAUUGAUAAUUGAAGUCUCAAAUGGGAAACACCAUUAAGCACUUGUAGGGAAGGAAGUCUUGCAGCUUAAAAAAAAGAUAUAUUUAAUCAUAUACCCAUUCUUAGCACUAAAAUUAUAAAUAAACUCUACAUCAUUUAAUUUUCAUAAACAUACCCAAAAAAACCCAAAAAAUGACAGGUGUACAUAUUGAAUUUAAUUUUUAUUAUUAAAUAACUUUGAUACCUUAUUGUGCGUUUUGGGUUUUUUUAUAAGAUUUUGGGGUUGGGUUUGUUUUAAGAAAUCAAUGACAGUUUUGUAAUUCAAAAGAAGUUAAAAACAUUUUUGUUAUGUUGUAAAUGGGCAGGUGUGUUUCUAAAGUCCAUUUCAUAUAGGUUUUUUUUAAAAAAAAUUUGGGCCCCUAUAUUGGGUAUAAUAGUGAAUCUCCUUAAAAAAAAAAAUCAGAAUGUUUUGACUCAAAAAAAAAAAAAUCAGAAUGUUAAUUAAUAGGCAAAAAGUCACUUUUGGUCCCUGUAAUUUGCCACUUUUAUCACUUUGGUCCAUUUUGUUUUAAUUUUGUCAAUUUUAUCCUUGUACUUUUAAUUUCGAGCAAAUCAAGGAUAAUCGUGAUUUUUUGUCAAAUUCUUUUAACGCUUGUUAUGUUUUGGUCACGUGCCCCUCACGUGGAGGGACAAUUUCGUCACUUCGUGCCCACCUAAAAGCUGCCCUCUCUCCUUUCAUGUUCAGAUAAGACUUUGGAAUUGUGGGAAAUGAUUCUGGAAGAUGCCUAGUUUUCAAUGGUGAAAUGAGAAUAACAAUUUCAAAGACUGAUAGGAGUCAUGGAAGAUGAUUCUGGAAGUGCAAUACAUUAUAUGUAAUGUCAAAUUUUGGUCACUGUGUUUAGUUAAUCCACUCCUUAAUUGUUUGAAAACCAAACAUAUUAUUGGAUUUCUCAUCUCCAAUUCAGUCCAAUUCGACUACAUAAUACAAUCCAAUUCCAAACCACAAACAUAUGCCCUUCGAUAGGGGUGGGCUCAAUUUCAAGUCAACCUGACCGAAGCACCCAACUCGAUUAUAAGAAGAUUGGGUUGGUUUGGGUUGGUCUAAUAAUGAACGGGUCUUGAGUCUAAGAAAUCAUAAACCACUGUUUGCAGGUUGGGUUAUGAGUUGAAACCAAAACUUAAGAGUAAUCAUAAUUUUGAAUUAACCUGACCAAACCGCCUAACUCAAUCACAAAAGAAUUUGGUUGGGUUGACCUAAUAAUGAGAAGGUCUUGAGUCCAAAAAAUCAAACACCGAUAUAUAUGAAUUGUAUUACGAAUUAGGACCAAAGCCAACCCACCCCUACCCUUUGGAUUAUAUUUUUACCAACUCUCCUUUUUACCAACUCUCAGGCAAGCCAGGUAUGUUAAGGCCAUCCCCAAUGGGGGCUCUAUUCGGGGCUCAACCACCACAAGGCUCCAAUAUUCAAUUAAACAACUUGUUUGAAAGGGACAAUUUGUUCCAUUAUUCGAUUAAACAACUCAGUCCUCAUGCGAAAUCUAUUACGAAAAUCUGAAGGGGGAUACAACGGAUGGUUAGAAAAGUAAUUUUGGAAAAGGUUUUCAUGGGCACUUACUCGAUCUCUUGGUAUAGUGCGUCGUCAUGAUGAUGUACCCCCAUGGACAACCAUCGGGGUCUUCUCCUUCUUCUUCGCUGCUUUUUUCCUUCGGUAGUUUUCUAACAUUUCCAAAAACAUUAUGUUGGCACCUGUCUCAUCACUAGAAGAGCUAUCAUAUCCAUUGUUGGCCAUUUUAGUGCGAUGGUAGAAGAAUGAAUAUUGAGAAUACAAGAGUUGGGAAGUGGUGUGUUAUGAAAAUAAGAUGGUUGUUCAUUUAUAGAGGAUGUGAUGGUUUAAGAGAUAACAAAUAUACGGAUAAGAUUCAUAUGAGGUAAUUCAAUCCAAUGGUUAUUGUAAGAUGUAAUUUGAAGAGAUUAGAUUUUUUAUCUGAAGCCAUAGAAUGAGACCCACAUCCAUCUACCACUAUUAUUAUCUGACAAAAGUAAAAGGCAUAGGAAUGAAAGGCCAUCACGAAGGGGACAUCACCAUGCCUACCACAAUUAUUAUCUAACAAUGUAAAUAAGAGAGGGGUGGAAAGCCAUAAUGCAAGGGACCCAUAUCCAACUUUGGGAUGACCAUUGUAUCUAUGAAAUAAAAUGUUGAUUUCCAAAUCUUGUCCAAAUUUUGAUUUUUUUUGGUUGAAAUAUUCACACAAAAAAAAGAACUAACAUAACAUGAACAAACAUUAAAGUAAAAUAGUUAACAAAAAAAAAAAAAAAACCACGUAAAUCAAAUUACAUCAUAAAAAAAUAUAGAGCCCGCCAUGAAUAUAGAGUUUUCCAUUAUAAGAGAGAUUUCUUUAAAGUCCCAAAAAUUUCAUCGGAGCACUAAAAGGGGCUCAUAGCCCCAACCAUUAGGGAUGGCCUAAGAGCCCAAUCAAUGAAGCACCGGGCCUUAAAAAGAGGACCCCCACACCCCCGACCCCCCCCCCCCAUAAAAUUGGACAAUUCAAGUUCGUACGAAGUUCGUUCUAAAAUGAAGUGGUUAGGGUAUUGCAUAGUUAUAGCCCUUGAUUUUCACUCAAAAAUCACCAAAUGACUCCUCCCAUUAUAUUAUGAGGUUGCCCACGUUUUGGACUCAAUCCAAUAUCAAUUGGUCCAUGAAAUUGGACAAUUCAGGUUCUCACAAAGUGCGUUAUGACAUGGAGUGGUGGUGUAUUGCAUAGUUUUAGUCGUUGUAUUUCACUCAAAAGGCACCAAAUGACUCCUCCUAUCAUAUUAUCUUGUUCCACAGGUUUUGGACUCAACCGAUAUCGAUAGGGCCAUGAAUUUGGCACUUCAGGUUCUCACGAAGUCAAUGUGAGAUGUAUUGCCUUGUGUAUUGCAUAGUUUGAGCCUUUGGAUUUCACUCAACAGGCACCAAGAGAAAUCCUCCAAAUAGAUUAUCUUAGUCCACCGGUUUUCGUACUCAAUCCGAUUGCAAUUGAGCCAUUGAUAUUUGGGACAAUUCAGGGNNNNNNNNNNNNNNNNNNNNNNNNNNNNNNNNNNNNNNNNNNNNNNNNNNNNNNNNNNNNNNNNNNNNNNNNNNNNNNNNNNNNNNNNNNNNNNNNNNNNCCCCCCCCCCCCCCCCCCCCCCCCCCAAAAAAAAAAAACAAAAAAAACAUGUACUUAAGUGAAGAACAAAACCAGAACUGAAGGGCAAAGCAGGCAAACAGUUGCCAACGUUGGACUGGACGAGGAUAUCAUCACUCAGCAAAAUCCCAAUGAGGAUGGGCACCUGUGAGCCGCUGUUUUUGUUGGCUCCUCGAAAUUGAUCAAAACUGGGCAGAGCCUUCGAAACAUCAGCCAUUCUUCCUCAAAGCCUCGUUCUUUGGCCGGGAGAUAUCUCUUGUUCAGCAAAACCACAACUUUUGAAUCAAGUUCACGCCUCAAUUUUCUUCAAAGCCUCAAUCUUGAGCCAGAUACCAACAAGGGUAGCUUUAGCUUCCGCCUGAAGAACUCAAUGAGCCAUAAGGCUGAGAUUUUUCCCUGCUGAUAAAGCUCGCUGAUGAGUUCUGGUCAUAACCCAGAAGAAAAGGAAAAAAAAAGAAAGCAAUGCAGGUAAGCAAUUCUUGCCCUUGAAUGAAUUACUUGUUGAAGAUUCAUUCUUUUUUACAAGACACAAUAGAACUAAAUGUUCCUCAGAUUGAGGAUGGGUCUGGCGUAUAGGAAACAGAGGAUUUUUAACAUUUAUUCUUUUAAAAAUAUGAACUUUAUUUUUUUAAAUAAGAUAAUUUCCUCAUUUUUAGCAGUGACUUCCACUCCCCGUAUAAUCUAAUCUUCCAUGACCUUUUGUCAAUCUGGGGGGAAGAUGGUUGGUUCUCCAUGGUGUGCCUGCAAGGCUUGUCCAUGCCCAAGAAGCUCUAGAACCGUGUGUUUAGAGUUGAGGUCUCUUUAUCAGCCUUUCAUAUUCUUUAAAAUUCUAUCUCUGACAUAGCAGAAAAGCCUCUUUCUUAGGACAUAGCAGAAAAGCCUCUUUCUUAGAGCUAUCCCAUAUAGUGCGAAGCCCUACAUAUUUUCCUGGAUUCACUGUCACAUUGAUCUUGAGUACGCAGACAUUUGUUGGAAGUUAGGAGGAGUACUAGGCUGAAAAAUGGACUUGACUUAUUAUAGUUCACCAAACAAGCUUGUACAUUACAAGAUAGAUCCAGGAUCCUGGCCAUUGCCUUGCUAUUUUCAACAGCCGCGUUCACAAAAAUAGAGAAUCAUCUACAAGUAGCAGAUGACCCAACAUUGGGCCAUUCUUAUAAAGUGUCACCCUUUGUGACCUUUUAGCUUGAAAGGACUUUUGUACCAUUUGAGAUAAAGUUUCACCAACAAAAAGAAAUAGAUAGCAGGUAAGGGAUCCCCCUGUCUUAUGCCUCUAUUUGAUGUAAAUUUCCUGCUUGGAUUCCCAUUUCCCAACACUGAGCUGAUUCAUUUCAGUUUCACAAUCAAACCAACCCAAGAUCGAUUAAACCCCGUUUUGUGCAUUUUUUUUAUAUAUAUUCUUUACUUCAUAAUUUAAGAGAAUCAAGAAAAAGAGAAGAUCACUUGUGACACUCAAACUAUUUUUAUUUUUGUUUUUUGCUCGGUUCAUAGGGUGAUUACAUCUUGAGAAAGAGUAACAAAAGUAAGUAUGAUUACCACCUGGCAGACCGAAUCAGUGAGUUGGCAGAUGAAAUUCUUGUUAGUAUACUGACUCUCCUGCCGCUAAAUGAAGCAGCAACUACUAGUAUCCUUUCUAAGCGAUGGCGGUAUCUGUGUCAGUAUGUAUUGGCAUCUACUAUGACUCUCAAAUUUGAUGCUGAGAAAACUUCAUGCAGUUUGAUUGACCUCAAUCGAGAAGAACGAGAACAGAAAAUCCGUAGGUAUGUUGCUUGGGUGAAUAGUGUGGUGGAGCAGCAUACAUGGCCAAAUAUUGAACAAUUCAGGAUUGCUUUUGAUUUGGAUAAUAGCUUUUCAAGUUCCAUUAAUAAAUGGAUUCAAUUUGCACUGAAAAAAAGAGUUCAAAUUCUUGAGUUGGACUUCUCAGAAAAUGGCAUUCAUCAUAGACAGAAAUCCUGCUAUAAUUUUCCCCAUGAACUUUUAGGUCUCAACAGAGGGUCUACUUCUACAGCUGUGUGUUGUGAAAUUCCAAGUCUAAACCCUUGUGUAUACCUUGGCUUAAAGUCAAUCAGAGUUCUUCAUUUCAAUUUUGUUGAUGUGGCUGAAGAAGUUCUUGAGUGCUUCUUGUCUAAUUGCCCAGUUCUUGAACGGUUAUCAGUGUUUCACUCCCCAAAUUUGGUAAAUUUAAGGGUUGUUGGUCCAUCGAUUGCAUUGAAGUACCUAGUAAUUCGACAAUGUAACAGCCUUGAAAGCAUUGAGAUUUGUGAUGCAAACCUGGUUUCACUCAGUUAUGUUGGAAAUGAGAUAAGCUUGCUUCUUAGGAAUGUGCCGCUGCUUGUUGAGGUAUCCAUUUCUGAGGACUGUAUCUGCAAUAAUUUCAUAGAGGUUGCCUUCACUCAACUUUCGUGCUGUCUUUCUCAGCUAGAGAUUCUCAAACUGACUGAUCAAAUAGUGGUUAGUACUUAGUAUAUGUAAUUAUCAUGUAUUAGUUUUCCUUCUCUUUGUUGGAUUAUAUUAGUCCCUUACUCCUUGUUUCUUUUUCAGCCCUACAAGAGGGAUCAUAUAUUUCCUAUAUUAGCAAAUCUAAAGCAUUUGGAAAUGAUAUUUGAAGAAGACAAUGUUUGUGGCCUUCUUCAGUUAACUUCCUUCUUUAGGGCAUCUCCGUGCCUGCACAGACUUGUGUUGUACUUGCAGGUAUGCAUAUUCUCACUUGGUAGGUUAUUUUCUCAGUAAAACUUGGUAGUUGUAUGUGUACGUUGGGUGAUUUUGUUUCUGAGAUUCACUGGAUGGUUUUGAACUUUUACCAUCCUGUUAUGUGAUGCAUCUUUUACUUUCAUUGUGAAACGUGCAUUUUCUUCAUAUAGAAUUGCAAAAUCAUGUUAACCACUGUAAUUAAUGAGGUAAAAGGUUAUAUGUUCCUAGAACCUAACCCUCCGUUUGGAUGAAGUAAUUGAAAAUUACAUAGAAUUGUAAAAUGACGGAAUUUAGAUUUCCAUCAUUUCAAUUUCUGGCAAUUGAAGAUUUCAGUGUUUGGAUUUAUGCAUGUCGAAUUCUGUCAAUGACGGAAUUUUGUAAAUAGCACCAUGGAAAUUGUGAAAUGACGCCUAUAUUGUGGAAAUUAAACUCGGGAAUUUGAUGCCCUAAUUUCCACGGUUUUUUCCUCGCGUCAUUUAAUAAAUUCCACGCUUAAGUUGCCAAACAACGGAAUUGUCAAUUUCUCUUCUUAAAUUCCCGACUUUUAGCCAAAUUCUAAGUUAUUUUCCCUCAUCCAAACGAAGGGUAAUUGAAAUUUCAUCAAUUGAGAUCUGUUAUAUUGUUCACUUGAUAUUGGACGCCAGCACGCACACAUCCCAAUUGUUUCUUUCUAUUGCCAUGAUUUUUUUAUUCAAUACAUGUGUUUCAUGGCUUACACAUAUAAUGUCCUUAUUUAAGUUGAGUGUCCCUUUGAAAUGUUAGGCUCUUUAGUUUAAACUUCUGUGUUAACAUUAUUUCUUCAACCUAUUCUAUAUAUAUAUCUUCGCAGUUGAUGAAUUUAAUUUUAUGUUUGUUGAAAUGAAUUUUAUUUCAGAGAGGCUGUGUUUUUAUAAUGAACGUUUGGAUUAGUGUGGUAGAUUCUGGUUUAGUUAAUUUAUUUGAAUCUGUCCCAUUAACAAAGUAUCUGUGCUUCCCUUUUGGUCAGAAAAUCAGUCUCAAUGAGGUAGAUAUUUGUGUCAGGAAUGAAUAUUCAGAGGUAAAUGGAUGUCAAAUAUAAAUAUUUGAAAUCCAUAGGUAGACUGUUCUGCCACUGUUUCAUAUUCUGGAAUAUAUUUUCACUUCUACUUCUGAAGACUUGUGAGCUUAAUGGUAAUACUAUUUGGUAGCUAUUGACUCAAUGCAAAAGUUGUUUCCUGCUCACAAACUUGUCUUCUUGCUGCAGAUGGACUACACAAAAUCCAUGAGAAGGAAAAUAAAAUAUAAGAAGGCCAAAUGCUCCCAUAAUUACCUGAAGAUAGUGGAAUUGGUAGGGUAUGAUGGUCACACAAGUGAUUUUGAACUUGUCAAGUACUUGGCAAAGACUGCUGUGAAACUGGAGAAAAUUGUGAUAAAAGGAGAAGAGGAGGGCCCAUGGAGAAAAAUGGCAAGAGAUGUUGCUAUGCACCGGCUUAAAGAAAAGGUUCCUUCAACUAUAGAAUUUGUAUACCGGUAGGCAGUAGGAGUGCAGUGCUUAAAUUAUCUAGAGAAUUUGUUGGUAAUUGGUGGUUAAAUUAACAAACAUUUUAAGGUUUGUUUUAUUGAUUUUAGGAAAUAAGUUAAGAAUGAGGUUCAACGAAUAUGGAAUGGACUGAGAGGUUGAGGACUUAUUGAUCAAAUCCAAAAUAAGUUUAUUUUCCUUUCAAUAUAUGUUAUCAAACCAUCCCUAAAAACUACCAAGGCUAAGAGGACUUGCUUGUUUCUUUAACGGAAAAAGCUUGGAUUCUUAAAACUGAGGAGGUGAACCUUGAAACACUUGAUGGUGAACCUUUUGGGAAGGCCUGCAAGUAACAAAAUCAAACAAAAAUAAUUGCACGAACACCAAAUUUGUUCACCAAAUAAUGUGUUGGUUUGUGUGUCAAUAUCUAACUUGUCAGAAAUUUUACCCAUUUAUGCAUAUUAAAUUAAACUUAGCACAACAUAGGACAUUGAAGUUACAACUCUAGUACCAAACUUCGAACAUGAUUCCAAUAAUGAGACUGCUAAGUUAGGAGAUGGUUAAAAAUCCACCGGUUUUAGUAGAACCGAAAAUUUGAAGUCCAUGCAUUCUUGCAUUUCGUAAGCAUGCAAGUGCAGGUACGGACUCAACAUAUGCACAAAUCAUAAGGCCAAUUUGUUUCAAAAAUGACCAAUGCAAGUUGCAUUUCCUGCUUCAGAUACUACUCAAGAACCAACAGCCACACAACGAAUCAGAACAGAAACACCAGAUUGUUUCCUAUUGUCCGAAAGCAACCAUCACUUUCCUCUUGCAACAAAAGUCUGCUCUCAAGAUAUUCAAAGUGAUCAAGACUGGGGAAAAAAACUCUGCAAGUAUUUCUUGCAUACAUUUUGCAAGCAGAAAAGGGUGAAGAAGAAAAGAUAAUUGAGUUCUUAUUAUACUCCUAAACUAAAAACAUUUUGUUCAAUCCAUGUGUUUCCUCUUGCCUAUGCUACACCAAAAAUGAUAGAAAAUAGCUUUAAAAACUUCAAUUCAUCUUUUAGCAUCUUCAGAAGCUGGGGUCUUGCCCUCCUGAUCCUGCAAGUGAGCAUUAGGAACCGGAUGCUGACCUACUACCCACUCUUUGCUGAGGGCUGGUCCUGGUUCUACAGAAUCCUGUUUACUGGGGGGAUCUUUCUCAACCGGCUUGCUAGAUUCUGAACUACUACGGCUACUUGCUUCUGUUACAAUAUCUUUCUUCUCAUUUCCUCCUUCAUGCUCUUUUGUUUGGCCACUAUUCAUUUGCUUCUUUGAUUCAACCACAAAUUCCUUCAGAGUUUCUUCAAGUUUAUCUAGUCUCACUCUUACCUCCAAAAGUUCUGGAUUAGAGGCUUCUUUUUCUUCAGCAGCCUUUAGUUCUAUUUCUUUUUCUUUUGCUUUCGCUUCUUCUUCUUUCUUCUUUUUCUGCUCCAGUUCCUGAGAUGGUGAUUUUGGUGAGGAGAGGAAAGAUAAAUAAAAGGAAACCCAGUGUGUGCAUGUGUGUGUGUGUGCUUGUCUGCAAAUAAACACCCAGAUGGGUGAAUCAGUUAAAAAAAUUAAUUGCAGCCUGUUUCUGAAAAGGUUGUUUAGAAAACUAGACUGAUUCUUAAGGAGUAUGCUUGGAUUGUAAAUGGUGUAUCCAAACAAUGGAAGUAUCAUAGAUUUAGAGCAAAGGGGGAGAAAACAAGAAAAAGAUAGAUGAUGGUCUAUGAUGGAAGAAACACAAAAUGGCAUACAAUCCAACAAACAGCAAUUAAUAUUUAUGCACUAUUUAGGCUAAAGAUAUCAGCACAAAAGCAUAAAAGUUCAGUUACCGCUUCCAUUCUUCUAAUUUCAUAGCGAGCAUAUUGAGCCACCAGAUACACAGCUGUUACACAAAAUAAGUUCUUACAUAGUAGUGUGAAACCAUGAGAAAACCAAAUAUGAAACAUGAUACGUACCCAAGGAAGGCAUGCAAACAAAGAACAGUUGUACCAAAUGGAAAUCGAGCCUGGCCAUGAAAAGGAGAAAGGUAAGAAGAUGUCUCAGCAACAGAGAUGAAGAUACCAACAGGAUAUUCAAAGUACCGAUAAUCUCGUUCAGUAAUUAUUUCUUUGGAAAAUAAUCUGGAGCAUGCAGUUACAAAUUAGGUCAUUCUAGCCUAGAUGGGAUGAAAAUUAAGUGGCUUGCUACAAAACUGAUGAUGGUGCAUUAAGUUCCUUUCCCAGUACUUAUGUAUUACCAAAGACCUAAUCAUUAAAUUUGUUUCCUUUUAACUCCAAAUAGGAAAUUCUAACAAUUAAAGACUCAAAAAAUGGAAUUAUUUAUUUGGGUGACUAAAAUGCAUUCCAUCUUAAGUUUUACACAUACACCAAC
rnacentral:lncRNA from 1 species